rnacentral:lncRNA from 1 species
UUCAUCAUUCUCAUAAGUAGAGUGUACCAUUCAAGCCAAGCAAGCAGUGGUCAAUACAAAUCCACCAUGAAGACCUUUCUCAUCUUUUCCCUCCUUGCUAUCGUGGCGACCACUGCAACAACUGCAGUUAGAGUUCCAGUGCCACAAUUGCAGCCGCAAAAUCCAUCUCAGCAACAACCACAAGAGCAAGUUCCGUUGGUGCAACAACAACAAUAUCCAGGGCAGCAACAACCAUUUCCACCACAACAACCAUAUCCGCAGCCGCAACCAUUUCCAUCACAACAACCAUUUCUGCAGCCGCAACCAUUUCUGCUACAACUACCAUAUCCGCAGCCACAACCAUUUCCACCACAACAACCAUAUCCACAACCGCAACCACAGUAUCCGCAACCACAACAACCAAUUUCACAGCAACAAGCGCAACAAGCACAACAACAACAACAACAACAACAACAACAAUAACAAUAACAACAACAACAAAUCCUUCAACAAAUUCUGCAACAACAACAACUGAUUCCAUGCAGGGAUGUCGUCUUGCAACAACACAACAUAGCGCAUGCAAGCUCACAAGUAUUGCAACAAAGUAGUUACCAACUGUUGCAACAAUUAUGUUGUCAACGGUUGUGGCAGAUCCCCGAGCAGUCGCGGUGCCAAGCCAUCCACAAUGUCGUUCAUGCUAUUAUUCUGCAACAACAACAACAACAACAACAACAACAACAACAACAACAACAACAACAACCGUCGAGCCAGGUCUCCUACCAGCAGCCUCAGCAACAAUAUCCAUCGGGCCAGGGCUCCUUCCAGCCAUCUCAGCAGAACCCAUAGGCCCAGGGCUCUGUCCAGUCUCAACAACUUCCCCAGUUCGAGGAAAUAAGGAACCUAGUGCUGCAGACGCUACCGGCAAUGUGCAAUGUCUACAUCCCUCCAUAUUGCUCGACCACCAUUGCGCCAUCUGGCAUCUUCGGUACUAACUGAGAAGAGAAGAACUUGUACUAGAUAUAUGAAACACCGUUUCCUUAGUCCAUGGUUUGGUCGUUGUAGCGGUGACAAAAUAAAGUGACAUGCACUAUCAUGUAAGAACCCGAACUAUACUAGUUCAAACUUGGGAAUAAAAGACAAACACAUGUCUUGUCUGCAUAUGAUUGUUUGUUUGAGUUCCAUUCAUGUGCCCGUUCACAAGUUCACCCCUAAUUAUAUAUAUUACACAAUAAGUAGAUAUUUAUGUUUCAUUAAUCUAAAUAUAACAAAAUGAGUCUGAAACUUGAAUUAAAUUGAAGUAUUUUCUUGGACUUUCAAAUUAAGUAUUAUUAAAGUAGUAAGGACUAUCCACAUCCUUGGCUUGCCCUUGAUCAAUUAUUUCCAGAGAAGCAUUCAAUUCAUCAAUCAAUUACAUUGGUUUUUGUGACUGGUACUUCUCCUCAUCAUGAGUAUCAUUGCGACUACUCCAAAUCGCCCACAUAACCGAAGCAUUAAUAGCGCUCUUCUUGCAUCAAGGAAAUAUGGAUCGAAGAUAUCACUUGACCAUGUUUCCGGGUGCAACCUUGGGAGUUUUAUGUCAGAAUAUUCUCAAGGAGAAUCCAAGAAUAAACUUGCAUGCUCAUGUGUGAUAAGGGCAUAUGAAGUAACAUUUCCUCCCCAUGGCCACACAUAGGGCACACACAUAACCCCAUCACAUGCCUUUUUAGUUAUGCAUAUGAAGGUAGGAUGUUUUUAAUUACUCUCCACCAAAAUACUCUUAACUUGGCUUGUACCCUAAGCUUUCGUUGCCUUUUCAAUUUCUCUUCCCCACUAGACAAACUAGACAGUCCAUCUACCACACCAUACCUUGUGUCCAUCAUGGCUCUGUACAACAAUUGAACAGGACAAAUGUCAUUUCUUUACGAUACCCACGACCAAGUGUCCUCUGCUGGGUUGUUUGGUCGUGGCAUAUUAAGGAUGGACACCUCAUCUGAUGGGACAAACACCUAACGAAUGAAAGGAGUGUUCCAGCCGCCCAUGUUUUUCUUCUCGAUAAGAUGAGCUACAAGUUGGACUGGAGUUUCUCAUGCACCAUAGUGGUUUCAUCAGCGGCAUGCCCUGCACACAUUUAUCAUGCCAUAUCUUUGUAGUGUGCAUUCCCAAUUUAUCACAACAUACCCUCCUUCAAACCUUUUUGCCUUUCAGAAUAGCACGCCAAGCUAGCGAUGCACUAUGCAGUAACCCACAUUUGAAAAAAAAAGAAUCUCAUUUCAUGGUAUCUUCCACGAAGGACCCUCGCACAUGAGUUAUCUAGAUAGAAAUAGCCAUGUAUGUUUAGCAAACUUUGCAUAAGUGAAUAGAUCAAGGUCGUGGAAACCCAAGCCUCCAAUUACACCCAGCCUCUCUACCAACAAGAUGUCCAAAGACAUCAAGGAUACACAAAGCCAAAAAAGAAAAUAAAAAGAGCAGAAGAAAAAAAAUACCCUGCCAUGGUGAUCAAUCACUAGAAUCAACAGCACUCUAACCACCACCGAAGACAAUGCCCGAAUUACAAAAAAGGUUCUCCAAAAGCAACGCCCCCAAGAAGGAAACAAUGCACAAGCAUUGUCGUUGCCCGAUCGAAGAUCAUGGGUUUUCACCCUGGAAAAAUUUCGAGUUCACUAAAAAAUAAUGCCUUCAACAAGGCCAUUGCCAAGUACAACCAAUAAGGGCCAGACCUUGGGUUUCCACCAUAGGAAUUGAGACUCGAUACUCGAGGAGUACCACCAAAAAUGCAGUCCGCAAGUGUUGCCGCCCCCGCUUGCUGAGGCCGCUGUUGCAAGUCACCAACCACCUGUCAUACAUUUGUCGUCGCAUCCAAUACACCCUUCCGCUGAAGCUUCAAGACCUCCAACCGCAGCCGCCAUGACUUUCUCCUAGUCUAUCAAUGCCUUGAGAAUCUUGAGUUAGACAUGUCCAAUGACAUAAAUAAGAAAUCGAAGCUUCGUGCCACGUCCUCUUGAGGCCGUGUUGGCUGAUAAUAUUAGCGUGCAUGACCGGAGCCUUUCCGAUCUAGAUAUCCAGGGGCGACAUACACCAAUCCAUAUAGAUCUCCGCUCGGUAAGACCGAAACUCAUCAACGGCCAGAUCCAAGAGGUCGACAUCCGGUAGAAAGAUGACUUGGCGGAAGAAGAGCAUCAGGGCCAAACCGCCAUUAUUAGUCCGAAGCUAAUAGCCUCCACGCCACCCUCCUCUCGAUCCAGACCUGCAGAAAAUGAUCAACAACGCCGCGCCGUGCCACUCGCAUCCAUGGAGGCUUGAACUUGGCAAGACGCGAACCAUGGCUGGAGACGGGGACCAGCCACUCCUGGCCGGAUCCGGUGACUCCUAGUCCCACCACUGCCACUACGGCGGCACCGCGUGUAGCCUACAAGCCCAUCCAUGAUGAUGUCUGAUUAGAUGGAUACAUGGAUAUACAGAUGAAAUGGCCCUCGUUAUCCCUCCAACAAUAUAUAUAAAGCUUAUUGGGACAUGAGAAAGCUCGCACAAUUUUAUAGUGGCUAUGGAAAUGUGUUGCCAGACAGAGAUAUAAGAUUUUCGUUUGGCAUCCAGACCGCUUGUGUCAUCCUUAAUCGAUGACCACUCUAAUUUUUCCGGCGGGCCUUCCCUGUGGUACUGCAGCCUUACAUGUGUAUGGAUUUCAUAUAGCUAUUCUGUCCAGUCGGAAAAGGAGACAACCAAAAUUACUUGGAGUUGAUAACUAAUAUGUUUCCUUUAACUACCACGUGCACGACGAGGAUUUACGGCACGCAAGUGCAGGGGCAGGUACUGGUGCCGCCUUUUUAUUCUAGCCUCCAAUUUUCAAAUUUCUAUAUCUUUCAAACAAACAAAAUCAACUUAAGUUAUGUUUUCAUAUUCGUAUUUCUUGCCGCCAGCGCUUUGAAAUAAUAUUCAUUUUGAAUAUAUUUUGGCAAUUUUUAAACACAAUGUUAAUUUCCAUUGUUUAAAACUUAGUACGAGCGACCGAUAAUAUUCAAUUAUUUUGUGUCUCUGACCAACAGAAAAAAAUGCUUGAAAUUGCAUCUUUGAAACUUGUUGAAACUGGGCAUUUUCUAAUGCAAAAGCGGUAAGUUUUCAUCGUUGAAACUUAAAGGUUUUUGAUGGAUUUUCUUCUUUACUGUGCCCUACUUCAUGAAUCGUGAGACAAAUCGAGCAGGUGGCAGGGCUUGGCCAGUGAGUGCCCUUGCACUUAGGUGCCCCAGCGAAUUUCCACUUGCAUCGUAGCAUUCUUUUUCCGAGUCCUGCGAACGAACGAUGGUGCAUACAAAAAGUCUAUCCUAUAUGCGUACAUGUGCAUGAUCAAAACAUGUUUGUACGUGCAUCUGCUAUAAAUCUCGACCAUUUUGAACACAAAUCAUGACCAUUAAAAUACAUGAUUAGUGGAUCAUACUAUCGUAACCUAUGUGAGAUCAUGUGGAGUAAUAUAUUAUAGUAUAUAGAUAGAUCUAUGUUGUAUUUUUUUUGUUAGAAAAAUAUCUGUCAUUACAUAUUUAGAUUUAUGCAUCUGUUCUUGCCAAAAAAAUCACUAACAUUUCACAGUGGAAAGUUUGUAAUUAUAUCAUAUUGAACACCAAUGUUUUCCCGCAAAAGAAAAUAAUGCCUAUGCAUAUGCUUUUAUAUUAUUAUUAUUGUUUCAAAUAUAUCCAUAUAUUAUUUUUGGUUGUACAACCAUAAUUUUCUUAUCCCUCUCGUUCCACUAAAUGCUCCUAGUCACUGAAUUAUAUACACCAAAUAAACCCCUUUGCACGUCGUUAAUGACCAAAAAAAGUUGAUGCUGGCUAUGUUCUCUGAUGUCAGCAUGAUAUCAUAUAUAGUGAUUAGCAUGAACGAAUCCCUUUGACUCAUGCGUACUCCCUUUGGAAAGAAAUAUAAGAGUGUUUACAUAACUAAAGUUGUGAUCUAAACACUUAUAUUUCUUUAAAGAGGGAGUAUAAAUUAAGAAGUGCAAGAUAAAGAAAUGCUGGUCCUUGAUUUGUUGUUGACUCUUAUAUUCUUUAGGGAGGAAGUAUAAAUUAAGAGCUAUAGCUAUCUAACCUAAACCGACUCAAACAACUACUCCUGGCCACACACACGUUGGAACAUAACUAGGACACGGGCAGCAUGCAUGCUAAUUCCUAAUACUACACGGCUUGCAAAACGGUCACCCCACGUACAUCUCAACUUACCUAGUUAAUUAUCCGGCCAGCUUGAUCACAAUUACACCAAACUAACUCAGGCAUUGUUUGGAUUAUCCCAACAAUCACCCCUAAUCCAAACAUCCGUCUCUUUAUCCGACGACACACGAGACACGCAGACGACCACCUGUUCAUCUUGUCAGGCUGGCUGCCUCCGGUGACGCAACUUACCGGACUGCAACUUCGCUCUCCUUGCAAUGAUGAUCACAACUUCAUCUCACCGCAACUUCGUUUGCAUACCAACUCAUAGAUUUUAACCAAUGAAUACCCGGACUACCAGCCACGCUGUCACAUCUUAGCGUGCUACAUGCAGACUAAACACAUAGCCUCAUGCAUGAACUCAACUUAACUGGUGCGUGUCCAUCUUCACGUUGAUCUUCAUCUUCUCAUCGGUUGAAUGCACGCGGGGAGGCACAACUCUUCACCCACCACAUCUCCACUUUCCCAUCAUCGUUGGUGACACAACUUACCAAACAACGCUCCCUGUCGAGCGGCAAUACAACUCGCCAUAUACGUGCAAUCACUAGUAAAAAACCACCCAUUAGUCCCGGUUCGUAAGGGCCUUUAGUCCCGGUUCAGGAACUGGGACUAAUGGGCCGUUACUAAUACCUCAACCCAUUAGUCCCGGAUCAAACACGAACCGGGACCAAUGUGCCUCCACGUGGCCCUGUUCAUCUUCGCUCUCCUUGCAAUGAUGAUCACUACUUCAUCUCACCGCAACUUCGUUUGCAUACCAACUCAUAGAUUUUAACCAAUGAAUACCCGGACUACCAGCCACGCUGUCACAUCUUAGCGUGCUACAUGCAGACUAAACACAUAGCCUCAUGCAUGAACUCAACUUAACUGGUGCGUGUCCAUCUUCACGUUGAUCUUCAUCUUCUCAUCGGUUGAAUGCACGCGGGGAGGCACAACUCUUCACCCACCACAUCUCCACUUUCCCAUCAUCGUUGGUGACACAACUUACCAAACAACGCUCCCUGUCGAGCGGCAAUACAACUCGCCAUAUACGUGCAACCACUAGUAAAAAACCACCCAUUAGUCCCAGUUCGUAAGGGCCUUUAGUCCCGGUUCAGGAACUGGGACUAAUGGGUCGUUACUAAUACCUCAACCCAUUAGUCCCGGAUCAAACACGAACCGGGACCAAUGUGCCUCCACGUGGCCCUGUGCGCCGAGCCCAGUCAGGGGGCCUUUGGUCCCGGUUGGUGGCUCCAACCGGGACCAAAAGGCAUCCACGCGUCUGCAUUCCAGUGGCUGGGGUUUUUUUUUUGAAAGGAGGGGGGUUGGGGGUUUUGGGGGGUUAAUUUAGGUGUUUCGUAUAUUGUGUUAGCUAGCUAAUCAAUAAAGAGAAGUGUCCUCUCUUAUGUCCGUGCUUGGUCGACGCUACGUAGUAUAUAUACAUAAGUGAUCGAGAGAACCAUUUAGUACAGAAGUUCGUCAUGCAUACCGAGAGAAGUGAUCGAUCGACCUCUCCUUCUCCGAGAGAUUGGUCGAACAACAAGUUUUUUACUGGCUACAUACAUGUACAAUCUAUAUAAGAUCUCUUAAUUACAAACCCCUAGCAUUUGAAAUCAACUUCCACAUGGUAUUCUCCGGCUUUACUGAUGACGUGUUCAAGAAAAAAUCCCGCCAAUUCCUCUUGAAUUGCUUUCAUGCGAUCUGGUGGUAGGAGUUCAUCCCGCAUCUGCCACGUCUAAUUAAUUUGAAGAAGGGGGUUAAUUAAUACAUAUAUAUGAAUGAAACUCAACAGAAAUGAUGGUGUAAUAAAAUGAAAUUGUGAAUAUUAUUGCUUACGCACUUCAUAUUGUCUUCUAGAGUAGCCCCGCUUGUUUUUCAAAGUCGCGUUGUGGAUGAACUCGCACACAUAGUAUCCACAGAAAUCAUUCCCUUCCUCCUGCCACAAGCACUUUACGAGAAAUAGAGGUCAAUCAAACUGAUAAUGAAGCAUUAUAAAUGGCAUUGAUGAAAGUAUAGCUAUAAAAUCAACGGGAGAUGCGCGCAACUAGCUAGCCAGUAGUACUUACUUUCGGGUAUAAAUAUCGCAGCUCCUUCGGCAGUCCCGGAGCUUGUGCGGUGAACUGUUUCCAAACCCUGCAAGACAAAGACAAUAAUUAUUAUUACUUGAGAUAUCAGGAAAUGAACAAAAAGUUGCCGAUAUGGUGCGAUAAUGAUCGAUUGAACUUACUUGCUGAGCAUUUCAGUCAUGUCCGCAUAGGUGCUGGGAUCUUUCCGUCUGGAGUCUAAGACGGUUACUAGUCCACGCUCAAGCUUAAUCUCCAGAAGAAUAUAGUGGUACCUGCACACACAUGCAUAACUCAUCAAUUACAUUAACCUCGCUUGAGUAAUAAGGGAAACCAAAUAUGCACAUGACAGUAACACUCACGGGCCGUUGUAAGGAAAGAGUAUGGUAUCUUUGUUUUGAUUUUUGAUUAACGAUUGUAGCAAGUUGUCCUCGGCCUCUUCGACGUUCUUUUCAACCAGAAAUACAUCUAUGAUAUUUGUGUUAAUGAACCCAAUAUCAUAGAUUUCAUUUUUUUGCACUCGACGAUCUUCAAUCUGCAUAAUAUAUUGAGGAUAAUUAAUUAUAAAUACAUGCAAUGAAAGAGCCGAGCUAUAUAUAGAGACUAAUGACAGAAAUAGUACUUACAGGCAGUAGCAAAAGACCAUUAAUUUAUCGAGGGCCUUUUGAUUGAAGAACUCAAAGAACUCCUCAAAUGGAACAGACAACACAUCAUUUGAAACGAGGUCGUGCUCCUCUUUAAUUUUCAGAUACAAACUGUUCGUCCCCUCAGACUCUCUGCAAGUUUUCAUGUACCAGUUAUGGAAUCUUCGCAUCAUUGUUGUCAGAGAUUUUUCAUCUUUGACGAGAGGCUUCCCGUACUCGUAUCUGAAUACGUCCACCUUCAUGAAAUCAGGAAGUGCAUCGUCAGGCAGGUAAUCUUCAAGAUUGCCAUAACCGGCCACCGUCCCCGGAGGAUUAGACACAUUGAGCGGGGGGCACGAUUGAUGUGCUUGUUCGCCGAGCCGGGCAAUUUUUUCCCCUUUGCUCGUUGUUCUUUUGACCUUUUAUCACUAACAGUAGUUCCCGACCGCUUGGCUUGGAGAUAUGUCUGUUCAGUAAUGCGCUCAUAGUUGGUUCUCGGCGGAGACUUUGGUGGUUUCCUCAGGGCAUCGAGAGUGCGCUUUGCUUUCACCGGAUCUACCUUCUCCUUCGGAGGUGGAUGUAUCUUUGCUUUCACCCCUUCAAAGAACUCCUUCACGUGGGCCUGCACGAUCGUAUUGUUUUCCUCGGUCCUCUCGUACGGUAACUUCUCUAGAGGCUUUAGAGGUGGACCGUAUCUGUAUUGCCUCUCUCUUCUUGUGCUGCUAGACGCCGGAGCAGACGGAGCGGCUGCGGCGUCUGUCUUCUUUCAUGCUUGCUUACGAGGCGGAGGAGAAGGACUACGACGCGCCGGGGCAGCGGCAGGUCUCUUCCGCCCUUGCUGGCGAGGCGGAGAAGGAGGAGGCGGAGUGCCGCCACGCGCCGGAGAAGGAGGCGGAGUGCCGCCACGUGUGCCCUGAUCGUCACUCGCCGGAGGAGGAGGCGGUGGAGGAGGCGGAGUGUGUCAGGACCCCGACUCAAUGCCACAUCGAUCUAGCAUGUAACACAUCAUAUGACUUUGCGGCCUCACGCACGGUAUUCCCACGGGUGUCGCCUUACCUUUGCCCGGGACCGUUUGCGCCUUUUGGCACACGUAUAUGACAGUGUCGCUAGCAUCCAUAUGAUAAGGAGCCCGGGCUGACAUGGCUAGUCGUAAACCCAAAGCGGCACAGACUUACAGGGACAGGCAUCCAUGACCCAGCAUCGAACGUGUCGGUCAUCAGCGAGUGAAUCCAGGCUGUAGCACUGGGCUAGCAGGACUCCGGUGAACCGGGCUGUAGCGGGCUAACAGGACUCCGGUAUUCAUCGCGUGACAUUUCCCCGAAGGGACAGACACAGGAACGAAGAAGGACACAUGCCGGCCAGCCUAAGCGUUCCGGAGCAGUAGCAAGCUACCAUGGCUCGGUGGAAACACUAGGAGACAUUUCCCCGUAAGAGAGGCUACUAAAGAUAAACAACUAGAUGGUCAGAUCCCACACAUACCAAGCAUUUCGAUAACAUACACACAAUAUGCUCGAUAUGUGCAAAUACAACAUGGCAUCACAACAUGACUCUAUGACUCAAGUAGUUUAUUCAGUAGGCUCCGAGGAGCGAGAUAUUACAAACAUGGGUCUCAUGACCCAACACUCAGAGCAUACAAGUCAAAACACAAGCGGAAGCUAUCAUGUCUGAGUACAGACAACUAUAAAUGAAAAAGGCUGAGAAGCCUGACUAUCUAUCAGAUCCUGCCGAGGGCACAAGAUCGUAGCUGAGGUAUCAAGCUAAACGUCGAAGACCACGCGGAAUUACUAGUGAGACUGAAGUCUCUCUGCAAAAACAUAAAAUAGGCAAACGUGAGUACAAAUGUACCCAGCAAGACUUACAUCAGAACUAUCUACAUAUGCAUCAUUAUCAACAAAGGGGGUGGUGGGGUUUAACUGCAGCAAGCCAGCUUUGACUCGGUGGCUAUCCUAAACUACGACUGCGAGUAACUCUUUUGAGGUGGCGCACACGAGUCCACAUAUUCACCAUAUCAAUACACCACUAUGGAUCCGCUCCCGUCUCCCUACGAGAACGCCAUCCAUAGCACUCACGCUUAUCUUGCGUAUUUUAGAGUAUCCACUUUCACUUGUCUAUGAACUGAUAUAAGCAACCCAGAAGUCCUUUUCCGUGGACACGGCUAUUCGAAUAGAUUAGGUUAACCCUGCAGGGGUGUACUUCUUCAUACAUGUUUCCACCACUUAGCGUCUGCACACGACAUGUGCUCGGCAGACUUCAAGCGAAAGCCGACGUGGGUGUAGACCACGACCUACCUAAACACUCAAGUCUCUAGUCCAGGUUUAUCGCCUAUUCGGGUUCCAUCCAUGAGGAGAUCCGGCCGGAGUUUUGCUCACAGCCCCAAACGAUGUGAACAGGGUUCCCGAGAUACCAAACGGGCAUCCGGUACACCGUGCCACGUACCUACCGCAUCACAGCCCACCCCUACGGUCAGCGCUGUCCACGGCCUCCAGUAAGCUACAAACACCAGAAACUACUUGCAACUCCUGGACAGAGGACAAGGGUGAAUAAGAAGUCGAGCGGGGUCAUAUUUCAGGGCCCAAUGUAUGGUAGUAGCUGAAUCAUGGAUCACAAACACAGAACUCAGUUCCUAAGGACGGCUUCAAUGAGACAACCCACCAUGUACUCCUACAUGGCCUCUCACCGCUACCUUUACCAAAUCGUGUUCACACACUUAGCUCACACACAGUAGGACAUGUUCACACACCUCUGAUUCAUCCCCGAUGAAUCAGACCUGACUCAACUCUAAGCAGUAGCAGGCAUGACAAACAAACAUGAAUGAGUAGGCACAUCAGGGCUCAAACAACUCCUACUCAUGCUAGUGGGUUUCAUCUAUUUACUGUGGCAAUGACAGGUCAUGCAGAGGAUAAAGGGGUUCAGCUACCGCAGCAAGUAACAGAUGAAUCGGUGUUGUCCUAAUGCAGUAAAAGAGAGCAGGAGCGAGAGAGUAGGAUUGUAUCGGAAUGAACAAGGGGGUUUUGCUUGCCUGGCACUUCUGAAGAUAACAUUGAGUCUUCAUCAGUGUCAACGAUCACAUCAUCGGUACACGUCUAUCGAGAGGGGACAAAUACCGGCAAAUACAGAAAAGACACGAUCAAUGCAAUGCACAAUAUGAUGCAUGCUAUGACAUGGCAAUAUGAAUGUGUUUUGGGCUAAUGCACCUAAAACCAGAUUAAAUGAAGUUGGUUUGAAUACAAGAUUCAAAUUCAAACUCCGUAUGUGAUUAUUCAAAUGUCAUUCACUUCAUUUGCCCUAAACAGUAGUGAUAAGUUGUUCUAACAUGCAUGAAAAUGGUACAGAUGGAUUCCUUGAAUUUUUCUGAUAAUUUUUCAUAUAUAAUUUAUUUCAUUUGGAGUUACGGUUAAUUUUCUAUGAUUUUUGGAAGUUUUAGGCAUUUUCUGGAAUUUAUAAAUCAUUUAAGAAUUAUCUAAAUUCCAGAAAAUACUUAUCGCGUCAGCCUGACAUCAUCAUGACGUCAGCAGGUCAACGGGGCGCCUCCAGGUCAAACCUGACCAGUGGGGUCCACUGGUCAGUGACUAACUAACUAACCUAAUUUAAUUAGAGCCGGGGCCCGCAUGUCAGUGUCAGCAGAGGGGGUAAUUAGUUAAAAUAGGCUAAACUAAUUAGCAGGGGGGCUGGCCCCACCUGUCAUCGACCCAGGGGGGGUCAAACCCCUGGUCAGCGGGGCCUAACCCGCCGGCGUCUAGCCGCCGGCAACGACCAGACGCGGCGGAGGCUCGGGAAUCGCCCACAGAGCACGAUUCGAGUUGCGGCUAGGCGCGCUAGAAAGCCCGCGAUGCGGCGCAUCCAGUGGUGACCGCGGUGUGUGCUGGGGCAGCGUGUAGGGGCGGUGGUGACGGGCCGGGCGGCUGCCGGAGCUACGGCUGCACGGGCGCGAGGGCUGCAGCGCAUUAGCCAGUAAGCAGAGAGGCGCAUCGGGAUCCUAGGGACUGGGCGAGCACGCGGGAGCUACUGGAGCGAGCGGAAGAGCGCCGGGACGUGAGGUCCACCGGCAAUGGCGAUGGCUGGAGCUCGGUGCUUGCGGGGAAGGCGGCUACGGCACGGGAACGAGCAGAAAAGGAGGGGGAAAACGAAGAAGAUCUUACGGCGGUCCUGGAGAUCAGCACGGGAGGCUCGGGGACGGCCUGGCUGCAGCCAAUCGACGACGGAGGGGUCCGGCGACCGGCGGUGAAGAAGAUGGCAAUUGCGUUGCUUCGGUGCCUCCGGGCUCGCGAGAUUCACCGGAGAGGAGCCGCUCGAGGUAGCAGAGGCGAUGGACGACUCGAGGAGGCGAGGCGUGCGCGGUGGCUACAGAUACGGUUGACAGCGGCGAGAGGCGUGCUCGGGGCUGCGAGAGAGAGGGCAGCAGGGGAGAGAGGAGCCGACAGGGAGGGAGUGAGAGGGGGUCGGGGGUGUCGUGGCGUCGCGGAAAGCGACCAGGGCGACGAGGGGGUAGCCAGGCAGGCAAGGAGGAGCUGGCGCGGCUCGCCUGCGCGCCGGGCACGCAGCUGCUUCGGGGCGAGGGGAGGAAGACGACGGAGGGUAGCGGUGGCGGGCUGGGCCGGCCAGGUGGGGGAGCUGGGCCGGUCCCGAUGGACCACCAGGUAAGCGCCAGGUAAGAUGCUUUGCUCUUUUUAUUUUAUUUCUAUUUUAGUUACUGUUUUCUAUUUUCUGUAAUUGUGUUUGGAUUUAUUAAAAAUGCCAGAGCAUUUCCAAAAAUCAUGCAACUGACUGUGGCCACUGUUUGGAAUAUUUCCAGCAGUAAACAUUUCAGUUUGUGAUUAUUUGAGCAUUUAAAAUAUUAUUAGCAAUUAAAUGCCCAAAUGCAAAUACUAUAUAAUUUAAUUCAGAAAUCCAGGAAUAGCCUAUAAUUAUGUUCAUCAUUUUUUUGGAAGAGGUUUUCACCUCUAAUAGAAAUUAUGAACAUUUCCAAAGGGCAUUCUGGGUUAUUGAAAAUAUUUUUAUUGAACCUAGUUAAAUUUCAUUUGGUACUAGGGUUUCAACAAUCCCCAUUUCAAAUUUCUUUGGAAUUUAAACAUGAUGGCAUGAUGAACAAGCAAAGUCAAGCAAGGGCUGAACUGGGGCUGUGACAACUCACCCCCACUAAACAAGAAUCUCGUCUCGAGAUUCAAGCGUAGGGUAAGGUGAAGGGUAACGCGGACUAGUAUAAUCUUCACGAUCCAGGGUGCACUUCAUAGGAACGUUGAUUAGAACACCAUCUUUGUCUUGUCGUCUUGCUCUGAGAACUCCAGCUAAUCAUGAAAAGAAGAGGAAAGGAAAACUCUAGAAGGAUCGGUCUUCUCGAAGGUCGAACAACUCAGGAUUAACUCACGGAAUGAGACAUAGAACCAUCUCUCGGUUGAGACACGAGAUACACAUCAAGAGGGGGGGGGGGAAAGAAACGGAUGACGAAGGUUCACUAGGUAGACAACAAUUCCACACCUAAGAAAGUGGUAAACGAUUGUCAACGUAGCGAGGAGUUGAGUUGCCAUGAUACCACGACGAAACAUCCUGGAGGAGGGUGAUUCGUAGAUUAUUAUCUUAAGUGGCAAAAGAAUUACUUUUGAUUCAGAGAUCAUUGGAACUCUUUAUACCAGCCUAAGGUAAUCACAAGCGAUCAUUUGAAGGGGGUCGGUAGAAUGGCAUACUCGGACUUGGAUGAUGUGGAUUACCUUGUUGAAGACAACGUAAUGGAUGAAUUUGCUUAUCACCGGAGAUGGAAGAGACCCGUGGUAGAAUGGCACAUUGGCGGUGCAAGCUGGGAACAAAAUGCAAAUGCUGGGAAUGAUUCUGGUAACUGGGGAAGAACCCAACAAUAAAGAGUGAAUUCACUGUUGGAGUGGUUAUAGCAUAACCGAAGAAUCUGGGGCAAUCCCAGCUAGUGCCGAUGAUAAGACGUAGCGCUUGUGCGUGCUCUCAAGAACUUAAGCAUUUCCACAUUCAUCAAGGUUUUACCAACAUCCGUGUCAAGGGUCCGGUAGCACAACUUACUACCAUGAUGAAUGGUGAUGGAGGAUGCAGAUGCAAAGGAAGAUAACACUUUCUCAGUUUUCACCUUAGCGAGGCCAAGGAAACAAAAUCUGGAUGAUGGACCGAGAGACAUUUAGCACUCCGCUUCUAAUGUUCUCCUUGACGUGCUAGUGUAUCCCAUUCAUAGAUAUGGUUUGAUAACUAGAACAUCAAGUAAAAGGUCGAACUUCGGGAACACAAUAAUCAUAAGGCACAACUAGGAAGUAAAUCCUACGAAGUCCUUAUGGGAAGGUGGCCAACUGCUUCAAUCAAGAUACCACAAUAAUAGGUCCUUCGGCUGGGUGGUGCUGGCCACGACAUCCACUUUACCGGUUAUCGAGGGACCAAUAUUAUAGUUCUUGGGAAAUGUUCCAAACCAUCAUAUCUGCCUGAGAUUCAGAUCUGGUUGGUGUCAGGAUAUUCCAGACUCAUCGAGUCUAGGAAGAAAAUGAAAGUUUGCAACACAAAUCGACGAGAUGACGUUGCGGGAUUCUCGGGAGAUGAACUACGAUAGCAAGCUCCAAAACAUGAGCUGGUUCUGCUACAAACAUGUGAACAUGUUGUCCAAGACAAGCAUGAUCACAAGGUAGUCUUAUAAUAAAACACUACCGAGUUCAGGAGGGGGAACCAUCAUUAAUGACAUCGAAGUCUCCACGCGUGGAAGUCCAAAGAGUUCACCUUGGACAGACUCCUUUAUCUUUGAACAACUCAAUCAGUGGCUUGGUGUGCUAGGAUAUACAUAUAGAAUGGAGGUUGCAAAUCUCCAGACCACAGAAUACUUCGCACGUAUGCAUGACUGACUUGGGAUGAUUCCAGAGGAAGCAAAACCAACUUUCCCAAAUUCACGGCGGCAUCUUUCACCAAAUGCACGUGUAUAAAAGGAAGUCACUCCUUUCAUCAACAAAUACUUCAUGAGCUAGCAUGAAGAAAAUGCUUUCAAAAGUUUCCAACACUAGCUUAAUGUCCAACAAAAUUAUGGAGGAGAUAAGGAUGUUGUCAAUGGGCUCAACAACAAUUCAUCUGGGUUUCCUUUUAAAAGGAAUUCCAUAGUUAAGUGAACAAGUGAUAGCAUUGGUCAGGCCAAAGAUGUAAUGGUGUAUGCUCGAGGGAUCAACCACGAACAAGACAACAUUACGAGCAUCAUUGGUAUUGAUUUGAUUUGACGAUAGCCCACACUCAAAUCAAAGGAUUGAUAAGGCAAUAGGUCCAGCAACUGAUCACAGGGACCAACCGAUGAAGAUAUCAUAUUUCUUCAACACACACUACACAAGAAUAUCCCUUUGGAACGAACUAAGUCAGGCAAGCUUUUACCUUCCAACUCUCCAAGUUGUUGUCUAGCUUAACCAACUAGCUCAGGGAUAUCCAUCACAGAUUCUUGGAGAAAGGGUGGUUUACAAUAAACCAACUUGAUCACGAGCUCAACAUAGCGGUCAGGUGACAACCUGGUAGUACUUCCGAGAAGAUCUUCAGAAAAUCACGAACCACUGAUAUGUUACUAAGCUCGAGAACAAUCUUGCUUUUCGGGGCAAGAUGAUAUGAUCAAGUGAGCGAGGGCUUGACAAGAUCCUAAUUCAUCAAUCGAAGGGUGCACCGAAAUAAGGACUAGGUAGCACGAUCAGUCUUAGAAGGAUGAUUCAAAAACCAACAUACUAAGAAUGAAAUUAUUAUCCUUUAACUACCAAGCAACGAGGUUGCUGGGAGUAUUGAUCUCACACAUCACAACUCAUUUGUCGGUAUUCCGGUUGCAUCAACACGAGGGCCGAGGAAUGACUAAUGAUGGUGAGAAGUAUCACUGUACCAAGAGUUCAUAGGAUGGUGUGCAAUUCCUAUAACAAUCUCGAUAUAGAAUAAGGUAAUACUCCAAGGUAGAACAGAACCAAAAGCUGGAUUAGCAAUUAGAUCUGCGGAGCACAACUUCUUUGACCCAAUCCUGGAUAUGGAAGAGGUACUGGAGUUUGUUUCUCCAAGUCAUUCAAGACAGAAUGGCUUGACGGACCACAAGAGUAAUAGGCAUCGAUAAACGAACGCACGCAUACUCUUGACUAUCAAUUGAUAGACGAGGGUCAGAAUGCAACUACGGAGAACAACUCAAAGGAACAUAUAAUUUUCUGAGUUGUGGAUGCAUAGAUUAGUAUGUCGAACCAAGUUCAACAUAUUUUUUCCGGAUAACCCAUGCAGAAAGGUAGAACUGGCAGAGUCACGAUUUAUGAAUGGAGAACUCCUCAAGAGUACUCUAAUUGUGAUCUUUUGAUCCAAUAAACAUCUGCCAUAAGCGGUUCAUAGUAUUUGGAAGAAGGAAAUACCACGGACCUCGAGGACUAUCGCAAAGUUACUAAUAUCCUGAAGGAACUAGCAAACACUAUCAACAUGAAGUAAGUAGAGUGAAUCUCGGGUUCAAAGCCCAAGGAAUAGAAUACCUACUACUAAGUGGCAUCACGGGAUGCUUUCGAGAAUAAAAGCCAGAAUCAUCACACUGGGGAUCACAAAACAUUGCUAGAUUACUAGGUGACUCCCUAAACACCUAGGGCCAUAAUAGUAUCUCCAACAUAUAUGUCAAGGUAACGGAGUACCUCAACUCACUGAUUAGUGUGGUUAAUCUGGCCCAUGGGAACAUUGAAACAGGAAGAAAGGAUUUGCAAUUGCAUCAGACUACUUAAAAACCUGGGAUGACUCGGACAGCAUAACGGCUGUAAAUGCUCAGAAAAGAUUUGAGACAUUCACAAAAAUGGUGGCAUAACCACUCAGAAGCACAAUAUCAAGGUCUCGAGAUCAAUAAUUAACAUACAGAAGUAGUAGGAACUGAAACGAGGCUUAAGUCCAACAAUCUUAUAAGUCUACUGAUUAGUAACACGUGAUCCUGAUGGAAAGAAGAGAUAGCCUAGUUCUUAAUCCCCGCAGGAAAGAUAAGAUGACUCAGAUCAGAAGGCAUAAGGUAUAAGGAGUAAAAAGAGCCUUACGUUCCAUCCCACAAUCAAUUCCCUUAUAUAACUAAAGAAUUUCUAGACUCAACUUCGACCAGUUUGGCUUGGUAAUCCUACAGGCAGUCAAGCUCUGAUACCAACGCUGUCAGGACCCCGACUCAAUGCCACAUCGAUCUAGCAUGUAACACAUCAUAUGACUUUGCGGCCUCACGCACGGUAUUCCCACGGGUGUCGCCUUACCUUUGCCCGGGACCGUUUGCGCCUUUUGGCACACGUAUAUGACAGUGUCGCUAGCAUCCAUAUGAUAAGGAGCCCGGGCUGACAUGGCUAGUCGUAAACCCAAAGCGGCACAGACUUACAGGGACAGGCAUCCAUGACCCAGCAUCGAACGUGUCGGUCAUCAGCGAGUGAAUCCAGGCUGUAGCACUGGGCUAGCAGGACUCCGGUGAACCGGGCUGUAGCGGGCUAACAGGACUCCGGUAAUCACCGCGUGACAUUUCCCCGAAGGGACAGACACAGGAACGAAGAAGGACACAUGCCGGCCAGCCUAAGUGUUCCGGAGCAGUAGCAAGCUACCAUGGCUCGGUGGAAACACUAGGAGACAUUUCCCGGUAAGAGGGGCUACCAAGGAUAAACAACUAGGUUGUCAGAUCCCACACAUACCAAGCAUUUCAAUAACAUACACACAAUAUGCUCGAUAUGUGCAAAUACAACAUGGCAUCACAACAUGACUCUACAAUUCAAGUAUUUUAAUCAAUAGGCUCCGAGGAGCGAGAUAUUACAAACAUGGGUCUCAUGACCCAACAAUCAGAGCAUACAAGUCAAGGCACAAGCGGAAGCUUUCAUGUCUGAGUACAGACAUCUAUAAAUGAAAAAGGCUGAGAAGCCUGACUAUCUACCAGAUCCUGCCGAGGGCACAAGAUCGUAGCUGAGGUAUCAAGCUAAACGUCGAAGUCCAAACAGAACUACUAAUGAGACUGAAGUCUCUCUGCAAAAACAUAAAAUAGGCAAACGUGAGUACAAAUGUACCCAGCAAGACUUACAUCAGAUCUAUCUACACAUGCAUCAUUAUCAACAAGGGGGGGUGGUGGAGUUUAACUGCAGCAAGCCAGCUUUGACCCGGUGGCUAUCCUAAACUACGACUGCAAGCAACUCUUUUGAGGUGGCGCACACGAGUCCACAUAAUCACCAUAUCAAUACACCACUAUGGAUCCGCUCCCGUCUCCCUACGAGAACGCCAUCCAUAGCACUCACGCUUAUCUUGCGUAUUUUAGAGUAUCCACUUUCACUUGUCUAUGAACUGAUAUAAGCAACCCAGAAGUCCUUUUCCGCGGACACGGCUAUUCGAAUAGAUGAUGAUAACCCUGCAGGGGUGUACUUCUUCAUACAUGUUUCCACCACUUAGCGUCUGCACACGACAUGUGCUCGGCAGACUUCAAGCGAAAGCCGACGUGGGUGUAGACCACGACCUACCUAAACACUCAAGUCUCUAGUCCAGGUUUAUCGCCUAUUCGGGUUCCAUCCAUGAGGAGAUCCGGCCGGAGUUUCGCUCACAGCCCCAAACGAUGUGAACAGGAUUCCGUGACACCAAACGGGCGCCCGGUUUACCCGGCCACGUGCCUACCGCAUCACAGCCCACCCCUACGGUCAGCGCUGUCCACGGCCUCCAGCAUACUACAAACACCAGAAACUACUUGCAACUCCUGGACAGAGGACAAGGGUGAAUAAGAAGUCGAGCGGGGUCAUAUUUCAGGGCCCAAUGUAUGGUAGUAGCUGAAUCAUGGAUCACAAACACAGAACUCAGUUCCUGAGGACGGCUACAAUGAGACAACCCACCAUGUACUCCUACAUGGCCUCUCACCGCUACCUUUACCAAAUCGUGUUCACACACUUAGCUCACACACAGUAGGACAUGUUCACACACCUCUGAUUCAUCCCCGAUGAAUCAGACCUGACUCAACUCUAAGCAGUAGCAGGCAUGACAAACAAACAUGAAUGAGUAGGCACAUCAGGGCUCAAACAACUCCUACUCAUGCUAGUGGGUUUCAUCUAUUUACUGUGGCAAUGACAGGUCAUGCAGAGGAUAAAGGGGUUCAGCUACCGCAGCAAGUAACAGAUGAAUCGGUGUUGUCCUAAUGCAGUAAAAGAGAGCAGGAGCGAGAGAGUAGGAUUGUAUCGGAAUGAACAAGGGGGUUUUGCUUGCCUGGCACUUCUGAAGAUAACAUUGAGUCUUCAUCAGUGUCAACGAUCACAUCAUCGGUACACGUCUAUCGAGAGGGGACAAAUACCGGCAAAUACAGAAAAGACACGAUCAAUGCAAUGCACAAUAUGAUGCAUGCUAUGACAUGGCAAUAUGAAUGUGUUUUGGGCUAAUGCACCUAAAACCAGAUUAAAUGAAGUUGGUUUGAAUACAAGAUUCAAAUUCAAACUCCGUAUGUGAUUAUUCAAAUGUCAUUCACUUCAUUUGCCCUAAACAGUAGUGAUAAGUUGUUCUAACAUGCAUGAAAAUGGUACAGAUGGAUUCCUUGAAUUUUUCUGAUAAUUUUUCAUAUAUAAUUUAUUUCAUUUGGAGUUACGGUUAAUUUUCUAUGAUUUUUGGAAGUUUUAGGCAUUUUCUGGAAUUUAUAAAUCAUUUAAGAAUUAUCUAAAUUCCAGAAAAUACUUAUCGCGUCAGCCUGACAUCAUCAUGACGUCAGCAGGUCAACGGGGCGCCUCCAGGUCAAACCUGACCAGUGGGGUCCACUGGUCAGUGACUAACUAACUAACCUAAUUUAAUUAGAGCCGGGGCCCGCAUGUCAGUGUCAGCAGAGGGGGUAAUUAGUUAAAAUAGGCUAAACUAAUUAGCAGGGGGGCUGGCCCCACCUGUCAUCGACCCAGGGGGGUCAAACCCCUGGUCAGCGGGGCCUAACCCGCCGGCGUCUAGCCGCCGGCAACGACCAGACGCGGCGGAGGCUCGGGAAUCGCCCACAGAGCACGAUUCGAGUUGCGGCUAGGCGCGCUAGAAAGCCCGCGAUGCGGCGCAUCCAGUGGUGACCGCGGUGUGUGCUGGGGCAGCGUGUAGGGGCGGUGGUGACGGGCCGGGCGGCUGCCGGAGCUACGGCUGCACGGGCGCGAGGGCUGCAGCGCAUUAGCCAGUAAGAAGAGAGGCGCAUCGGGAUCCUAGGGACUGGGCGAGCACGCGGGAGCUACUGGAGCGAGCGGAAGAGCGCCGGGACGCGAGGUCCACCGGCAAUGGCGAUGGCCGGAGCUCGGUGCUUGCGGGGAAGGCGGCUACGGCACGGGAACGAGCAGAAAAGGAGGGGGAAAACGAAGAAGAUCUUACGGCGGUCCUGGAGAUCAGCACGGGAGGCUCAGGGACGGCCUGGCUGCAGCCAAUCGACGACGGAGGGGUCCGGCGACCGGCGGUGAAGAAGAUGGCAAUUGCGUUGCUUCGGUGCCUCCGGGCUCGCGAGAUUCACCGGAGAGGAGCCGCUCGAGGUAGCAGAGGCGAUGGACGACUCGAGGAGGCGAGGCGUGCGCGGUGGCUACAGAUACGGUUGACGGCGGCGAGAGGCGUGCUCGGGGCUGCGAGAGAGAGGGCAGCAGGGGAGAGAGGAGCCGACAGGGAGGGAGUGAGAGGGGGUCGGGGGUGUCGUGGCGUCGCGGAAAGCGACCAGGGCGACGAGGGGGUAGCCAGGCAGGCAAGGAGGAGCUGGCGCGGCUCGCCUGCGCGCCGGGCACGCAGCUGCUUCGGGGCGAGGGGAGGAAGACGACGGAGGGUAGCGGUGGCAGGCUGGGCCGGCCAGGUGGGGGAGCUGGGCCGGUCCUGAUGGACCACCAGGUAAGCGCCAGGUAAGAUGCUUUGCUCUUUUUAUUUUAUUUCUAUUUUAGUUACUGUUUUCUAUUUUCUGUAAUUGUGUUUGGAUUUAUUAAAAAUGCCAGAGCAUUUCCAAAAAUCAUGCAACUGACUGUGGCCACUGUUUGGAAUAUUUCCAGCAGUAAACAUUUCAGUUUGUGAUUAUUUGAGCAUUUAAAAUAUUAUUAGCAAUUAAAUGCCCAAAUGCAAAUACUAUAUAAUUUAAUUCAGAAAUCCAGGAAUAGCCUAUAAUUAUGUUCAUCAUUUUUUUGGAAGAGGUUUUCACCUCUAAUAGAAAUUAUGAACAUUUCCAAAGGGCAUUCUGGGUUAUUGAAAAUAUUUUUAUUGAACCUAGUUAAAUUUCAUUUGGUACUAGGGUUUCAACAAUCCCCAUUUCAAAUUUCUUUGGAAUUUAAACAUGAUGGCAUGAUGAACAAGCAAAGUCAAGCAAGGGCUGAACUGGGGCUGUGACAGAGUGCCGCCACGCAUGCCCUGAUCGUCACUCGCCGGAGGAGGAGGCGGUGGAGGAGGCGGAGUGCCCUGACUCGCCGGAGGAGGAGGAGGAGGCCGAGGCGUCCAUUUCAGAAGGUUGAUGAGCUCCUUCCGCCAUAGGCAUGGAGUCUUCAGAGCAGAACCCAGCCUAGUCUCCCCUUCACCGGUAGGGUGCUCAAGCGCGAGGUCCUCAAAUCCCUCCGUUAUUUCAUCCACCAUCACCUUAGCAAAUCCUUCUGGAAUCGGUUGGCAGUGAUAAGUUGUGCCGGGUCCACUAGGAUAAACUUGGCCAAUAGCCGCCUUGACCUUCAAAUUCAUCCAUCGCGCCAUAAUGUGGCAAUUUUGAGACUCUGUGAUACCAUCCACGGGAUAGCUGGCAGGAGCCGUCAAGACAUGCUCCGGCUGAAGCAUCUCGGUGGAAGCAACACUGCUUCUCCGCUGAGAUGGCGGGGUAGCUUCAGGGGAAGCUUCGGCAUGUUGUUUGUUGCGAUCUGCUGCUUCUCGUUCCUCUUCUUGAUCCUCUAGCCCCAUUACCCUUCCAAGCAGCGCCUGCAUUUGGUCCUGCUCCAAUUUCUUCCUCGUCUCGUGGGUUUUGUAACCCCCUGCGUCUGGAAAACCAACCUUCCACGGAAUGGAGCCUGGCGUGCCUCGUGUCCGUCUAGGGUGCUCGGGAUUCCCAAGGGCCAUUGUGAGCUCGUCCUUCUCCCUGUUUGGAAGGAACAUCCCUCGCUGCGCUGCAUCGAUAUAGUGAAGAAGGUUCUUGACUGGUGUUUGCAGUUGCUCGUCCGUCCACUGACACUUCCCUGUUACAGGGUCCAAGGUUCCGCCAGCCCCGAAGAACCAAGUCCGACAACGGUCUGGCCAGCGCAUUGUCUCUGGUUCGAUCCCUUUUUCAAGCAGAUCAUGCUCAGCCUUGGACCACUUAGGCCGGGCUUUGAGGUAGCCACCUGACCCCGUGCGAUGGUGAAGCUUCUUCUUCGCAGCAUUUUUCUUGUUUGUCUCCGACAUCUUCUUACUCUUUUCCGAUGUCUUGUGGGCCACAAAUGCGGGCCAGUGAUCUUUGAUCUUCUCAUAUUUAACGAUGAAUUCUGGUGUCUUUUUUUUUCUCGACAAACUGGUUCAGCUCUUUCCUCCACCUCCUCAUUAGGCUUGCCAUCUUCUUAAGAGCACAAGACCUGAUUAAUUGCUCUUUAACUGGCUUCUCCGGAUCCUCUGUCACGCCCAAGAUGUGGCCCUAUCCUAAAGGAACUCGAAGGUCCCACCAAGGAUAGAAGCGCAUCUUGAAGACGCUUUUGCAAGGUGGAUAUCAUUACAUCAACAUUACAUAAUAGAUGGGGAUACAUACAAGAGGCAUACAAUGCCACACGAAUACAACAUCAUACAUAAGAGAUCAACAUCCGACUACGGAUGGAACACAAAUAGAAACUCAAACAACAUCCACCCUGCUAGCCCAGGCUGCCGACCUGGAACCUAUCCCCUGAUCAAAGAAGAAGCAGAAGAAGAACUCCAAUACAAGCAAACAUCGCUCUCGCGUCAUGAUCAUCGCAUAACCUGUACCUGCAACUGUUGUUGUAGUAAUCUGUGAGCCACGAGGACUCAGCAAUCCCAUUACCAUGGGUAUCAAGACUAGAAAGGCUUAAUGGGAAAGGAAGGGGUAAAGUGGUGAGGUUGCAGCAGCGGCUAAGCAUAUAUGGUGGCUAACAUACGCAAAUGAGAGCGAGAAGAGAAACAAAGGAAUGGUCGUCAACUAGUAAUGAUCUAGAAGUGAUCCUGAGCUCCUACUUACGUCAAUCAUAACCCAGAAACCGUGUUCACUUCCCGGACUCCGCCGAUAAGAGACCAUCACGGCUGCACACACGGUUGAUGCGUUUUAAUUCGGAUCUGGUGUCAAGUUAUCUACAACCGAAAAUUAACAAAUUCCCAUCUGCCACAUAACCGCGGGCAUGGCUUUCGAAAUAUAAUACCCUGCAGGGGUGUCCCAACUUAGCCCAUGAUAAGCUUUCGCGAUCAACGAAGGAUAUACCUUCUCCCAGGAAGACCCGAUCAGUCUCGGAAUCCCGGUUUACAAGACAUUUCGACAAUGGUAAAACAAAACCAGCAAGACCGCCCGAUGCACCGACAUCCCGAUAGGAGCUGCACAUAUCUCGUUCUCAGGGCAACACCGGAUGAACACUACGUACAACUAAAACCAGACCUCAAGUUUCCCCGAGGUGGCGCUGCAAGUGGCUCUAGUUCGGACCAACACUUAGACAAGCAUUGGCCCGGGGGGGCUGAAUAAAGAUGACCCUCGAGAGAGCGACUCCCAAGGGAAAAGUAGGUGGUGGUGAGGCAAAUGGUAAAACCAAGGUUGGGCCUUGCUGGAGGAGUUUUAUUCAAAGCGAACUGUCAAGGGGGUCCCAUAAAUCACUCGACCGCGUAAGGAACGCAAAAUCCGGGAACAUAACACCGAUAUGACGGAAACUAGGGCGGCAAGAGUGGAACAAAACAUCAGGCAUAAGGCCGAGCCUUCCACCCUUUACCAAAUAUAUAGAUGCAUUAAUUAGAUAAGAGAUAUUGUGAUAUCCCAACAUAAUCCUGUCCAUCAUGGAGCAAUCUUCAACUUCACCUGCAACUAACAACGCUAUAAGAGGGGCUGAGCAAAGCGGUAACAUAGCCAAACAACGGUUUGCUAGGAAGGGUGUCAAAGGUUAGAGGUUCAUGGCAAUUCGGGAGGCUUGAAGAGCAAAUGAUAGGUAACGCAGCAUAGCGAUAGAACGAAGCAACUAGCAUAGCAAUGAUAGUAGUGAGAUCCAGGGUAGCGGUCAUCUUGCCUGAAAUCCCGCUAGGAAGAAGAACGAGUCCAUGAAGAAGACAAGCGGACGUAGUCGAACGAAUCCUCACAAUCGCAACAUUACCGGAACUAAGAAGCAACACCGGAAAGAAACAAACAACAUGGUAAAUGCACAAGCAUAAACAUGGCAUGAUGCACAAACAAGUAUGAUGCAUGUCCGGUUUAAUGAGGCAUGGCAAAAUGCAACAAACAAUACUACAAGUUAAGUGGAGCUCAAUAUGCAACGAGUUGCAUAUUGACAAAACACCACAUCAAUUAUUUAGUUCUCUCUCGGUUAUGCUACUCAUCAAUAUUAAAUUUUGUUAAACAUGGCAAGGGGUGAAGCAUAAUGAAACUACCUAACUAGGCAAGUUUAAAUGAGGCCGGAAAUAAGAAAGAACAAUUCCGGAAAAUCCUCAUGUGCAUAUUUUGAUUUGGUACUGUUCUGCCCUAAACCAUAUUUUAAGGUUGUUAAACAGGAAAAUAAAGUGCACCAUGUUAAACUAGGCAUUUUUCCACCCCAUUUACAUAUAAAGUUUAUUAAAAUUGGAGCUACGGUUAUUUAGUUAUGAAAUAAACCAUUUUAAUAUGGCAUUUGAGCAAAUUUAAACAAACAACAUUUUAAACAUUUUAAACAUGGAUGAAAAUAGCAUAUUAUUAAUCUACACAAAAUUCUAAGCAUUUUACAUGUUUAAAUCAUUUUAAUCCAAUGCACGGUUCAUGAGUUAUUAUAUGCAUGAUGCUUAGGGGUUUUUCUGUAAAACAGUAAACUCCUGGAUAAAUAGCAAAAUCGUUCCGCGGAAAAAAACAUGGAUAGGGCCGAAUCUGGACGGCCCAAAAGUGCAUAGGAGAGGGGGCGGGGGCUGCUCACCCUGGGCCAAGGCCCGGUUGGUGCAGCAGGCCGGUUGAGGAGGCGCUGGGGAAAGAGGCUGCUGGGCUGAUGCGGGUGAAGGGCGACGCGGUGGCCCAGGCACGCUGGCGGCGCGGUCAACGCGAGGCACGAGGGAGCGGGCGCCUCGUCCUCUGCUCGUCAGGAAGCAGAGCAGCGGCGGCGGGGUGCUCUCCAGCGAGGGCGCAACUUGGGAAGGCGGAGAGGAAGGUCGGCGAGAGGCGCAUGCGUCAGUUUCAACGACAACGCAGAUGAGGCACGGGAGGUCGACGCGGUCGUGCGUGGCUGCUGGAGCUUCUCGAGCAGAGAAGAAGUCAGCGAUGGCUGGGUCGUCGAGGACCUCGUCGGCGGCACGAGCAGGAGGGAAACGGCCAGGAUCCAAGGGGGAGGACGCACGGGCUCGUCUGUUUCUUGUCCCGGGCAAAGAGAGACAGAGAGAGGUGAGACAGGGAGAGGGAAAGGAAGAGAGGGCGCGAGGGAGGCCCGACGGCAUGACCUGGAGGAGCUGGUGAUCAUCGACGGUGAGACGAGGCGGGGGUCGCGAGGAAGACAGCGGAGCUCUGGAUCGGGAGGAGCUCGGCUCUCCUCGGGCGUUGCACAACGCGGAAGGGAUGCAGGGAGCAGCGGGAGGAGGAGGCGCGCACGGGAGGGGCGCCAUGGGUCUUGGGUGCGUGCUCGAGCUUGAGCAGCGAGCUCCUCUUGCUCGGACGCGGGCGUCGCAAGGACGAAGGACGGCGAGGUGGCGGCUCGGGCUUCGGUGGCAUGGUGAGGAGCUUAGGCAGGGAGGUGGAUCGAGGAGGGGAUGGAUUUGGGUUGGUUGGUGUUGAACGAGGGGGGAUUUGGAUCAGGGAGGAUCCCGAUGUAGAUGGUGGCGACGCUAGGGUAGGAUCCCUAGAAAUUAGGUGGUUUUUCUAGGUUAGUUAGGUGGGGUCUAUAUAUAUCAAAUGGAUUUUUGACAGGGGCAUUAGGUCCCUCCGAUCGUAAUCGGACGGCCGAAAAAAUAGGCUAGAGAGUCCAAAUAAGAAAACGGAGAUAUUUGAUAGACGUUUGGGGAUGAUCCGGAUCCAUCGGUAACGACAGACCUGUUCGGGUUCGGGUAAGAUUCGGACACGCACACGAGGGGUCUGAGAGAGGUCAACGAGGGCAAGGGCCUGCCAAAAUAACAACGGAGGCAAAGAGAGAAAGGGCAACUGCGAACGGCUACGAGUUUUUAUAAAAACAUGUGGAUGCAAUGCACAUGAUGCCAUGAGAUGAAAUGCAUGACAUGAACAAAAUGCAAAAACAAAAUACAAAAACCCAACCACGAAGGAAAAUAAAAUAUCACAUCUACGGAAAAGGCAAGAGUUGGAGUUAUGAAUGUGGAAAGUUGUAUCCGGUGCGUUACAACACUCCACCACUACGAGAGGAUCUCGUCCCGAGAUCUGGGAUGGCGCCGGAGAGAAAAACGGAAGAGCAAGAGAGAAGGUAAACCAAGUCGCUUCUUUGACGAACGAGUGAAACCACAAACCUUGAGAGGUUGAGCAAUUUAAAAGAAAGGGUACAACAGAGAUGAACGAGAUUGCAAACAACCCGGUAGAAAAGAGGAACAAGGAGUAUUACGAGAACAUGAAGGUUGAAAGACAUGGAAAUAAGAGCUUCAUGAACGAAAAGAAUAUGACAACCUCGGUAUAAUGAGAUAGCCAAGGAACAAGAAUGACCGAAUUUGGACAGCACUCCGGUAGAAAAGAGAAGAAAACUUGAUGAGAUGAAAAGACAUUGAAGAGAUGAUACAACACUCCGGUUAAAUGGAUAAGCAAGAAAAGAACACGAUCCUCACAAAACGAGGUGAUGUGUGAAGGGCGCAACAUCACAAUACCUCCGGAACGAAAGAAUAGAAGCUAGACCGUUGGGAUAAAGGGAUGGAGAAGAAAAUGACAACUUCUACCACAAUUGAAUUUGGAAGGCAUCCUUGAAAGAAGGUUAGAAUAGAGUUGUUGGAAGACCAACAACGAAAAGAAUAAGUUUGUAGUGGGCUUAUGGAAACAUCUCAACAUUAUGAGGUGACAACCGACCACUAAAGGAAACAAUUGCUAGCUUUAGAUCGACGAAGAGAUGAACACUUCUUCCACCAAGAUGAUAAAGAGAUAACUUGGAUCAUUGAUAAGCACCACAAAAGCAACAUUCCUUAGGGAAGGCUUUAGGUGAAAUAUGACACAAGAUAACUCCAACAACGAGGUUGAUGGUUGAAAAGAUCUCUUGAACAAAGAGAAAAUGAUGGAUUUAAAUAUCUCAUUCUUAACAACUUGCGAAUCAUGAAACACGAAGUGAAAUUGUCAAGAAUGACAUAAGACCACCCCAAAAGGUAGAAAGAAUUGCACUUUGGGAUGCACGAUGAAGAAUGCUUGAACUCCUCAAAACAAAACAUGUGUUGAGCACCAUGUUUAAUUUUGAGUAUAGCUUGGCUGAUCUUAACUUCAAGAGAAAUCUUGAAGAACAAUUGAAGAAUGAAAAGAAUCCUUGACGAACCACCAUGUAGAGCCUCCAUGAAGAACUCCGGUAAAAAAAGGAUGAUAAAAAAGAAAGGGAAGUUGAAAACACAAGGUGAAGCCUUGCCAUGAUUUAGAUGGAGCUUCGCGAUGAUAUAACCGAGAGAACUUGGAACUCCGAAAAGAAAAGAUGAUCUUAGAACCGAGAAUUUAUUCCUCAAGAACAAACUCCAAAGGAAACAAUUAAUCACUUGGAUGAAACAAUAAUAAGAAUUACGUUAUGCCUAUCCUUCACCAAUUUAAAUUGAUGACAAGCAACGGAUUUGGCAUACUACUUAUUCCUAUAGAAAGAAUUAAAAGAGAUAUAGCGCAAGCUUGAGAAGGUAUUGAUGGUUUCCACCGGUGGGAUUUGGAAACAACGAAUGAAUUGAUAUGAUAACGAAGGAAGUGAAAUCUUGAACGAACCACCGUAAGAAUUCAAAAUGAAAGUAGCAAAGGCACAAUUCACUGGGAAGAGUUGGAAAACGAAUGAAGAUACUUGAGGGGAUUUAGAUACCUGAGAACAAAGAGAUCAUGAACUGAUUAGAGGAUAUCUGAACGAUUCAUUGAUAAGAUUUGGAGAACGAUAGCUACACACUGAGAAUAAAGAAUUAUGGCAUGAUGGCCUUCGGAGGGAAGAAAUGGAAACAACUCAUGAAAUGCUCCGGAUGGUAAGAAAAGAAUUGUCACAAUCAAAACAAUUAUGAGGAUAGCAUGAAGCUAGAACCAUGAAUCUUCAAGAGAAUGGACCAAGAUUUAAGAGAAACUCUUCUUCGGUCUUCACAUGUUGAGAAUGAUCAUGAGAACCACCAUGACAAUUGUUGAGGCACUCCGGAAUGAAAAUUGGAAAGGUUGAACCAAUGAUGAAAAGAAUUUGAAAGAUCUUGGAGAAAGACAUAUGACUGAUGAUAACCCAUUCUUACGUCAAACUUUGAAAAGAAUUUUAGAAGCUCCGGGAAAAUUAGAAGAGUCAGGUAAGAUCCUGGGAAAAGACCUGUGCGUUAGGGCCCACUGAAAAGAAACACACCGUUGAACAAUUUUAAAGAGAGGUUGCACCGGUUGAAUUAAAUGACUUGAAUGAGAUAAUAAUCUCCAAAUAGCUUGAACGGGUCUUGAAUGAAAAGAUGAGCCUUGUGAGAUAUCUUCAGCACUCCAGAACAAAUGGAUAGGAAGAAGUGAAUGAUUAAGAGGUGCAUCGGCAUGAGAAAGCAUUAGAAACGAGGAAAAGAAUAUGAUGAAUAUCGAAAGCUUGAAUUGGAUCCACCGGAGAAGAAACAACAAUGAAGGAUGAUGAACUUGAAACUGUUGAGCAUCUUCAUGGGAAAUCACCGGAUAAGAACAUUGAAAGAAAAGAAUGAAGAGAAUUCUCACAAAUAAAAGGAUACAUGAUUAAGAAAUCUGAGUCCUUGAAAAAAGGGUGGGAGGGCGGGAAAACAAAGGCAACUUGGGGACGGAUGAAACGAAUACCGUUGAGAAAACUUAGAAUUGAUCUCGCAAAUAUUGAAAUGAUCGGAUUCACUUGAAGAGAAGCACGCUGGUUGAAAAAGAAUUAACAUGACGACCUCGAUGAUCAAGAAGGAUUAGUACUCCCAUAGAAAUAUGAGAACACCGUUUAGAAAAGGUAUGGAAUCAACACUUGACAUUGAAGCAACUCAAAUACCACAACUCAAAACAAAAUAAAGGAUUGGCUUGCAGAAAUAAGCCGGAACAAAUACAUAUGAUAGAGAUUUACCCAAUCCCAUAUCAGGCAUCUGUCGGAAAGAUAUUCUAGGAGCUACUUGAAUUCCCACCUAUAAAACUCCCGAAACUUUCUGGUUAUGCAAUCUGGUGUUGGGGAUACAGGGGAAGCAAUAUAUAUCUCACCCAAAACUAACAAUCCAUACAUCCAGCUGUAUCCAUCCGUCAACACAUAACCAAGAAAACUCCAAAAAUCGUGUACCUCAACCUUCGAAAAGCAUCCGUUAUACGAGCUAUGGCAAUACUCCCGAACUCCCCAGUACUGGGUGGCGUCGAGGUUAUCUCACCAACAACUGCAUAAAAGAGAUUUUCAAUGUCGGCAAAACUCAGGUAUUCCAGAACUGCAACGAUAAAAUUAUGACGACAACACCUCGGAGCUCAACUCCCCGGGACACUGCCACAACCCCUAAAUGUCAGGAGGCACCAAGAACAAUGUUCUCGUCAUAAGAAUAUCGGAACUAUCCCAAGAUACCCGCGUGAUCCUAAAAAAAUUCAUGAAAUUUGAGGAGAGGAAAGUCAAAACAUCUACGUCAGGAGUCCUCACCAGAGCGACGAAGGGGGCUGAGGAGUAAAAAUAAUCCUACUCUCCGAUAUAUAUAAUCCUAAGACUCAAAAUAGUUUUCUUCUAGACUCAACAACGGCCAACAAUCAAGGGGGCUCCUAUGGUCGGUCGAGGCUCUGAUACCAACUUGUCACGCCCAAGAUGCGGCCCUAUCCUAAAGGAACUCGAAGGUCCCACCAAGGAUAGAAGCACAUCUUGAAGACACUUUUGCAAGGUGGAUAUCAUUACAUCAACAUUACAUAAUAGAUGGGGAUACAUACAAGAGGCAUACAAUGCCACACGAAUACAACAUCAUACAUAAGAGAUCAACAUCCGACUACGGAUGGAACAAAAACAGAAACUCAAACAACAUCCACCCUGCUAGCCCAGGCCGCCGACCUGGAACCUAUCCCCUGAUCGAAGAAGAAGCAGAAGAAGAACUCCAAUACAAGCAAACAUCGCUCUCGCGGCAUGAUCAUCGCAUAACCUGUACCUGCAACUGUUGUUAUAGUAAUCUGUGAGCCACGAGGACUCAGCAAUCCCAUUACCAUGGGUAUCAAGACUAGCAAGGCUUAAUGGGAAAGGAAGGGGUAAAGUGGUGAGGUUGCAGCAGCGGCUAAGCAUAUAUGGUGGCUAACAUACGCAAAUGAGAGCGAGAAGAGAAACAAAGGAACGGUCGUCAACUAGUAAUGAUCUAGAAGUGAUCCUGAGCUCCUACUUACGUCAAUCAUAACCUAGAAACCGUGUUCACUUCCCGGACUCCGCCGAGAAGAGACCAUCACGGCUACACACACGGUUGAUGCAUUUUAAUUCGGAUCUGGUGUCAAGUUAUCUACAACCGAACAUUAACAAAUUCCCAUCUGCCACAUAACCGCGGGCAUGGCUUUCGAAAGAUAAUACCCUGCAGGGGUGUCCCAACUUAGCCCAUGAUAAGCUUUCGCGAUCAACGAAGGAUAUACCUUCUCCCAGGAAGACCCGAUCAGUCUCGGAAUCCCGGUUUACAAGACAUUUCGACAAUGGUAAAACAAAACCAGCAAGACCGCCCGAUGCACCGACAUCCCGAUAGGAGCUGCACAUAUCUCGUUCUCAGGGCAACACCGGAUGAACACUACGUACAACUAAAACCAGACCUCAAGUUUCCCCGAGGUGGCGCUGCAAGUGGCUCUAGUUCGGACCAACACUUAGACAAGCAUUGGCCCGGGGGGGCUGAAUAAAGAUGACCCUCGAGAGAGCGACUCCCAAGGGAAAAGUAGGUGGUGGUGAGGCAAAUGGUAAAACCAAGGUUGGGCCUUGCUGGAGGAGUUUUAUUCAAAGCGAACUGUCAAGGGGGUCCCAUAAAUCACCCGACCGCGUAAGGAACGCAAAACCCGGAAACAUAACACCGGUAUGACGGAAACUAGGGCGGCAAGAGUGGAACAAAACAUCAGGCAUAAGGCCGAGCCUUCCACCCUUUACCAAAUAUAUAGAUGCAUUAAUUAGAUAAGAGAUAUUGUGAUAUCCCAACAUAAUCCUGUCCAUCAUGGAGCAAUCUUCAACAUCACCUGCAACUAACAACGCUAUAAGAGGGGCUGAGCAAAGCGGUAACAUAGCCAAACAAUGGUUUGCUAGGAAGGGUGUCAAAGGUUAGAGGUUCAUGGCAAUUCGGGAGGCUUGAAGAGCAAAUGAUAGGUAACGCAGCAUAGCGAUAGAACGAAGCAACUAGCAUAGCAAUGAUAGUAGUGAGAUCCAGGGUAGAGGUCAUCUUGCCUGAAAUCCCGCUAGGAAGAAGAACGAGUCCAUGAAGAAGACAAGCAGACGUAGUCGAACGAAUCCUCACAAUCGCAACAUUACCGGAACUAAGAAGCAACACCGGAAAGAAACAAACAACAUGGUAAAUGCACAAGCAUAAACAUGGCAUGAUGCACAAACAAGUGUGAUGCAUGUCCGGUUUAAUGAGGCAUGGCAAAGUGCAACAAACAAUACUACAAGUUAAGUGGAGCUCAAUAUGCAACGAGUUGCAUAUUGACAAAACACCACAUCAAUUAUUUAGUUCUCUCUCGGUUAUGCUACUCAUCAGUAUUAAAUGUUGUUAAACAUGGCAAGGGGUGAAGCAUAAAGAAACUACCUAACAAGGCAAGUUUAAAUGAGGCCGGAAAUAAGAAACAACAAUUCCGAAAAAUCCCCAUGUGCAUAUUUUGAUUUGGUACUGUUCUGCCCUAAACCAUAUUUUAAGGUUGUUAACCAGGAAAAUAAAGUGCACCAUGUUAAACUAGGCAUUUUUCCACCCCAUUUACAUAUAAAGUUUAUUAAAAUUGGAGCUACGGUUAUUUAGUUAUGAAAUAAACCAUUUUAACAUGGCAUUUGAGCAAAUUUAAACAAACAACAGUUUAAACAUUUUAAACAUGGAUGAAAGUGGCAUAUUAUUAAUCUACACAAAAUUCUAAGCAUUUUACAUGUUUUAAUCAUUUUAAUCCAAUGCACGGUUCAUGAGUUAUUAUAUGCAUGAUGCUUAGGGGUUUUUCUGUAAAACAGUAAACUCCUGGAUAAAUAGCAAAAUCGUUCCGCGGAAAAAAACAUGGAUAGGGCCGAAUCUGGACGGCCCAAAAGUGCACAGGAGAGGGGGCGGGGGCUGCUCACCCUGGGCCAAGGCCCGGUUGGUGCAGCAGGCCGGCUGAGGAGGCGCUAGGGAAAGAGGCUGCUGGGCUGAUGCGGGUGAAGGGCGACGCAGUGGCCCAGGCACGCUGGCGGCGCGGUCAACGCGAGACACGAGGGAGUGGGCGCCUCGUCCUCUGCUCGUCAGGAAGUAGAGCAGCGGCGGCGGGGUGCUCUCCGGCGAGGGCGCAGCUUGGGAAGGCGGAGAGGAAGGUCGGCGAGAGGCGCAUGCGUCAGUUCCAACGACGACGCAGAUGAGGCACAGGAGGUCGACGCGGUCGUGCGUGGCUGCUGGAGCUGCUCAAGCAGAGAAGAAGUCGACGAUGGCUGGGUCGUCGGGGACCUCGUCGGCGGCACGAGCAGGAGGGAAACGGCCAGGAUCCAAGGGGAGGACGCACGGGCUCGUCUGGUUCUUGUCCCUGGCAAAGAGAGACAGAGAGAGGUGAGACAGGAAGAGGGAAACGAAGAGAGGGCACGAGGGAGGCCCGACGGCGUGACCUGGAGGAGCUGGUGAUCGUCGGUGGUGAGACGAGGUGGGGGUCGCGAGGAAGACAGCGGAGCUCUGGAUCGGGAGGAGCUCGGCUCUCCUCGGGCGUUGCACAGCGCGGAAGGGAUGCAGGGAGUAGCGGGAGGAGGAGGCGCGCACGGGAGGGGCGCCAUGGGUCUUGGGUGCGUGCUCGAGCUUGAGCAGCGAGCUCCUCUUGCUCGGACGCGGGCGUCGCAAGGACGAAGGACGGCGAGGUGGCGGCUCGGGCUUCGGUGGCGUGGUGAGGAGCUCAGGCAGGGAGGUGGAUCGAGGAGGGGAUGGAUUUGGGUUGGCUGGUGUUGAACGAGGGGGGGAUUUGGAUCAGGGAGAUCCCGAUGUAGAUGGUGGCGGCGCUAGGGUAGGUUCCCUAGAAAUUAGGUGGUUUGUCUAGGUUAGUUAGGUGGGGUCUAUAUAUAGCUAAUGGAUUUUUUAUAGGGGCAUUAGGUCCCUCCGAUCGUAAUCGGACGGUCGAAAAAAUAGGCUAGAGAGUCCAAAUAAGAAAACGGAGAUAUUUUAUAGACGUUUGGGGAUGAUCCGGAUCCAUCGGUAACGAUAGACCGGUUCGGGUUCGGGUAAGAUUCGGACACGCACACGAGGGGUCUGAGAGAGGUCAACGAGGGCAAGGGCCUGCCAAAAUAACAACGGAGGCAAAGAGAGAAAGGGAAACUGCGAACGGCUACGAGUUUUUAUGAAAACAUGUGGAUGCAAUGCACAUGAUGCCAUGAGAUGAAAUGCAUGACAUGAACAAAAUGCAAAAACAAAAGACAAAAACCCAACCACGAAGGAAAAUAAAAUAUCACAUCUCCGGAAAAGGCAAGAGUUGGAGUUAUGAAUGUGGAAAGUUGUAUCCGGUGCGUUACAUCCUCCUCUGGCGGUAGGGUGACAUUUGCCUUCAGCUCAGUCCAAAGAUCUUCUUUUUGCAUAUCAUUGACAUAAGACACCUCAUGGUCUUCAUCCUUAGCAGGCUUAUACCAUUGCUGGAUGCUGAUCGGGAUCUUGUCCCUAACAAGAACCCCGCACUGAGCAGAAAAUGCCUUCCUUGUCCGGAUGGGUUCAAUCGGUUCGCCAUCGGGCGCGAUUUCUAUGAUCUCAAACUUUUCAUCCGAGCUCAACUUUUUCUUCGGGCCUUGUCUCCUUACCGAAGUUGUGCUUGAUCCGGAGGGCUAGAAAUUAUAAGGAAGAAAGACGACAGUAAUUAAUAUGUGUACAUAUACCAAAACAAUGGAUGCAUCAAUUACUAGUUAGCAUGGGCUUAACUAAUAUAUAUAUACCUGGCCGGACUCGGUUCGGUGACCGGAGCAGUCAGCCCGGUCUCCUUCUUGUACCUCCAUUGUGUCACCGGAGACAUCAUGAACAUACUCCUCCUCUUGUACCGGCAUUAAUGGGUCGAAGCCAUCAUAAACAUAGCCCUCUUCUUCAUCCAGUCCUUCCAGCUGACCAUCGGUGUCGAUGAGAAAUGACGCAACAUCAUCACUUCCAUUUGCGAUUAUGUCCCCCAACAUCGCUUCUGUUUCUUCGUCUCAGGAGUGCUCCAUAGUUUCUGCAAAUAUUUACAACAUGUCAAUUAUUAUUCAAACAUGGUACAGAUGGAUAUAUAUAUAUAUAUAUAUAUAUAUAUAUAUAUAUAUAUAUAUAUAUAUAUAUAUAUNNNNNNNNNNNNNNNNNNNNNNNNNNNNNNNNNNNNNNNNNNNNNNNNNNNNNNNNNNNNNNNNNNNNNNNNNNNNNNNNNNNNNNNNNNNNNNNNNNNNNNNNNNNNNNNNNNNNNNNNNNNNNNNNNNNNNNNNNNNNNNNNNNNNNNNNNNNNNNNNNNNNNNNNNNNNNNNNNNNNNNNNNNNNNNNNNNNNNNNNNNNNNNNNNNNNNNNNNNNNNNNNNNNNNNNNNNNNNNNNNNNNNNNNNNNNNNNNNNNNNNNNNNNNNNNNNNNNNNNNNNNNNNNNNNNNNNNNNNNNNNNNNNNNNNNNNNNNNNNNNNNNNNNNNNNNNNNNNNNNNNNNNNNNNNNNNNNNNNNNNNNNNNNNNNNNNNNNNNNNNNNNNNNNNNNNNNNNNNNNNNNNNNNNNNNNNNNNNNNNNNNNNNNNNNNNNNNNNNNNNNNNNNNNNNNNNNNNNNNNNNNNNNNNNNNNNNNNNNNNNNNNNNNNNNNNNNNNNNNNNNNNNNNNNNNNNNNNNNNNNNNNNNNNNNNNNNNNNNNNNNNNNNNNNNNNNNNNNNNNNNNNNNNNNNNNNNNNNNNNNNNNNNNNNNNNNNNNNNNNNNNNNNNNNNNNNNNNNNNNNNNNNNNNNNNNNNNNNNNNNNNNNNNNNNNNNNNNNNNNNNNNNNNNNNNNNNNNNNNNNNNNNNNNNNNNNNNNNNNNNNNNNNNNNNNNNNNNNNNNNNNNNNNNNNNNNNNNNNNNNNNNNNNNNNNNNNNNNNNNNNNNNNNNNNNNNNNNNNNNNNNNNNNNNNNNNNNNNNNNNNNNNNNNNNNNNNNNNNNNNNNNNNNNNNNNNNNNNNNNNNNNNNNNNNNNNNNNNNNNNNNNNNNNNNNNNNNNNNNNNNNNNNNNNNNNNNNNNNNNNNNNNNNNNNNNNNNNNNNNNNNNNNNNNNNNNNNNNNNNNNNNNNNNNNNNNNNNNNNNNNNNNNNNNNNNNNNNNNNNNNNNNNNNNNNNNNNNNNNNNNNNNNNNNNNNNNNNNNNNNNNNNNNNNNNNNNNNNNNNNNNNNNNNNNNNNNNNNNNNNNNNNNNNNNNNNNNNNNNNNNNNNNNNNNNNNNNNNNNNNNNNNNNNNNNNNNNNNNNNNNNNNNNNNNNNNNNNNNNNNNNNNNNNNNNNNNNNNNNNNNNNNNNNNNNNNNNNNNNNNNNNUCUGUUAGUGCCAUUACUUUUUAAAUUUGAAAACACUUUUUUUGUUUUCUUUCUUGCUUUAUUUAUUUUAUUUUGUUUCUACUUACAAAAAAAAUACUUAUUGUUGUUUUUUUUGUUUUGUUUUCUGCAUUAUUUAUUUUCUUUUGUUUUUUGCUUUAUCUUUAAUUCUUUUUGCUUUUAGUUUUAGGAAAAUUAUAAACUUUCCACUUUUUUUGUUUUUUUGUUUUCUUUCUUGCUUUAUUUAUUUUAUUUUGUUUCUACUUACAACAAAAUACUUAUUGUUGCUAUUUUUAAUUAUUACGAGGGCCGAAGCAUAAGACAUUAAAGCAUUUCAAAUGAACUCUGAAAAAGUUGAAAGUUGGCAUGGUAUCAUAAAUUGACCCACACAUAGCAUGUGCAUGUACAAAACGGACAAUGGUAUCAUACUCGUGAGUUACAAAGUUGGCAUGGUAUCAUCAUAAUAGUUGCGGGAGAAAGUCUUCACUUUUUCUUCGCUUGUGUCAUUUGCUUAUUGCGCCGUAACCAUGGAUAAUCUUCAUCGUUUAUCAGGAUGCUGGGGUCAGCCUUGACUUUAAAGGAAGGAAUUUCAUGAAACUUUUCAUAAUCUUCAGACAUGUCUGUCUUGUCCUCCACUCCCACGAUGUCUCUUUUUCCUGAAAGAACUAUGUGGCGCUUUGGCUCAUCGUAUGAUGUAUUCGCUUCCUUAUCUUUUCUCUUUCUCGGUCUGGUAGACAUGUCCUUCACAUAGAUAACCUGUGCCACAUCAUUGGCUAGGACGAACGGUUCGUUAGUGUACCCAAGAUUUUUCAGAUCCACUGUUGUCAUUCCGUACUGUGGGUCUACCUGUACCCCGCCUCCUGACAGAUUGACCCAUUUGCACUUAAACAAAGGGACCUUAAAAUCAUGUCCGUAGUCAAGUUCCCAUAUGUCCACUAUGUAACCAUAAUAUGUGUCCUUUCCCCUCUCGGUUGUUGCAUCAAAGCGGACACCGCUGUUUUGGUUGGUGCUCUUUUGAUCUUGGUCAAUCGUGUAAAAUGUAUUCCCAUUUAUCUCGUAUCCUUUCCAAAUCAAUACAGUCAAAGAUGGUCCCCUGGAUAACAAGUACAGCUCAUCACAAAUGGUGUUGUCACCUCUGAUACGUGCUUCCAACCAACUGCUGAAAGUCCUGAUGUGUUCACAUGUAAUCCAGUCGUCGCACUGCUCCAGGUGUUUGGAGCGCAGACUGUUCUUGUGUUCAUCGACAUACGGGGUCACCAAGGUAGAGUUCUGUAGAACUGUGUAGUGUGCUUGAGACCAAGAAUAUCCGUCCCUGCAUAUUAUUGAGUCCCUUCCAAGCGUGCCUUUUCCAGUCAGUCUCCCCUCAUACCGCGAUUUAGGGAGACCUAUCUUCUUAAGGCCAGGAAUGAAGUCAACACAAAACCCGAUGACAUCCUCUGUUUGAUGGCCCAUGGAGAUGCUUCCUUCUGUCCUAGCGCGGUUACGGACAUAUUUCUUUAGGACUCCCAUGAACCUCUCAAAGGGGUACAUAUUGUGUAGAAAUACGGGGCCCAGAAUGACAAUCUCGUCAACUAGAUGAACUAGGACGUGCGUCAUGAUAUUGAAGAAGGAUGGUGGGAACACCAGCUCNNNNNNNNNNUUUUAGUUUUAGGAAAAUUAUAAACUUUCUGUUAGUGCCAUUACUUUUUAAAUUUGAAAACACUUUUUUUGUUUUCUUUCUUGCUUUAUUUAUUUUAUUUUGUUUCUACUUACAAAAAAAUACUUAUUGUUGUUUUUUUGUUUUGUUUUCUGCAUUAUUUAUUUUCUUUUUUUUGCUUUAUUUUUAAUUCUUUUUGCUUUUAGUUUUAGGAAAAUUAUAAACUUUCCACUUUUUUUGUUUUUUUGUUUUCUUUCUUGCUUUAUUUAUUUUAUUUUGUUUCUACUUACAACAAAAUACUUAUUGUUGCUAUUUUUAAUUAUUACGAGGGCCGAAGCAUAAGACAUUAAAGCAUUUCAAAUGAACUCUGAAAAAGUUGAAAGUUGGCGUGGUAUCAUAAAUUGACCCACACAUAGCAUGUGCAUGUACAAAACGGACAAUGGUAUCAUACUCGUCAGUUACAAAGUUGGCAUGGUAUCAUCAUAAUAGUUGCGGGAGAAAGUCUUCACUUUUUCUUCGCUUGUGUCAUUUGCUUAUUGCGCUGUAACCAUGGAUAAUCUUCAUCGUUUAUCAGGAUGCUGGGGUCAGCCUUGACUUUAAAGGGAGGAAUUUCAUGAAACUUUUCAUAAUCUUCAGACAUGUCUGUCUUGUCCUCCACUCCCACGAUGUCUCUUUUUCCUGAAAGAACUAUGUGGCGCUUUGGCUCAUCGUAUGAUGUAUUCGCUUCCUUAUCUUUUCUCUUUCUCGAUCUGGUAGACAUGUCCUUCACAUAGAUAACCUGUGCCACAUCAUUGGCUAGGACGAACGGUUCGUUAGUGUACCCAAGAUUUUUCAGAUCCACUGUUGUCAUUCCGUACUGUGGGUCUACCUGUACCCCGCCUCCUGACAGAUUGACCCAUUUGCACUUAAACAAAGGGACCUUAAAAUCAUGUCCGUAGUCAAGUUCCCAUAUGUCCACUAUGUAACCAUAAUAUGUGUCCUUUCCCCUCUCGGUUGUUGCAUCAAAGCGGACACCGCUGUUUUGGUUGGUGCUCUUUUGAUCUUGGUUAAUCGUGUAAAAUGUAUUCCCAUUUAUCUCGUAUCCUUUCCAAAUCAAUACAGUCAAAGAUGGUCCCCUGGAUAACAAGUACAGCUCAUCACAAACGGUGUUGUCACCUCUGAUACGUGCUUCCAACCAACUGCUGAAAGUCCUGAUGUGUUCACAUGUAAUCCAGUCGUCGCACUGCUCCGGGUGUUUGGAGCGCAGACUGUUCUUGUGUUCAUCGACAUACGGGGUCACCAAGGUAGAGUUUUGUAGAACUGUGUAGUGUGCUUGAGACCAAGAAUAUCCGUCCCUGCAUAUUAUUGAGUCCCUUCCAAGCGUGCCUUUUCCAGUCAGUCUCCCCUCAUACCGCGAUUUAGGGCGACCUAUCUUCUUAAGGCCAGGAAUGAAGUCAACACAAAACCCGAUGACAUCCUCUGUUUGAUGGCCCAUGGAGAUGCUUCCUUCUGUCCUAGCGCGGUUACGGACAUAUUUCUUUAGGACUCCCAUGAACCUCUCAAAGGGGUACAUAUUGUGUAGAAAUACGGGGCCCAGAAUGACAAUCUCGUCAACUAGAUGAACUAGGACGUGCGUCAUGAUAUUGAAGAAGGAUGGUGGGAACACCAGCUCGAAAUUGACAAUCUGGAUCGAUCACCUUCUGAGAGAUUGCAUUGAGGAAUGCACAUAGCUUCACAAUGGCUAAUCGGACGUUUUUCGGUAGAAGCCCCCUCAAUGCAACCGGAAGCAGUUGUGUCAUAAUCACGUGGCAGUCAUGAGACUUUAGGUUCUGAAACUUUUUCUCUGCCAUAUUUAUUAUUCCUUUUAUAUUCAACGAGAAGCCAGUCGGGACCUUCAUACUAAGCAGGCAUUCAAAGAAGAUUUCCUUCUCUUCUUUGGUAAGAGCAUAGCUGGCAGGACCUUCAUACUGCUUUGGAGGCAUGCCGUCUUUUUCGUGCAAACGUUGCAGGUCCUCCCGUGCCUCAGCUGUAUCUUUUGUCUUCCCAUACACGCCCAAGAAGCCUAGCAGGUUCACGCAAAGGUUCUUCGUCACGUGCAUCACGUCGAUCGAAGAGCGGACCUCUAGGUCUUUUCAGUAGGGUAGGUCCCAAAAUAUAGAUUUCUUCUUCCACAUGGGUGCGUGUCCCCCAACGUCACUCGGAACAGCUAGUUCGCCGGGACCCUUUCCAAAGAUUACGUGUAAAUCAUUGACCAUAGCAAGUACGUGAUCACCGGUACGCAUGGCGGGCUUCUUCCGGUGAUCUGCCUCGCCUUUGAAAUGCUUUCCUUUCUUUCGACAUUGAUGGUUGGUCGGAAGAAAUCGAUGAUGGCCCAGGUACACAUUCUUCCUGCAGCUUGCCAGGUAUAUACUAUCGGUGUCAAGUAAACAGUGCGUGCAUGCGUGGUAUCCCUUGUUUGUCUGUCCUGAAAGGUUACUGAGAGCGGGCCAAUCGUUGAUGGUCACGAAUAGCAACGCCUUUAGGUUAAAUUCCUCCUGUUUGUGCUCAUCCCACGUACGUACACCGUUUCCAUUCCACAGCUGUAAAAGUUCUUCAACUAAUGGCCUUAGGUACACAUCAAUGUCAUUGCCGGGUUGCUUAGGGCCUUGGAUGAGAAGUGGCAUCAUAAUGAACUUCCACUUCAUGCACAUCCAAGGAGGAAGGUUAUACAUACAUAGAGUCACGGGCCAGGUGCUGUGAUUGCUGCUCUGCUCCCCGAAAGGAUUAAUGCCAUCCGCGCUUGAAGCAAACCAUACGUUCCUUGGCUCACUUGCAAACUCAUCCCAGUACUUUCUCUCGAUUUUUUUCCACUGUGACCCGUCAACGGGUGCUCUCAACUUCCCGUCUUUCUUACGGUCCUCAAUGUGCCAUCGCAUCAACUUGGCAUGCUCUCCGUUUCUGAACAGACGUUUCAACCGUGGUAUUAUAGGAGCAUACCACAUCACCUUCGCAGGAACCCUCUUCCUGGGGGGCUCGCCAUCAACAUCACCAGGGUCAUCUCGUCUGAUCUUAUACCAUAAUGCACCGCAUACCGGGCAUGCGUUCAGAUCCUUGUACGCACCGCGGUAGAGGAUGCAGUCAUUAGGGCAUGCAUGUAUCUUCUGCACCUCCAAUCCUAAAGGGCAUACGACCUUCUUUGAUGCGUAUGUACUGUCGGGCAAUUCGUUAUCCUUUGGAAGCUUCUUCUUCAAUAUUUUAAGUAGCUUCUCAAAUCCUUUGUCAGGCAUAGCAUUCUCUGCCUUCCACUGCAGCAAUUCCAGUACGGUACCGAGCUUUGUGUUGCCAUCUUCGCAAUUGGAGUACAACCCUUUUUUGUGGUCCUCUAGCAUGCGAUCGAACUUCAGCUUCUCCUUUUGACUUUCGCAUUGCGUCCUUGCAUCGACAAUGACCCGGCAGAGAUCAUCAUCAUCGGGCACAUCGUCUGGUUCCUCUUGAUCUUCACCAGCUUCGCCCAUUGCAGCAUCAUCGUGCACAUCGUCUGGUUCCUCUUGAUCUUCAGGAGCAUCACUGUAUUCAGGGGGCACAUAGUUGUCAUCGUACUCUUCUUCUUCGCCGUCUUCCAUCAUAACCCCUAUUUCUCCGUGCCUCGUCCAAACAUUAUAGUGUGGCAUGAAACCCUUGUAAAGCAGGUGGGUGUGGAGGAUUUUCCGGUCAGAGUAAGACUUCGUAUUCCCACAUAUAGGGCAUGGACAACACAUAAAACCAUUCUACUUGUUUGCCUCAGCCACUUCGAGAAAAUCAUGCACGCCCUUAAUGUACUCGGAGGUGUGUCUUGAACCGUACAUCCAUUGCCGGUUCAUCUGCGUGCAUUAUAUAAUGAAGUGACAAAAUUAAUAGAAGUUCAUCAUCACAUUAAAACCAAAGUACAUACAUAGUUCUCAUCUAACAACAUAAAGCUCUGUAGAGCAUCUAAAUUAAUUAAACCAUACACCUAAACUAUGUAAAACAUUUCAAUGCGAAAACAAAUGCGAUCAUAAUCGCAACCAAUGUAACAACUGAUCCAACGGCAUAAUGAUACCAAGCCUCGGUAUGAAUGGCAUAUUUUCUAAUCUUUCUAAUCUUCAAGCGCAUUGCAUCCAUCUUGAUCUUGUGAUCGACGACAUCCGCAACAUGCAACUCCAAUAUCAUCUUCUCCUUCUCAUUUUUCCUAAUUUUUUCCUUCAAGAAAUUGUUUUCUUCUUCAAUUAAAUUUAACCUCUCGACAAUAGGGUCGGUUGGAAUUUCCGGUUCAACAACCUCCUAGAUAAAUAAAAUCUAUGUCACGUUGGUCGGCAUAAUUGUCAUAAACAAUAAAUGAACCAAUAGUUAUGAAAAGAUAAUAUAUACCACAUCCGAAUCAUAGACAGGACGAGGGCCGACGGGGGCGGAUACCAAAACCAUCGCACUAUAUAAGAUGCAAUAAUAAAAGUAAGAAAAUAAUACAAGUAUCUAUCUAAACAUACAAGUAAGAAUAUUUUUCCUUUCAGAAAGAAGAUAAGAACAAAAGGCUCACCACGAUGGUGCCGGCGAUGAGAUCAACGCGGGUGAUCGACGACGGUGAAGACGGGGACGGGGCGUGACGGACCGCUAAAUCUAGACAAAUAUUGAGGAAAAUGGAGCUUGGCGGUCGAGCUUGGAGGGGAGAAAGCUUAAGUAGUGUGGCUCGGGCAUUCCAUCGAACACCUCGUGUGCAUAGGAGGUGAGCUAGAGCACCACAAAGCUCUCCCCUCGCCGGCCACGAAAAACAGAGCACUGGGAGUGCUCUGCUCGCGAGCAGGGGUAUAUAUAGGCACCUCAUUGGUCCCAGCCUUUGGUCCCGGUUCAUGCCACCAACCGGGACCAAUGGUGGUGGGCCAGGAGCGAGGCCCAUUGGUCCCGGUUCGUCCCACCAACCGGGACCAAAAGGUCCAGACGAACCGGGACCAAUGGCCCACGUGGCCCGGCCGGCCCCCGGGGCUCAAGAACCGGGUCCAAUGCCCCCAUUGGUCCCGGUUCUGGAUUGAACGGGGACUAAUGGGCUGGACUGGCCUGGACCAUUGCCCCCUUUUCUACUAGUGAACUCAACUUCACCGUAUAUGAACUCGCCGGAACUCCUUGAUCACGAACGGAAACGCAAGGCACAAUUUACUUUUUCCAUCCACUCUUACUCUUAAUUCUCAUCCGCCAGUGACGCGUCUCAACUACAGCAGAUGACUCACACCCCCGAAUUCUUGGACGCACCAUACAAGAACUCAUGCACACCUCGACGACAGCCCGCAUGUUUGCCGUCACCACCUUGCUCUCAUUUGCGAUGAUAUCGAUGGUUUCCCUGGUGUCGCAACUUCGGCACCUCCAUAACCAUCACCGAUCACCAAUGCCUUGUCGACGACAGCAUGUCGCCCUCCUCCAGGUCGUUCCGCCGAACGACAAUCACGAGCCGCCUCGCUUACGACAGUGUCCUCGCCACCUUCUCACCGUCACUACGCCGAGCAAAGAUCACUCGAUCCUCCUCGUACGUCGCUCCCCGAACGACUAUUGCCUGCUCCACCUCGUCGCUGCACCACCCAGCGACUAUAUCGCCCGCUCUUCCUCGUCGCUGUACCACCGAACGACUAUAUGGCCGCCCCGAGGCGCUAGUAGGUCGCCACCCCGGGGCAAGCACGGCUGUACUAGAACCUUGCUCUAGAGACCAACUGUUGGAAUUUCGCCCUCAGGAUCGAUUACAUCAGAUACGAGGAACACACGCACACAAAAAAAAUGAUAGCCAAGGGCCCUUGUCGUGCCCUCUUUUCUCUUUAUUUUUUUGUUUCUCAACUCACGGUGUUACAAAUCGGAUGGACCGGUGUGCAUAUAUAUAAAUGACCUCAAGAGCUAUAGCUAGCUAACCUAAACCGACUCAAACAACUAAUCCUGGCCGGACACACGUUGAAACAUAACUACGACAUGGGCAGUAUGCAUGCUAAUUCCUAAUACUACACGGCUUGCAAACCGGCCACCCCGCGUACAUCUCAAUUUACCUAGUUUCUUUUUAGGGUUAAUGCCGCCGCUUUAUUUAGGUCUCCGCAAAGCUCGGAAUGCCAUCCGAGAUUACAGCCAAAAUACAGUCAGGGGGAACCCCCAUCCACACCUUACAUAAAUUAUCACCUACACCUACUCUAGCCAUCUUAUGCGCGGCGACAUUCGCUGAACGACGAACCCAUGACAACUUAGCACCUUGCAUCUCCUGCAACACCUGCUUGAUUUCCUGAAUCCAGGGUCCAACCGUCGAGUAGUUUAUACCCUCUUGCUGGAUCAUCUGAACCACCUUCAAGCUGUCCAACUCAAGAUGAACAUUCUGCACUCCCAACUCUCCCGCCACCUGCAAAGCUCUCCUACAUGCCAAUACUUCCGCAGCUUCAGGGUCCUGUAUAUGUGGAAAUACAUGACACAUGGCAGCUAUGAAAGCUCCGUUGUGAUCUCGCAAAACUGCCCCCCCCCCUCCUGCGUUGUCUCCCACCCUCGAAAUAGCACCAUCAGUGUUAAUCUUCACCCAGCCAUCAUCCGGUACAGCCUAUCGCUGGGUGAUCUUCGGGACCGGUACAGUUACCUUUGUUGGAUGUGAGUUGGUCCACUCCAGCAAAUGUGUAUACACUGAUUCCAUUAUCGCAUGUGGCACUUCCAACCGUUUCCCUUCCCUCGUAUCAUUUCUUGCUAGCCAAAGUCCGUAUGUGGCUUGGAUCAUAACUUCUUUCUCUUCCUCGGACGCUCCAGAGAACCAGCCAAGUAGCCAAGGCGCUAAUGCACCCUGGGUAUCAAUCUGACACGGCGGGGCUGCCACCGCGAUACCUUUUUCCAAGCGCAAAAGUUGCCAGAACUGUGCUGAAUGCUGACAUGCCCAAAAACGAUGGAUGAUUGUUUCUUCCCUCCCGCAUGCAACACAAAAAACCCCCGGUUUGAUCCGUCUCCGAUGAAGUUCUGAUCCUACUGCUAGUCCAUUUCUGAUCAUGCGCCACAUGUGGAUUUUUGCCUUGGGUGGAGCACUCGUACCCCACAUCUCCAUAUACCCUUUGUGCUGCUGUACCGAGUCUGAAGACUCCUGCUGGCCCGUCCUCACCUUCCUCAUUGCCAUCCAAAGAUGAUAUGCUGACUUGACAUUAAAGACACCAUUCUUGGUAUAAUUCCAAGCCUGGUAGUCUUCGGUUUCGGGCCCUCCCACUGCUAUUUGCAUUAUAUCAUGAAUAUCUGAUUCCGAAAACAUAGCUGCUAGCUUUUCUGCAUCCCAAGCCGCACCACUCAAAUCGAGAAGAUCAGACACCUUCGUCACACCAUGAACAUAAACCUGACCCAGUGGUCUCAAACAGCCAUCCCUUGGAAUCCAAUUGUCAUGGUGGAUAUUAAUCCUCGCGCCGUCACCCACCCUCCACACGAGUCCCUCCCGAAGAAGGUCCCUCCCAUGCAAUAUGCUUCUGAACGUGUAAGAUGAGUUGGAUGGGCAGGUAGCACUCAAUAUCGAAUCAUCCUUGAAGUAUCUGGCCUUCAACACCCUAGCACACAGAGAAGACGGCGUAGUAAGAAUCCUCCAUGCUUGCUUUGCCAAAAGUGCUAGGUUGAAGCCCUCAGGAUUUCUGAACCCAAGGCCCCCUUCCCUCUUCGAAUUGCACAUCUUCUCCCAUGAGAUCCAAUGCACCUUUCUUUCACCGUUCAUUGCCCCCACCAGAAUUUUGAAGAGAUGGAUGUCAGGUUCCGGUAUAUCUUCUUUGUGAGGUGAAAGCAACUCAUCGUGAACGUUGGUGUUGAUUGUAAUCCCGAUUUAACAAGAACUUCUCUGGCAGCCUUGGGCAGACCCUGCCCUUUCCACCCUGUCACCUUACCCUUAGAGCUCCCAGUGACAUAAGGAAACGUACCCUCCUUUGAUCUUCCAACCAGUGUUGGCAGACCAAGGUAUCUUUCACUUAGCGCCUCACUAGCAAUGCCCACCGCCUCCUUAAGCUCAUUUUUGGUCUCAUUGUUGCAUCCCUUCCCGAAGAAAAUGGAGGACUUUUGCAUGUUCACCCGCUGGCCCAAGGCCUCCUCAUAUGUCAGUAAAAUUUCCUUCAGCGCAGUCAUGCUCUCUGAAGAGCCCUCAAGAAAAACAAUGCUGUCAUCGGCGAACAGCAAAUGAGUGACGUGGGGGCCAGUGCCCCCGAACGAAACUCCCUUGAUCCUCUGUUCCUCCUGUGCUCUUUUCAACAAGGCCGAGAACCCCUCAACACAAAAAAGGAAUAAAUAUGGUGAGAGCGGGUCACCUUGUCUUAGUCCACGCGAUGGUGUGAACCUCCUAGAGCCACCCCCAUUAAGCCUAACAGAAAACCGAGCUGAUGUAACACAUCUCAUAAUCAUACCAAUCCCCCCAUGAUCAAAGCCAAACUUAGCCAUUAUCCUUUCCAGAAAACUCCACUCUACUCUGUCAUAGGCUUUCAUCAUAUCGAGCUUUACCGCACAUAAGCACUUCCUUCUCUUUCUAGUCCGGAUGGCAUGGACACAUUCGUAUGCUACUAACACAUUGUCCGUAAUAAGACGGCCUGGAACAAACGCACUUUGCUCUUCUGAUAUUAACACUGGUAGGAUGACUUUCAAUCUGUUCGUGAGCACCUUUGUUGCUAUCUUGUACAAAACGUUACACAAACUAAUAGGGCGAAACUGAGAAAGUAGCUCCGGUGCACUCACCUUAGGUAUCAUCACAAUAACAGUAUCAUUAAAUGAUUCCGGGGUUGUCUCACCGUUGAGAAACGUCCGAACAGCCGUACACACAUCUUGCCCCACCAACGACCAGUGUCGCUGAUAGAGAAGCGCUGGCAGUCCGUCCGGACCCGGCGACUUGGUCGGCCCCAUUUGGAACAAUGCUACUCUGAUUUCCUCAUCCGUGAUCGGCGUCGUUAGCUUUUCAUUCAUGUCAGCCGUCACCUGAGACUCAAUAUGCUGCAGCAACGCCUCCGCACCAACCGAGCCUUCGGACGUAAACAAUUGCUCAUAGAAUGCCGCUGCCAUCUCUCUCAUUUCAUCAUCCACCAUACACUUGGUGCCAUCCUCCCUUAACAGUGCCUAUACCGUGUUCUUACGCUUCCUAUGUGAAGCACGGUUUUGGAAGUACUUGGUGUUUUGGUCUCCUACAACUAACCAAUCCACCCUCGAUCGCUGUCGGUAUAAAAUCUCUUCCCUCUCAAACAUCUCCUUCAACUGAUCCUCAAUGUCCCGUACCUCCUGCUGAUAUCCCGUCGACAAUGCCCUAGUCUUGGCGUCCACCAACUGUGUCUUGAGCGCAGCAAUCUGUCUUCUUAUCGAUCCGAACACCUCCCUGCUCCACCUUUGCAUGCUACCCGCUACCUGACCUAGCUUGCUCCACACAUCCUCAAGAUUCCUCCCGCCAGCGCCCGCCGCUUCCCACGCCUCUCGCACCAUUUGCUCAUAGUUCUCAUGCCUUGUCCAUGCUUCCUCAAACCGAAAGGGUCGGUCCCUACCUCGGGGAGCAGCUGGAGCGGUCUCCAUUGCCCUCACCAGUAGAGCCUGAUGGUCCGACUCCUCCGUCAUGAUGUGUUGCACGGACGUUUCUGGGUACAUCUGCAGGAAUCCAUCAUUGCAUGUUGCCCUAUCUAGCCUGACCUGAAUGUUUUCACUCCCAUCUCUUUUGUUAUCCCAUGUGUACGGGUAUCCAUUGAACCCCAGGUCCGCCAAGCCGCAGUCAGCUAGGCAGUCCCUAAAAUCCUCCAUACGUGAAAAAGGCCUUUGGUUACCCCCAAUCUGAUCGGCAUGGAAUAAUGCUUCAUUAUAAUCCCCUACACAAAUCCAAGGGAGAUCAUCUUGCCUUCUCAGAUACCUUAAAGCAUCCCACGAUUUCUUCCGUCUUUCCGUGUUCGGUUCCCCGUAGAAUCCAGUGAUCCUCGAGGUCUUGCCAUCACAAACAAACUCAGCAUCAAUGAAAUAUUGACUCCACGGUCUCACUGUAGCUUGUACGUGAUCUCUCCACCACAUGGCCAGUCCACCACUCCUUCCGUUGCAAUCCACUGCCACCCCAUGUCUAAACCCCAAACUCCAUUUUAACCUAUCCAUCCCUCUCGCCUUUUUCUUCGUUUCACAUAAGAACACCACCGCUGGGUUGUAGGACCUAAUCAGGUCUCAUAAUUCGCCAACCGUCGAGUCCAACCCCAAUCCUUGACAGUUCCAGGCUAGAAUGUUCAUUGCUCCUGGCGGCCCUGGUUAGCAGGGUCCGCCAUUGCUCCAUUUUGUUCCUCAAUGCGGUCAAACACAGACGACGUCUUCCGUCGUGUAUCACAAAUGAAACCGUCAUCGCCCCCACCUCUGAUAUUGUCAUCCUUCACCCUCCAAAUUUGUUUCGGGCCUCUUUUCCUGUUUUCCAACUCCCUUCUAGAAGAGGAAGUGUCACACUGCUGCACUUCAACAACCUGUCUUGGUUUCCUGACAUAAUAUCCCCUCAUUCUUCCACGUUCAUCAUGCAUGUUCGACCUUUCAUAAAGCCCCGGCUCACUGUAAUAAUCAUCCCUCCGAGAUUUGUAUUUUUGAUGUUCGGCUGCAUGCACUGAUCCCUUAUUGUACCCAUUUGCUUUGCCCUUGUAGUCAGCCCUAUUGGUACUCUCGUCUCCAUACCUUCUCUGCUGGUUUUUUAUAAUCAACUUCUCACGGAGAUCUUCCUCCCUCCGCUUCUCAAGGCUGUCCCGCAGGUCCUUUUCCUUUCGCACACCAUGCCCCAUCCCUGAUUUAGCCGGGCUAGUGAUCUCCACCCCACCCUACUCCGAACGACCGCCAGUGCGGCUUCCAGAGCCAGCAGCAAAAUCAGCUGCUAAGUUCCGUUUAGUGGGUAGAUUCCGGCCUCUGUUUUGAUCCUGUUGUCCUUUUCCAUCCUCCCCACUCCUUGAAUUUGCAAAACUGUUGCUACUGCUAGCCCCCUUAGCUCCAAACGAUCCUUCCUUGAAAGAACCAUUCCUUCCUGGGGAAGAACGUAGCCAGCUCCCCCAUUGAUCAGAGGAUUCCAGAGGGGGCACACAUACCCCAUGUUCAUGAACCAGUCUGCCACAAUCGAAGCAAAAAUGUGGCACUUUUUCAUAAAAAAAGUCAUACCACGUCCCAACCUUAUCCUCCUUCGAUUUCUUCAAGUUAAACCCACGGAUCAGAGGCUCAAAAACUGAGAUAGUAGUUCUAAUUCGUAGCUGCUGACCCCUCGCCAUGCCCUCUCCAUCUGUAUCCACCUUCACCACUUUACCAAUCCAAUUGCCUAGGGCAGUCCCAAAGGCUUCACACCUCUUGUCAGGUGGCAAAUCCACCACUCUUACCCAUAUGUCGAUCUCCUCAAACACCAUCUCAGAGGGUCUAAUCUUUCCUUCAUAUUCUUUCACAAUGAGUACACUAAAAUCAAAUUGCCAGGGUCCAUUAUUCAACACAUGUCUCCAAUCUCCUUCACUGCCCAAGUGGACCACGAAGAUAUUUGACCCCAUGUCUCUGAACUUGGCCUCUUUGUGUAGACCCCAUGCCCUCGGCAUCGUCUUCUCCAGCGUCGUCAUCUUCAUUGGCCGUUUCGAGCACACUUUUCCGACCACCGACCACCUCGAGACCUUGGGGAUUGGUAGUUCAUGAUCCUCAAACACAAGCCCAUCAGCCUCCUUAUCCAUCAAAACCAUCCCACCCAGUCUUGCGGAGAGACUCGCCGCUGGAUCAGGUGUUCUACUCUCCACCGGGGACACAAAAUCUCCCCUGCUUCCAGGAUCACCCAUCUUCCGCGGUCCAGGAGUCGACGCCGUCGCCGUUCGGAUCGGAGUUUUCCUGGCGUUCAUCUCCGCGGUCACCUUCGUUCCAGCAUCCUCCGCCAUCGCCUCCGGCCUCACCGCGGAGAAGCUGUGUCAGCCCACGCCUAGAUCGCGCCGUCGCAAUCCAGCCGCCGCCGUAUCCUUACCACCCCCAGCGACAAAACCCUAAACCUAGCGUAGUCGCACGAUCGCCAGGCAAUCGCCGCCUACAUCUCAACUUACCUAGUUAAUUAUCCGGCCAGCUUGAUCACGAUUACACCAAACUAACUCAGGCAUUGUUUGGAUUAUCCCAACACAAUCGUCCAUGGACAGAGGACCAGUCUGUGGACAUCUAUACAUGAAACCGCCAUCCAACCCUGUUCACAUACCUUUCAAAUUUUUUUUAACAAACCAGAUGAAAUUCAUGCAAAGACAGUGAAAUUCACACAAAUCGCACGAAAACGUUUACAUUUUGGACAUAUCUUUUAACUAAAAAUGAUACUAGAGUAACAUGAAACUACUCAGCGCCGGUGAAUAGUCACUCCGGCAACAUGGAUAGCCUUGACUAGUCUACUGCCGGCCGCAAUGGAUCUGCAUUGCCGUCCCCAUGUCCCGUCAUGUCCCGUAGCUGUGAGCCCUGGAGGUAUAUGCUUUAGCACAAAGAGCGGCUCGCUUCCCUACCGCUCAUCGGAGUGGAACAACCGGUUGAUGCUUUUGCCGGUGGGGAAGGGUCCCUACACUGCAUGGAUAGGAGUUGGUUUUGGGUAGGGGACGACGGUGGCCUGCCAGAGGGCAAGACAUCGGGUGUGUACUCUGGCGUCACCUUGGCGUGGCAUUCAUGGGACCCAAGCGGCAGCGGCUCCUCGAUGAUGGCGGCGAGCGUGGACGUGCUGGCCACCACCUAGUCGAUGUCCGCUCAGCCCGUUUCUUUCUCUGCAGGCAGGGAGUCGCUACGUGCACGUUGACAUCAUAUGACGCGGCCGCAGGCAUGGGAGGGGCGGUACGACAUGGCACCGUCGACGGCAGCCACGAUGCCCAUGCAGCCGUGCUCCCUGCCGGUGCCGACCUGUAACAACUCGCCACUCCUCAGUUCGUGACCGGCGGGCUCGAUGGGCCACCCAGCCGUUUUUAUGCGGGAAUACUCUUCUUCCUACUCAUCGGAUCCCAUGAAGAAAACUUCUCAAGGAGGAUAAUGGUGAGUGGAUGUAUGGUACGGUUCUUGCCCGACAUCUGACAGUGUUUAAAUAGCGGGCGAACACGAGAAGCCAACCAAUGUUCUGUUUAUUGCCGGCCGGCUCGCAAACGGACAUGUGGUUGGAGUAGGUAUCCUGGCACACACACGGGUUUAAUGAAGGAAGGCGGGCAGUUUGCAGCCGUUUGAAUGGGGGCGAGCAUGCAUGUUCAGCAUGGCGUGUAGCGCCCUCAGCCAGUGCGCCGCUUCCAUUGCGGAGGCAGUAAGGGAUGUGUACGCUCUGCAGUGGAGUGAAUGCGGGCAACUGGUGCAGGGCGGGAACAAGAGCGGGCAUGGGAGGAGGCGGUUUGGAUGGGCACGUGUGAUAAGAAGCAGUCAUGGGUGCUGUCCGGACACCCGCAAAGCCCGCCUCCCCCACGUUUGUCUCCGGUUUGUCAGAGAAAGUAUGUCCGGACCGUCCUAUGGACCAAUACAGGCCCGCAUUGGAUGGCACAACACGUAUGGACCAUGUAGUCCGGAUGGUUGCAGAUGGUUUGAUGGUUGGCGUUGGAUAUGCCCUUAGCGCUUAUGAAUCCAUUGUGUUUUUCUAAUCAUAAAAAGCACUUAUGACAAGUUAUAAUGAAAGACACGUAUAUAUGUUAGGUUCAGACUCCAACUUUCCCGUUGCAUAUGAAUUUUUCUGAUCCGACCCAUACCAAUAGAGUGAGGCUAGCGUCGCUUUUCUAGAAACUCGCGGGAUAAGAAGACAUGCAUACAUAUUAUUUCAAGGAAAUCACAUCCACUCUUUUUAACUUAUUUUUUCUUAUUUUCAUAAUAUAAUAGAUCAUUUGUAUUUUUAAUUCAAACAAUUAACGUGUAACUUUUAUUGUAAUCUAAGGAUAUUGUUUGGAUUUUACUUUCAAAUAUUUGAAAUGGCCAUGAUGGAAUCACAUCCAUUUAUUUUAUUAUUAUUUGAAUUUGAUCCGAAAGAUAAAUAAUGAGUAGAGGUCAUGUCAACUUUUCCUAGAAUUUGCUAAUCAAAAUAUAAUUUCUAUCUUAAUACAAUCCAUUAUUUAACUACUCUAUUGAUUUGUAUUUAAAAACAUAUAUUUUUAGCACGCAUAAAAAACAUAACAUGUAUCUUUCCACACAAACUAUAGGUUGUCAUGAAAACUCAUGCCAUGCCAUAGCCUCCCUCCGACCCUGCCAACAUUGUUGCAGCUGCACUCGCAAGCCUUAGCGUGGAUGAUCAUUUAUAUGAUUUGUGUAAAACAAACUAAGAUCUACAAACGAAUAGAAGCUAGAACAUACCUUGGUAUGCACACACAUUGCAAGCCAUACUAAGCUGAUAAGUGUCAAUAACUUGUACAACAUAUACAACACCGAAGACAAGUAAAAGCAAUUUGAUGAGUCAUGGUCUAUCAAAGCAAGCUACAUUACUACUCUAAUCUAUCUUAAGAGGUCACACAUGAUUACAAUCUUUUUUGUGUGCAAGUCAAGCUUAUCUAUUUUACACGUAACAACUUGUAGAACAUUACAAAAUUGAUGUUUGCUAAUAACUUCUAGAACACUACAACACUUGACAUGUAAAAGGAAUUUGAUGAGUCAUGACCUACUAAAGCAAGUUACAUUACUAGUCUCAUCUAUCUUAACAGGCCACACAAGAUUACAAACUAAGUUCUGUGCAAGCAAUGCUUAUCUAGUUUACACAUAAACUUGCAUAACAUUACAAACUUAGUUUCAGAAAAUUAGGCAACCUAGAUUAGUGUUUAUUUGUAAAGUGAAUAAGAUGAGUCAUGUGUGUUAUCACACCUUUUUUGUGGUGGAAUGAUAGUGCCACAAAACACAACAUACCAAAAAUUGAUUUCGGGAAGCAUCCAAGCACUUUCCAGGAAAGCAAAUGCCAAUUGUGAAAGAGAUCAUGCCAUGGCAGCUAUAAAUAGGCCUGUAGCAUGAUGACCAUCCUUCCUCAUUCAUCAUUCUCAUAAGUAGAGUGUAUCAUUCAAGCCAAGCAAGCAGUGGUCAAUACAAAUCCACCAUGAAGACCUUUCUCAUCUUUUCCCUCCUUGCUAUCGUGGCGACCACUCCAACAACUGCAGUUAGAUUUCCAGUGCCACAAUUGCAGCCGCAAAAUCCAUCUCAGCAACAACCACAAGAGCAAGUUCCGUUGGUGCAACAACUACAAUAUCCAAGGCAACAACAACCAUUUCCACCACAACAGCCAUAUCCGCAGCCGCAACCAUUUCCAUCACAACAACCAUUGCCGCAACGGCAACCAUUUCUGCCACAACUACCAUAUCCGCAGCCACAACCAUUUCCACCACAACAACCAUAUCCACAACCGCAACCACAGUAUCCACAACCACAACAACCAAUUUCACAGCAACAAGCACAAUAAGCACAACAACAACAACAACAACAACAACAACAACAACAACAACAAAUCCUUCAACAAAUUCUGCAACAACAACAACUAAUUCCAUGCAGGGAUGUCGUCUUGCAACAACACAACAUAGCGCAUGCAAGCUCACAAGUAUUGCAACAAAGUAGUUACCAACUGUUGCAACAAUUAUGUUGUCAACGGUUGUGGCAGAUCCCCGAGCAGUCGCGGUGCCAAGCCAUCCACAAUGUUGUUCAUGCUAUUAUUCUGCAACAACAACAACAACAACAACAACAACAACAACCGUCGAGCCAGGUCUCCUACCAGCAGCCUCAGCAACAAUAUCCAUCGGGCCAGGGCUCCUUCCAGCCAUCUCAGCAGAACCCAUAGGCCUAGGGCUCUGUCCAGUCUCAACAACUUCCCCAGUUCGAGGAAAUAAGGAACCUAGCGCUGCAGACGCUACCGGCAAUGUGCAAUGUCUACAUCCCUCCAUAUUGCUCGACCACCAUUGCGCCAUCUGGCAUCUUCGGUACUAACUGAGAAGAGAAGAACUUGUACUAGAUAUAUGAAACACCAUUUCCUUAGUCCAUGGUUUGGUCGUUGUAGCGGUGACAAAAUAAAGUGACAUGCACUAUCAUGUAAGAACCCGAACUAUACUAGUUCAAACUUGGGAAUAAAAGACAAACACAUGUCUUGUCUGCAUAUGAUUGUUUGUUUGAGUUCCAUUCAUGUGCCCGUUCACAAGUUCACCCCUAAUUAUAUAUAUUACACAAUAAGUAGAUAUUUAUGUUUCAUUAAUCUAAAUAUAACAAAAUGAGUCUGAAACUUGAAUUAAAUUGAAGUAUUUUCUUGGACUUUCAAAUUAAGUAUUAUUAAAGUAGUAAGGACUAUCCACAUCCUUGGCUUGCCCUUGAUCAAUUAUUUCCAGAGAAGCAUUCAAUUCAUCAAUCAAUUACAUUGGUUUUUGUGACUGGUACUUCUCCUCAUCAUGAGUAUCAUUGCGACUACUCCAAAUCGCCCACAUAACCGAAGCAUUAAUAGCGCUCUUCUUGCAUCAAGGAAAUAUGGAUCGAAGAUAUCACUUGACCAUGUUUCCGGGUGCAACCUUGGGAGUUUUAUGUCAAAAUAUUCUCAAGGAGAAUCCAAGAAUAAACUUGCAUGCUCAUGUGUGAUAAGGGCAUAUGAAGUAACAUUUCCUCCCCAUGGCCACACAUAGGGCACACACAUAACCCCAUCACAUGCCUUUUUAGUUAUGCAUAUGAAGGUAGGAUGUUUUUAAUUACUCUCCACCAAAAUACUCUUAACUUGGCUUGUACCCUAAGCUUUCGUUGCCUUUUCAAUUUCUCUUCCCCGCUAGACAAACUAGACAGUCCAUCUACCACACCAUACCUUGUGUCCAUCAUGGCUCUGUACAACAAUUGAACAGGACAAAUGUCAUUUCUUUACGAUACCCACGACCAAGUGUCCUCUGCUGGAUUGUUUGGUCGUGGCAUAUUAAGGAUGGACACCUCAUCUGAUGGGACAAACACCUAACGAAUGAAAGGAGUGUUCCAGCCGCCCAUGUUUUUCUUCUCGAUAAGAUGAGCUACAAGUUGGACUGGAGUUUCUCAUGCACCAUAGUGGUUUCAUCAGCGGCAUGCCCUGCACACAUUUAUCAUGCCAUAUCUUUGUAGUGUGCAUUCCCAAUUUGUCACAACAUACCCUCCUUCAAACCUUUUUGCCUUUCAGAAUAGCACGCCAAGCUAGCGAUGCACUAUGCAGUAACCCACAUUUGAAAAAAAAAAGAAUCUCAUUUCAUGGUAUCUUCCACGAAGGACCCUCGCACAUGAGUUAUCUAGAUAGAAAUAGCCAUGUAUGUUUAGCAAACUUUGCAUAAGUGAAUAGAUCAAGGUCGUGGAAACCCAAGCCUCCAAUUACACCCAGCCUCUCUACCAACAAGAUGUCCAAAGACAUCAAGGAUACACAAAGCCAAAAAAGAAAAUAAAAAGAGCAGAAGAAAAAAAAUACCCUGCCAUGGUGAUCAAUCACUAGAAUCAGCAGCACUCUAACCACCACCGAAGACAAUGCCCGAAUUACAAAAAAGGUUCUCCAAAAGCAACGCCCCCAAGAAGGAAACAAUGCACAAGCAUUGUCGUUGCCCGAUCGAAGAUCAUGGGUUUUCACCCUGGAAAAAUUUCGAGUUCACUAAAAAAUAAUGCCUUCAACAAGGCCAUUGCCAAGUACAACCAAUAAGGGCCAGACCUUGGGUUUUCACCAUAGGAAUUGAGACUCGAUACUCGAGGAGUACCACCAAAAAUGCAGUCCGCAAGUGUUGCCGCCCCCGCUUGCCGAGGGCGCUGUUGCAAGUCGCCAACCACCUGUCAUACAUUUGUCGUCGCAUCCAAUACACCCUUCCGCUGAAGCUUCAAGACCUCCAACCGCAGCCGCCAUGACUUUCUCCUAGUCUAUCAAUGCCUUGAGAAUCUUGAGUUAGACAUGUCCAAUGACAUAAAUAAGAAAUCGAAGCUUCGUGCCACGUCCUCUUGAGGCCGUGCUGGCUGAUAAUAUUAGCGUGCAUGACCGGAGCGUUUCCGAUCUAGAUAUCCAGGGGCGACAUACACCAAUCCAUAUAGAUCUCCGCUCGGUAAGACCGGAACUCAUCAACGGCCAGAUCCAAGAGGUCGACAUCCGGUAGAAAGAUGACUUGGCGGAAGAAGAGCAUCAGGGCCAAACCGCCAUUAUUAGUCCGAAGCUAAUAGCCCCCACGCCACCCUCCUCUCGAUCCAGACCUGCAGAAAAUGAUCAACAACGCCGCGCCGUGCCACUCGCAUCCAUGGAGGCUUGAACUUGGCAAGACGCGAACCAUGGCUGGAGACGGGGACCAGCCACUCCUGGUCGGAUCCGGUGACUCCUAGUCCCACCACUGCCACUACGGCGGCACCGCGUGUAGCCUACAAGCCCAUCCAUGAUGAUGUCUGAUUAGAAGGAUACAUGGAUAUACAAAUGAAAUGGCCCUCGUUAUCCCUCCAACAAUAUAUAUAAAGCUUAUUGGGACAUGAGAAAGCUCGCACAAUUUUAUAGUGGCUAUGGAAAUGUGUUGCCAGACAGAGAUAUAAGAUUUUCGUUUGGCAUCCAGACCGCUUGUGUCAUCCUUAAUCGAUGACCACUCUAAUUUUUCCGGCGGGCCUUCCCUGUGGUACUGCAGCCUUACAUGUGUAUGGAUUUCAUACAGCUAUUCUGUCCAGUCGGAAAAGGAGACAACCAAAAUUACUUGGAGUUGAUAACUAAUAUGUUUCCUUUAACUACCACGUGCACGACGAGGAUUUACGGCACGCAAGUGCAGGGGCAGGUACUGGUGCCGCCUUUUUAUUCUAGCCUCCAAUUUUCAAAUUUCUAUAUCUUUCAAACAAAAAAAAUCAACUUAAGUUAUGUUUUCAUAUUCGUGUUUCUUGCCGCCAGCGCUUUGAAAUAAUAUUCAUUUUGAAUAUAUUUUGGCAAUUUUUAAACACAAUGUUAAUUUCCAUUGUUUAAAACUUAGUACGAGCGACCGAUAAUAUUCAAUUAUUUUGUGUCUCUGACCAACAGAAAAAAAUGCUUGAAAUUGCAUCUUUGAAACUUGUUGAAACUGGGCAUUUUCUAAUGCAAAAGCGGUAAGUUUUCAUCGUUGAAACUUAAAGGUUUUUGAUGGAUUUUCUUCUUUACUGUGCCCUACUUCAUGAAUCGUGAGACAAAUCGAGCAGGUGGCAGGGCUUGGCCAGUGAGUGCCCUUGCACUUAGGUGCCCCAGCGAAUUUCCACUUGCAUCGUAGCAUUCUUUUUCCGAGUCCUGCGAACGAACGAUGGUGCAUACAAAAAGUCUAUCCUAUAUGCGUACAUGUGCAUGAUCAAAACAUGUUUGUACGUGCAUCUGCUAUAAAUCUCGACCAUUUUGAACACAAAUCAUGACCAUUAAAAUACAUGAUUAGUGGAUCAUACUAUCGUAACCUAUGUGAGAUCAUGUGGAGUAAUAUAUUAUAGUAUAUAGAUAGAUCUAUGUUGUAUUUUUUUUUGUUAGAAAAAUAUCUGUCAUUACAUAUUUAGAUUUAUGCAUCUGUUCUUGCCAAAAAAAUCACUAACAUUUCACAGUGGAAAGUUUGUAAUUAUAUCAUAUUGAACACCAAUGUUUUCCCGCAAAAGAAAAUAAUGCCUAUGCAUAUGCUUUUAUAUUAUUAUUAUUGUUUCAAAUAUAUCCAUAUAUUAUUUUUGGUUGUACAACCAUAAUUUUCUUAUCCCUCUCGUUCCACUAAAUGCUCCUAGUCACUGAAUUAUAUACACCAAAUAAACCCCUUUGCACGUCGUUAAUGACCAAAAAAAGUUGAUGCUGGCUAUGUUCUCUGAUGUCAGCAUGAUAUCAUAUAUAGUGAUUAGCAUGAACGAAUCCCUUUGACUCAUGCGUACUCCCUUUGGAAAGAAAUAUAAGAGUGUUUACAUAACUAAAGUUGUGAUCUAAACACUCUUAUAUUUCUUUAAAGAGGGAGUAUAAAUUAAGAAGUGCAAGAUAAAGAAAUGCUGGUCCUUGAUUUGUUGUUGACUCUUAUAUUCUUUAGGGAGGAAGUAUAAAUUAAGAAGUGCAAGAUAAAGAAUGCUGAUCCUUGAUUUGUUUUUGACGUCAGCAUGCCAUCAUUACCUUGUAGUUAUGAUACAAAUUGGAUCUUUCAUACAGAAUUGGAGGCUUGCUCCUUUGAUCCGCACACGCUUAAACACAAAGAGCAUGUAUAUGUUUUGUCUCCGGAUUUCAACUCGUGCUUGGCCAACAAAUAUGGUCUGAUCGGGACAUCGGGUAGAGGAAAAGGCAAGUUUGCUAAUACGCCUGGAGGAAAUGCCUUUGAUUAGGGCAUCUACAACAGCGACCAGUAAAUUUCCACCCGCAAUUUGUUGGAAUUCCGCCUUCAGAAUCGAUUACAUCAGAUACGAGGAACACACGCACACAAAAAAGUGACAGCCAAAGGCCCUUGUCGUGCCCUCUUUUCUCUUUAUUUUCUUGUUUCUCAACUCACGGUAUUACAAAUCCGAUGCACCGGUGUGCAUAUAUAUAAACGACCUCACGAGCUAUAGCUAUCUAACCUAAACCGACUCAAACAACUACUCCUGGCCACACACACGUUGGAACAUAACUAGGACACGGGCAGCAUGCAUGCUAAUUCCUAAUACUACACGGCUUGCAAAACGGUCACCCCACGUACAUCUCAACUUACCUAGUUAAUUAUCCGGCCAGCUUGAUCACGAUUACACCAAACUAACUCAGGCAUUGUUUGGAUUAUCCCAACAAUCACCCCUAAUCCAAACAUCCGUCUCUUUAUCCAACGACACACGAGACACGCAGACGACCACCUGUUCAUCUUGUCAGGCUGGCUGCCUCCGGUGACGCAACUUACCGGACUGCAACUUCGCUCUCCUUGCAAUGAUGAUCACCACUUCAUCUCACCGCAACUUCGUUUGCAUACCAACUCAUAGAUUUUAACCAAUGAAUACCCGGACUACCAGCCACGCUGUCACAUCUUAGCGUGCUACAUGCAGACUAAACACAUAGCCUCAUGCAUGAACUCAACUUAACUGGUGUCUGUCCAUCUUCACGUUGAUCUUCAUCUUCUCAUCGGUUGAAUGCACGCGGGGAGGCACAACUCUUCACCCACCACAUCUCCACUUUCCCAUCAUCGUUGGUGACACAACUUACCAAACAACGCUCCCUGUCGAGCGGCAAUACAACUCGCCAUAUACGUGCAACCACUGGUAGAAAACCACCCAUUAGUCCCGGUUCGUAAGGGCCUUUAGUCCCGGUUCAGGAACUGGGACUAAUGGGUCGUUACUAAUACCUCAACCCAUUAGUCCCGGAUCAAACACGAACCGGGACCAAUGUGCCUCCACGUGGCCCUGUGCGCCGAGCCCAGUCAGGGGGCCUUUGGUCCCGGUUGGUGGCUCCAACCGGGACCAAAAGGCAUCCACGCGUCUGCAUUCCAGUGGCUGGGGUUUUUUUAUGAAAGGAGGGGGGUUGGGGGUUUUGGGGGGUUAAUUUAGGUGUUUCGUAUAUUGUGUUAGCUAGCUAAUUAAUAGAGAGAAGUGUCCUCUCUUAUGUCCGUGCUUGGUCGACGCUACGUAGUAUAUAUACAUAAGUGAUCGAGAGAACCAUUUAGUACAGAAGUUCGUCAUGCAUACCGAGAGAAGUGAUCGAUCGACCUCUCCUUCUCCGAGAGAUUGGUCGAACAACAAGUUUUUUACUGGCUACAUACAUGUACAAUCUAUAUAAGAUCUCUUAAUUACAAACCCCUAGCAUUUGAAAUCAACUUCCACAUGGUAUUCUCCGGCUUUACUGAUGACGUGUUCAAGAAAGAAUCCCGCCAAUUCCUCUUGAAUUGCUUUCAUGCGAUCUGGUGGUAGGAGUUCAUCCCGCAUCUGCCACGUCUAAUUAAUUUGAAGAAGGGGGUUAAUUAAUACAUAUAUAUGAAUCAAACUCAACAGAAAUGAUGGUGUAAUAAAAUGAAAUUGUGAAAGCUUACGCACUUCAUAUUGUCUUCUAGAGUAGCCCCGCUUGUUUUUCAAAGUCGCGUUGUGGAUGAACUCGCACACGUAGUAUCCACAGAAAUCAUUCCCUUCCUCCUGCCACAAGCACUUUACGAGAAAUAUAGGUCAAUCAAACUGAUAAUGAAGCAUUAUAAAUGGCAUUGAUGAAAGUAUAGCUAUAGAAUCAACGGGAGAUGCGCGCAACUAGCUAGCCAGUAGUACUUACUUUCGGGUAUAAAUAUCGCAGCUCCUUCGGCAGUCCCGGAGCUUGUGCGGUGAACUGUUUCCAAACCCUGCAAGACAAAGACAAUAAUUAUUAUUACUUGAGAUAUCAGGAAAUGAACAAAAAGUUGCCGAUAUGGUGCGAUAAUGAUCGAUUGAACUUACUUGCUGAGCAUUUCAGUCAUGUCCGCAUAGGUGCUGGGAUCUUUCCGUCUGGAGUCUAAGACGGUUACUAGUCCACGCUCAAGCUUAAUCUCCAGAAGAAUAUAGUGGUACCUGCACACACAUGCAUAACUCAUCAAUUACAUUAACCUCGCUUGAGUAAUAAGGGAAACCAAAUAUGCACACGACAGUAACACUCACGGGCCGUUGUAAGGAAAGAGUAUGGUAUCUUUGUUUUGAUUUUUGAUUAACGAUUGUAGCAAGUUGUCCUCGGCCUCUUCGACGUUCUUUUCAACCAGAAAUACAUCUAUGAUAUUUGCGUUAAUGAACCCAAUAUCAUAGAUUUCAUUUUUUUGCACUCGACGAUCUUCAAUCUGCAUAAUAUAUUGAGGAUAAUUAAUUAUAAAUACAUGCAAUGAAAGAGCCGAGCUAUAUAUAGAGACUAAUGACAGAAAUAGUACUUACAGGCAGUAGCAAAAGACCAUUAAUUUAUCGAGGGCCUUUUGAUUGAAGAACUCAAAGAACUCCUCAAAUGGAACACACAACACAUCAUUUGAAACAAGGUCGUGCUCCUCUUUAAUUUUCAGAUACAAACUGUUCGUCCCCUCAGACUCUCUGCAGGUUUUCAUGUACCAACUAUGGAAUCUUCGCAUCAUUGUUGUCAGAGAUUUUUCAUCUUUGACGAGAGGCUUCCCGUACUCGUAUCUGAAUACGUCCACCUCCAUGAAAUCAGGAAGUGCAUCGUCAGGCAGGUAAUCUUCAAGAUUGCCAUAACCGGCCACCGUCCCCGGAGGAUUAGACACAUUGAGCGGGGGGGCACGAUUGAUGUGCUUGUUCGCCGAGCCGGGCAAUUUUUUUCCCCUUUGCUCGUUGUUCUUUUGACCUUUUAUCACUAACAGUAGUUCCCGACCGCUUGGCUUCGAGAUAUGUCUGUUCAGUAAUGCGCUCAUAGUUGGUUCUCGGCGGAGACUUUGGUGGUUUCCUCAGGGCAUCGAGAGUGCGCUUUGCUUUCACCGGAUCUACCUUCUCCUCCGAAGGUGGAUGUAUCUUUGCUUUCACCCCUUCAAAGAACUCCUUCACGUGGGCCUGCACGAUCGUAUUGUUUUCCUCGGUCCUCUCAUACGGUAACUUCUCUAGAGGCUUUAGAGGUGUACCGUAUCUGUAUUGCCUCUCUCUUCUUGUGUUGCUAGACGCCGGAGCAGACGGAGCGGCUGCGGCGUCUGUCUUCUUUCAUGCUUGCUUACGAGGCGGAGGAGAAGGACUACGACGCGCCGGAGCAGCCGGGGCAGCGGCGGGUCUCUUCCGCCCUUGCUGGCGAGGCGGAGAAGGAGGAGGCGGAGUGCCGCCACGCGCCGGAGAAGGAGGCGGAGUGCCACCAGGCGUGCCCUGAUCGUCACUCGCCGGAGGAGGAGGCGGUGGAGGAGGCGGAGUGCCGCCACGCAUGCCCUGAUCGUCACUCGCCGGAGGAGGAGGCGGUGGAGGAGGCGGAGUGCCCUGACUCGCCAGAGGAGGAGGAGGAGGCGGAGGCAUCCAUUUCAGAAGGUUGAUGAGCUCCUUCCGCCAUAGGCAUGGAGUCUUCAGAGAAGAACCCAGCCUAGUCUCCCCUUCACCGGUAGGGUGCUCAAGCGCGAGGUCCUCAAAUCCCUCCGUUAUUUCAUCCACCAUCACCUUAGCAAAUCCUUCUGGAAUCGGCUGGCAGUGAUAAGUUGUGCCGGGUCCACUAGGAUAAACUUGGCCAACAGCCGCCUUGACCUUCAAAUUCAUCCAUCGCGCCAUAAUGUGGCAAUUUUGAGACUCCGUGAUACCAUCCACGGGAUAGCUGGCAGGAGCCGUCAAGACAUGCUCCGGCUGAAGCAUCUCGGUGGAAGCAACGCUGCUUCUCCGCUGAGAUGGCGGGGUAGCUUAGGGGGAAGCUUCGGCAUGUUGUUUGUUGCGAUCUGCUGCUUCUCGUUCCUCUUCUUGAUCCUCUAGCCCCAUUACCCUUCCAAGCAGCGCCUGCAUUUGGUCCUGCUCCAGUUUCUUCCUCCUCUCGUGGGUUUUGUAACCCCCUGCGUCUGGAAAACCAACCUUCCACGGAAUGGAGCCUGGCGUGCCUCGUGUCCGUCCAGAGUGCUCGGGAUUCCCAAGGGCCAUUGUGAGCUCGUCCUUCUCCCUGUUUGGAAGGAACAUCCCUCGCUGCGCUGCAUCGAUAUAGUGUCGAAGGUUCUUGACUGGUGUUUGCAGUUGCUCGUCCGUCCACUGACACUUCCCUGUUACAGGGUCCAAGGUUCCGCCAGCCCCGAAGAACCAAGUCCGACAAUGGUCUGGCCAGCGCAUUGUCUCUGGUUCGAUCCCUUUUUCAAGCAGAUCAUGCUCAGCCUUGGACCACUUAGGCCGGGCUUUGAGGUAGCCACCUGACCCCGUGCGAUGGUGAAGCUUCUUCUUCGCAGCAUUUUUCUUGUUUGUCUCCGACAUCUUCUUACUCUUUUCCGAUGUCUUGUGGGCCACAAAUGCGUGCCAGUGAUCUUUGAUCUUCUCAUAUUUAACGAUGAAUUCUGGUGUCUUUUUUUUCUCGACAAACUGGUUCAGCUCUUUCCUCCACCUCCUCAUUAGGCUUGCCAUCUUCUUAAGAGCACAAGACCUGAUUAAUUGCUCUUUAACUGGCUUCUCCGGAUCCUCUGUCACGCCCAAGAUGCGGCCCUAUCCUAAAGGAACUCGAAGGUCCCACCAAGUAUAGAAGCGCAUCUUGAAGACGCUUUUGCAAGGUGGAUAUCAUUACAUCAACAUUACAUAAUAGAUGGGGAUACAUACAAGAGGCAUACAAUGCCACACGAAUACAACAUCAUACAUAAGAGAUCAACAUCCGACUACGGAUGGAACACAAAUAGAAACUCAAACAACAUCCACCCUGCUAGCCCAGGCUGCCGACCUGGAACCUAUCCCCUGAUCAAAGAAGAAGCAGAAGAAGAACUCCAAUACAAGCAAACAUCGCUCUCGCGUCAUGAUCAUCGCAUAACCUGUACCUGCAACUGUUGUUGUAGUAAUCUGUGAGCCACGAGGACUCAGCAAUCCCAUUACCAUGGGUAUCAAGACUAGCAAGGCUUAAUGGGAAAGGAAGGGGUAAAGUGGUGAGGUUGCAGCAGCGGCUAAGCAUAUAUGGUGGCUAACAUACGCAAAUGAGAGCGAGAAGAGAAACAAAGGAAUGGUCAUCAACUAGUAAUGAUCUAGAAGUGAUCCUGAGCUCCUACUUACGUCAAUCAUAACCCAGAAACCGUGUUCACUUCCCGGACUCCGCCGAGAAGAGACCAUCACGGCUGCACACACGGUUGAUGCGUUUUAAUUCGGAUCUGGUGUCAAGUUAUCUACAACCGAACAUUAACAAAUUCCCAUCUGCCACAUAACCGCGGGCAUGGCUUUCGAAAGAUAAUACCCUGCAGGGGUGUCCCAACAUAGCCCAUGAUAAGCUUUCGCGAUCAACGAAGGAUAUACCUUCUCCCAGGAAGACCCGAUCAGUCUCGGAAUCCCGGUUUACAAGACAUUUCGACAAUGGUAAAACAAAACCAGCAAGACCGCCCGAUGCACCGACAUCCCGAUAGGAGCUGCACAUAUCUCGUUCUCAGGGCAACACCGGAUGAACACUACGUACAACUAAAACCAGACCUCAAGUUUCCCCGAGGUGGCGCUGCAAGUGGCUCUAGUUCGGACCAACACUUAGACAAGCAUUGGCCCGGGGGGGCUGAAUAAAGAUGACCCUCGAGAGAGCGACUCCCAAGGGAAAAGUAGGUGGUGGUGAGGCAAAUGGUAAAACCAAGGUUGGGCCUUGCUGGAGGAGUUUUAUUCAAAGCGAACUGUCAAGGGGGUCCCAUAAAUCACUCGACCGCGUAAGGAACGCAAAAUCCGGGAACAUAACACCGGUAUGACGGAAACUAGGGCGGCAAGAGUGGAACAAAACAUCAGGCAUAAGGCCGAGCCUUCCACCCUUUACCAAAUAUAUAGAUGCAUUAAUUAGAUAAGAGAUAUUGUGAUAUCCCAACAUAAUCCUGUCCAUCAUGGAGCAAUCUUCAACUUCACCUGCAACUGACAAUGCUAUAAGAGGGGCUGAGCAAAGCGGUAACAUAGCCAAACAACGGUUUGCUAGGAAGGGUGUCAAAGGUUAGAGGUUCAUGGCAAUUCGGGAGGCUUGAAGAGCAAAUGAUAGGUAACGCAUCAUAGCGAUAGAACGAAGCAACUAGCAUAGCAAUGAUAGUAGUGAGAUCCAGGGUAGCGGUCAUCUUACCUGAAAUCCCGCUAGGAAGAAGAACGAGUCCAUGAAGAAGACAAGCGGACGUAGUCGAACGAAUCCUCACAAUCGCAACAUUACCGGAACUAAGAAGCAACACCGGAAAGAAACAAACAACAUGGUAAAUUCACAAGCAUAAACAUGGCAUGAUGCACAAACAAGUGUGAUGCAUGUCCGGUUUAAUGAGGCAUGGCAAAGUGCAACAAACAAUACUACAAGUUAAGUGGAGCUAAAUAUGCAACGAGUUGCAUAUUGACAAAACACCACAUCAAUUAUUUAGUUCUCUCUCGGUUAUGCUACUCAUCAAUAUUAAAUGUUGUUAAACAUGGCAAGGGGUGAAGCAUAAAGAAACUCCCUAACAAGGCAAGUUUAAAUGAGGCCGGAAAUAAGAAACAACAAUUCCGGAAAAUCCCCAUGUGCAUAUUUUGAUUUGAUACUGUUCUGCCCUAAACCAUAUUUUAAGGUUGUUAACCAGGAAAAUAAAGUGCACCAUGUUAAACUAGGCAUUUUUCCACCCCAUUUACAUAUAAAGUUUAUUAAAAUUGGAGCUACGGUUAUUUAGUUAUGAAAUAAACCAUUUUAACAUGGCAUUUGAGCAAAUUUAAACAAACAACAGUUUAAACAUUUUAAACAUGGAUGAAAGUGGCAUAUUAUUAAUCUACACAAAAUUCUAAGCAUUUUACAUGUUUUAAUCAUUUUAAUCCAAUGCACGGUUCAUGAGUUAUUAUAUGCAUGAUGCUUAUGGGUUUUUCUGUAAAACAGUAAACUCCUGGAUAAAUAGCAAAAUCGUUCCGCGGAAAAAAACAUGGAUAGGGCCGAAUCUGGACGGCCCAAAAGUGCACAGGAGAGGGGGCGGGGGCUGCUCACCCUGGGCCAAGGCCCGGUUGGUGCAGCAGGCCGGCUGAGGAGGCGCUGGGGAAAGAGGCUGCUGGGCUGAUGCGGGUGAAGGGCGACGCGGUGGCCCAGGCACGCUGGCGGCGCGGUCAACGCGAGGCACGAGGGAGCGGGCGCCUCGUCCUCUGCUCGUCAGGAAGCAGAGCAGCGGCGGCGGGGUGCUCUCCGGCGAGGGCGCAGCUUGGGAAGGCGGAGAGGAAGGUCGGCGAGAGGCGCAUGCGUCAGUUUCAACGACGAUGCAGAUGAGGCACGAGAGGUCGACGCGGUUGUGCAUGGCUGCUGGAGCUGCUCGAGCAGAGAAGAAGUCAGCGAUGGCUGGGUCGUUGAGGACCUCGUCGGCGGCACAAGCAGGAGGGAAACGGUCAGGAUCCAAGGGGGAGGACGCACGGGCUCGUCUGUUUCUUGUCCCGGGCAAAGAGAGACAGAGAGAGGUGAGACAGGGAGAGGGAAAGGAAGAGAGGGCGCGAGGGAGGCCCGACGGCGUGACCUGGAGGAGCUGGUGAUCAUCGACGGUGAGACGAGGCGGGGGUCGUGAGGAAGACAGCGGAGCUCUGGAUCGGGAGGAGCUCGGCUCUCCUCGGGCGUUGCACAGCGCGGAAGGGAUGCAGGGAGCAGUGGGAGGAGGAGGCGCGCACGGGAGGGGAGCCAUGGGUCUUGGGUGCGUGCUCGAGCUUGAGCAGCGAGCUCCUCUUGCUCGGACGCGGGCGUCGCAAGGACGAAGGACGGCGAGGUGGCGGCUCGGGCUUCGGUGGCGUGGUGAGGAGCUUAGGCAGGGAGGUGGAUCGAGGAGGGGUUGGAUUUGGGUUGGCUGGUGUUGAACGAGGGGGGAUUUGGAUCGGGGAGGAUCCCGAUGUAGAUGGUGGCGAUGCUAGGGUAGGAUCCCUAGAAAUUAGGUGGUUUGUCUAGGUUAGUUAGGUGGGGUCUAUAUAUAGCAAAUGCAUUAGGUCCCUCCGAUCGUAAUCGGACGGCCGAAAAAAUAGGCUAGAGAGUCCAAAUAAGAAAACGGAGGUAUUUGAUAGACGUUUGGGGAUGAUCCGGAUCCAUCGGUAACGACAGACCGGUUCGGGUUCGGGUAAGAUUCGGACACGCACACGAGGGGUCUGAGAGAGGUCAACGAGGGCAAGGGCCUGCCAAAAUAACAACGGAGGCAAAGAGAGAAAGGGCAACUGCGAACGGCUACGAGUUUUUAUAAAAACAUGUGGAUGCAAUGCACAUGAUGCCAUGAGAUGAAAUGCAUGACAUGAACAAAAUGCAAAAACAAAAUACAAAAACCCAACCACGAAGGAAAAUAAAAUAUCACAUCUACGGAAAAGGCAAGAGUUGGAGUUAUGAAUGUGGAAAGUUGUAUCCGGUGCGUUACAACACUCCACCACUACGAGAGGAUCUCGUCCCGAGAUCUGGGAUGGCGCCGGAGAGAAAAACGGAAGAGGAAGAGAGAAGGUAAACCAAGUCGCUUCUUUGACGAACGAGUGAAACCACAAACCUUGAGAGGUUGAGCAAUUUAAAAGAAAGGGUACAACAGAGAUGAACGAGAUUGCAAACAACCCAGUAGAAAAGAGGAACAAGGAGUAUUACGAGAACAUGAAGGUUGAAAGACAUGGAAAUAAGAGCUUCAUGAACGAAAAGAAUAUGACAACCUCGGUAUAAUGAGAUAGCCAAGGAACAAGAAUGACCGAAUUUGGACAGCACUCCGGUAGAAAAGAGAAGAAAACUUGAUGAGAUGAAAAGACAUUGAAGAGAUGAUACAACACUCCGGUUAAAUGGAUAAGCAAGAAAAGAACACGAUCCUCACAAAACGAGGUGAUGGGUGAAGGGCGCAACAUCACAAUACCUCCGGAACGAAAGAAUAGAAGCUAGACCGUUGGGAUAAAGGGAUGGAGAAGAAAAUGACAACUUCUACCACAAUUGAAUUUGGAAGGCAUCCUUGCAAGAAGGUUAGAAUAGAGUUGUUGGAAGACCAACAACGAAAAGAAUAAGUUUGUAGUGGGCUUAUGGAAACAUCUCAACAUUAUGAGGUGACAACCGACCACUAAAGGAAACAAUUGCUAGCUUUAGAUCGACGAAGAGAUGAACACUUCUUCCACCAAGAUGAUAAAGAGAUAACUUGGAUCAUUGAUAAGCACCACAAAAGCAACAUUCCUUAGGGAAGGCUUUAGGUGAAAUAUGACACAAGAUAACUCCAACAACGAGGUUGAUGGUUGAAAAGAUCUCUUGAACAAAGAGAAAAUGAUGGAUUUAAAUAUCUCAUUCUUAACAACUUGCGAAUCAUGAAACACGAAGUGAAAUUGUCAAGAAUGACAUAAGACCACCCCAAAAGGUAGAAAGAAUUGCACUUCGGGAUGCACGAUGAAGAAUGCUUGAACUCCUCAAAACAAAACAUGUGUUGAGCACCAUGUUUAAUUUUGAGCAUAGCUUGGCUGAUCUUAACUUCAAGAGAAAUCUUGAAGAACAAUUGAAGAAUGAAAAGAAUCCUUGAUGAACCACCAUGUAGAGCCUCCAUGAAGAACUCCGGUAAAAAAAGGAUGAUAAAAAAGAAAGGGAAGUUGAAAACACAAGGUGAAGCCUUGCCAUGAUUUAGAUGGAGCUUCGCGAUGAUAUAACCGAGAGAACUUGGAACUCCGAAAAGAAAAGAUGAUCUUAGAACCGAGAAUUUAUUCCUCAAGAACAAACUCCAAAUGAAACAAUUUAUCACUUGGAUGAAACAAUAAUAAGAAUUACAUUAUGCCUAUCCUUCACCAAUUUAAAUUGAUGACAAGCAACGGAUUUGGCAUACUACUUAUUCCUGUAGAAAGAAUUAAAAGAGAUAUAGCGCAAGCUUGAGAAGGUAUUGAUGGAAUCACCGGUGGGAUUUGGAAACAACGAAUGAAUUGAUAUGAUAACGAAGGAAGUGAAAUCUUGAACGAACCACCAUAAGAAUUCAAAAUGAAAGUAGCAAAGGCACAAUUCACCGGGAAGAGUUGGAAAACGAAUGAAGAUACUUGAGGGGAUUUAGAUACCUGAGAACGAAGAGAUCAUGAACUGAUUAGAGGAUAUCUGAACGAUUCAUUGAUAAGAUUUGGAGAACAAUAGCUACACACUGAGAAUGAAGAAUUAUGGCAUGAUGGCCUUCGGAGGAAAGAAAUGGAAACAACUCAUGAAAUGCUCCGGAUGGUAAGAAAAGAAUUGUCACAAUCAAAACAAUUAUGAGGAUAGCAUGAAGCUAGAACCAUGAAUCUUCAAGAGAAUGGACCAAGAUUUAAGAGAAACUCUUCUUCGGUCUUCACAUGUUGAGAAUGAUCAUGAGAACCACCAUGACAAUUGUUGAGGCACUCCGGAAUGAAAAUUGGAAAGGUUGAACCUAUGAUGAAAGGAAUUUGAAAGAUCUUGGAGAAAGACAUAUGACUGAUGAUAACCAUUCUUACGUCAAACUUUGAAAAGAAUUUUAGAAGCUCCGAGAAAAUUAGAAGAGUCAGGUAAGAUCCUGGGAAAAGACCUGUGCGUUAGGGCCCACUGAAAAGAAACACACCGUUGAACAAUUUUAAAGAGAGGUUGCACCGGUUGAAUUAAAUGACUUGAAUGAGAUAAUAAUCUCCAAAUAGCUUGAACGGGUCUUAAAUGAAAAGAUGAGCCUUCUGAGAUAUCUUCAGCACUCCAGAACAAAUGGAUAGGAAGAAGUGAAUGAUUAAGAGGUGCAUCGGCAUGAGAAAGCAUUAGAAACGAGGAAAAGAAUAUGAUGAAUAUCGAAAGCUUGAAUUGGAUCCACCGAGAAGAAACAACAAUGAAGGAUGAUGAACUUGAAACUGUUGAGCAUCUUCAUGGGAAAUCACCGGAUAAGAACAUUGAAAGAAAAGAAUGAAGAGAUUUCUCACAAAUAAAAGGAUACAUGAUUAAGAAAUCUGAGUCCUUGAAAAAAAAGGGUGGGAGGGCGGGAAAACAAAGGCAACUUGGGGACGGAUGAAAUGAAUACCGUUGAGAAAACUUAGAAUUGAUCUCGCAAAUAUUGAAAUGAUCAGAUUCACUUGAAGAGAAGCACGCUGGUUGAAAAAGAAUUAACAUGACGACCUCGAUGAUCAAGAAGGAUUAGUACUCCCAUAGAAAUAUGAGAACACCGUUUAGAAAAGGUAUGGAAUCAACACUUGACAUUGAAGCAACUCAAAUACCACAACUCAAAACAAAAUAAAGGAUUGGCUUGCAGAAAUAAGCCGGAACAAAUACAUAUGAUAGAGAUUUACCCAAUCCCAUAUCAGGCAUCUGUCGGAAAGAUAUUCUAGGAGCUACUUGAAUUCCCACCUAUAAAACUCCCGAAACUUUCUGGUUAUGCAAUCUGGUGUUGGGGAUACAAGGGAAGCAAUAUAUAUCUCACCCAAAACUAACAAUCCAUACAUCCAGCUGUAUCCAUCCGUCAACACAUAACCAAGAAAACUCCAAAAAUCGUGUACCUCAACCUUCGAAAAGCAUCCGUUAUACGAGCUAUGGCAAUACUCCCGAACUCCCCAGUACUGGGUGGCGUCGAGGUUAUCUCACCAACAACUGCAUAAAAGAGAUUUUCAAUGUCGGCAAAACUCAGGUAUUCCAGAACUGCAACGAUAAAAUUAUGACGACAACACCUCGGAGCUCAACUCCCCGGGACACUGCCACAACCCCUAAAUGUCAGGAGGAACCAAGAACAAUGUUCUCGUCAUAAGAAUAUCGGAACGAUCCCAACAUACCCGCGUGAUCCUAAAAAAAUUCGUGAAAUUUGAGGAGAGGAAAGUCAAAACAUCUACGUCAGGAGUCCUCACCAGAGCGAUGAAGGGGGCUGAGGAGUAAAAAGAAUCCUACUCUCCGAUAUAUAUAAUCCUAAGACUCAAAAUAGUUUUCUUCUAGACUCAACAACGGCCAACAAUCAAGGGGGCUCCUAUGGUCGGUCGAGGCUCUGAUACCAACUUGUCACGCCCAAGAUGCGGCCCUAUCCUAAAGGAACUCGAAGGUCCCACCAAGGAUAGAAGCACAUCUUGAAGACACUUUUGCAAGGUGGAUAUCAUUACAUCAACAUUACAUAAUAGAUGGGGAUACAUACAAGAGGCAUACAAUGCCACACGAAUACAACAUCAUACAUAAGAGAUCAACAUCCGACUACGGAUGGAACAAAAACAGAAACUCAAACAACAUCCACCCUGCUAGCCCAGGCUGCCGACCUGGAACCUAUCCCCUGAUCGAAGAAGAAGCAUAAGAAGAACUCCAAUACAAGCAAACAUCGCUCUCGCGGCAUGAUCAUCGCAUAACCUAUACCUGUAACUGUUGUUGUAGUAAUCUGUGAGCCACGAGGACUCAGCAAUCCCAUUACCAUGGGUAUCAAGACUAGCAAGGCUUAAUGGGAAAGGAAGGGGUAAAGUGGUGAGGUUGCAGCAGCGGCUAAGCAUAUAUGGUGGCUAACAUAUGCAAAUGAGAGCGAGAAGAGAAACAAAGGAACGGUCGUCAACUAGUAAUGAUCUAGAAGUGAUCCUGAGCUCCUACUUACGUCAAUCAUAACCCAGAAACCGUGUUCAUUUCCCGGACUCCGCCGAGAAGAGACCAUCACGGCUACACACACGGUUGAUGCGUUUUAAUUCGGAUCUGGUGUCAAGGUAUCUACAACCAAACAUUAACAAAUUCCCAUCUGCCACAUAACCGCGGGCAUGGCUUUCGAAAGAUAAUACCCUGCAGGGGUGUCCCAACUUAGCCCAUGAUAAGCUUUCGCGAUCAACAAAGGAUUUACCUUCUCCCAGGAAGACCCGAUCAGUCUCGGAAUCCCGGUUUACAAGACAUUUCGACAAUGGUAAAACAAAACCAGCAAGACCGCCCGAUGCACCGACAUCCCGAUAGGAGCUGCACAUAUCUCGUUCUCAGGGCAACACCGGAUGAACACUACGUACAACUAAAACUAGACCUCAAGUUUCCCCGAGGUGGCGCUGCAAGUGGCUCUAGUUUGGACCAACACUUAGACAAGCAUUGGCCCGGGGGGGCUGAAUAAAGAUGACCCUCGAGAGAGCGACUCCCAAGGGAAAAGUAGGUGGUGGUGAGGCAAAUGGUAAAACCAAGGUUGGGCCUUGCUGGAGGAGUUUUAUUCAAAGCGAACUGUCAAGGGGGUCCCAUAAAUCACCCGACCGCGUAAGGAGCGCAAAAUCCGGGAACAUAACACCGGUAUGACGGAAACUAGGGCGGCAAGAGUGGAACAAAACAUCAGGCAUAAGGCCGAGCCUUCCACCCUUUACCAAAUAUAUAUAUAUGCAUUAAUUAGAUAAGAGAUAUUGUGAUAUCCCAACAUAAUCAUGUCCAUCAUGGAGCAAUCUCAACUUCACCUGCAACUAACAACGCUAUAAGAGGGGCUGAGCAAAGCGGUAACAUAGCCAAACAACGGUUUGCUAGGAAGGGUGUCAAAGGUUAGAGGUUCAUGGCAAUUCGGGAGGCUUGAAGAGCAAAUGAUAGGUAACACAGCAUAGCGAUAGAACGAAGCAACUAGCAUAGCAAUGAUAGUAGUGAGAUCCAGGGUAGCGGUCAUCUUGCCUGAAAUCCCGCUAGGAAGAAGAACGAGUCCAUGAAGAAGACAAGCGGACGUAGUUGAACGAAUCCUCACAAUCGCAACAUUACCGAAACUAAGAAGCAACACCGGAACGAAACAAACAACAUGGUAAAUUCACAAGCAUAAACAUGGCAUGAUGCACAAACAAGUGUGAUGCAUGUCCGGUUUAAUGAGGCAUGGCAAAGUGCAACAAACAAUACUACAAGUUAAGUGGAGCUCAAUAUGCAACGAGUUGCAUAUUGACAAAACACCACAUCAAUUAUUUAGUUCUCUCUCGGUUAUGCUACUCAUCAAUAUUAAAUGUUGUUAAACAUGGCAAGGGGUGAAGCAUAAAGAAACUACCUAACAAGGCAAGUUUAAAUGAGGCCGGAAAUAAGAAACAACAAUUCCGGAAAAUCCCCAUGUGCAUAUUUUGAUUUGGUACUGUUCUGCCCUAAACCAUAUUUUAAGGUUGUUACCAGGAAAAUAAAGUGCACCAUGUUAAACUAGGCAUUUUUCCACCCCAUUUACAUAUAAAGUUUAUUAAAAUUGGAGCUACGGUUAUUUAGUUAUGAAAUAAACCAUUUUAACAUGGUAUUUGAGCAAAUUUAAACAAACAACAGUUUAAACAUUUUAAACAAGGAUGAAAGUGGCAUAUUAUUAAUCUACACAAAAUUCUAAGCAUUUUACAUGUUUUAAUCAUUUUAAUCCAAUGCACGGUUCAUGAGUUAUUAUAUGCAUGAUGCUUAGGGGUUUUUCUGUAAAACAAUAAACUCCUGGAUAAAUAGCAAAAUCGUUCCGCGGAAAAAAACAUGGAUAGGGCCGAAUCUGGACGGCCCAAAAGUGCACAGGAGAGGGGGCGGGGGCUGCUCACCCUGGGCCAAGGCCCGGUUGGUGCAGCAGGCCGGCUAAGGAGGCGCUGGGGAAAGAGGCUGCUGGGCUGAUGCGGGUGAAGGGCGACGCGGUGGCCCAGGCACGCUGGCGGCGCGGUCAACGCGAGGCACGAGGGAGCGGGCGCCUCGUCCUCUGCUCGUCAGGAAGUAGAGCAGCGGCGGCGGGGUGCUCUCCGGCGAGGGCGCAGCUUGGGAAGGCGGAGAGGAAGGUCGGCGACAGGCGCAUGCGUCAGUUCCAACGACGACGCAGAUGAGGCACAGGAGGUCGACGCGGUCGUGCGUGGCUGCUGGAGCUGCUCAAGCAGAGAAGAAGUCGGCGAUGGCUGGGUCGUCGCGGACCUCGUCGGCGGCACGAGCAGGAGGGAAACGGCCAGGAUCCAAGGGGAGGACGCACGGGCUCGUUUGGUUCUUGUCCCUGGCAGAGAGAGACAGAGAGAGGUGAGACAGGAAGAGGGAAAGGAAGAGAGGGCACGAGGGAGGCCCGACGGCGUGACCUGGAGGAGCUGGUGAUCGUCGGCGGUGAGACGAGGUGGGGGUCGCGAGGAAGACAGCGGAGCUCUGGAUUGGGAGGAGCUCGGCUCUCCUCGGGCGUUGCACAGCGCGGAAGGGAUGCAGGGAGCAGCGGGAGGAGGAGGCGCGCACGGGAGGGGCGCCAUGGGUCUUGGGUGCGUGCUCGAGCUUGAGCAGCGAGCUCCUCUUGCUCGGACGCGGGCGUCGCAAGGACGAAGGACGGCGAGGUGGCGGCUCGGGCUUCGGUGGCGUGGUGAGGAGCUCAGGCAGGGAGGUGGAUCGAGGAGGGGAUGGAUUUGGGUUGGCUGGUGUUGAACGAGGGGGGAUUUGGAUCAGGGAGAUCCCGAUGUAGAUGGUGGCGGCGCUAGGGUAGGUUCCCUAGAAAUUAGGUGGUUUGUCUAGGUUAGUUAGGUGGGGUCUAUAUAUAGCUAAUGGAUUUUUGAUAGGGUCAUUAGGUCCCUCCGAUCGUAAUCGGACGGUCGAAAAAAUAGGCUAGAGAGUCCAAAUAAGAAAACGGAGAUAUUUUAUAGACGUUUGGGGAUGAUCCGGAUCCAUUGGUAACGAUAGACCGGUUCGGGUUCGGGUAAGAUUCGGACACGCACACGAGGGGUCUGAGAGAGGUCAACGAGGGCAAGGGCCUGCCAAAAUAACAACGGAGGCAAAGAGAGAAAGGGAAACUGCGAACGGCUACGAGUUUUUAUGAAAACAUGUGGAUGCAAUGCACAUGAUGCCAUGAGAUGAAAUGCAUGACAUGAACAAAAUGCAAAAACAAAAGACAAAAACCCAACCAUGAAGGAAAAUAAAAUAUCACAUCUCCGGAAAAGGCAAGAGUUGGAGUUAUGAAUGUGGAAAGUUGUAUCCGGUGCGUUACAUCCUCCUCUGGCGGUAGGGUGACAUUUGCCUUCAGCUCAGUCCAAAGAUCUUCUUUUUGCAUAUCAUUGACAUAAGACACCUCAUGGUCUUCAUCCUUAGCAGGCUUAUACCAUUGCUGGAUGCUGAUCGGGAUCUUGUCCCUAACAAGAACCCCGCACUGAGCAGAAAAUGCCUUCCUUGUCCGGAUGGGUUCAAUCGGUUCGCCAUCGGGCGCGAUUUCUAUGAUCUCAAACUUUUCAUCCGAGCUCAACUUUUUCUUCGGGCCUCGUCUCCUUACUGAAGUUGUGCUUGAUCCGGAGGGCUAGAAAUUAUAAGGAAGAAAGACGACAGUAAUUAAUAUGUGUACAUAUACCAAAACAAUGGAUGCAUCAAUUACUAGUUAGCAUGGGCUUAACUAAUAUAUAUAUACCUGGCCGGACUCGGUUCGGUGACCGGAGCAGUCAGCCCGGUCUCCUUCUUGUACCUCCAUNNNNNNNNNNNNNNNNNNNNNNNNNNNNNNNNNNNNNNNNNNNNNNNNNNNNNNNNNNNNNNNNNNNNNNNNNNNNNNNNNNNNNNNNNNNNNNNNNNNNNNNNNNNNNNNNNNNNNNNNNNNNNNNNNNNNNNNNNNNNNNNNNNNNNNNNNNNNNNNNNNNNNNNNNNNNNNNNNNNNNNNNNNNNNNNNNNNNNNNNNNNNNNNNNNNNNNNNNNNNNNNNNNNNNNNNNNNNNNNNNNNNNNNNNNNNNNNNNNNNNNNNNNNNNNNNNNNNNNNNNNNNNNNNNNNNNNNNNNNNNNNNNNNNNNNNNNNNNNNNNNNNNNNNNNNNNNNNNNNNNNNNNNNNNNNNNNNNNNNNNNNNNNNNNNNNNNNNNNNNNNNNNNNNNNNNNNNNNNNNNNNNNNNNNNNNNNNNNNNNNNNNNNNNNNNNNNNNNNNNNNNNNNNNNNNNNNNNNNNNNNNNNNNNNNNNNNNNNNNNNNNNNNNNNNNNNNNNNNNNNNNNNNNNNNNNNNNNNNNNNNNNNNNNNNNNNNNNNNNNNNNNNNNNNNNNNNNNNNNNNNNNNNNNNNNNNNNNNNNNNNNNNNNNNNNNNNNNNNNNNNNNNNNNNNNNNNNNNNNNNNNNNNNNNNNNNNNNNNNNNNNNNNNNNNNNNNNNNNNNNNNNNNNNNNNNNNNNNNNNNNNNNNNNNNNNNNNNNNNNNNNNNNNNNNNNNNNNNNNNNNNNNNNNNNNNNNNNNNNNNNNNNNNNNNNNNNNNNNNNNNNNNNNNNNNNNNNNNNNNNNNNNNNNNNNNNNNNNNNNNNNNNNNNNNNNNNNNNNNNNNNNNNNNNNNNNNNNNNNNNNNNNNNNNNNNNNNNNNNNNNNNNNNNNNNNNNNNNNNNNNNNNNNNNNNNNNNNNNNNNNNNNNNNNNNNNNNNNNNNNNNNNNNNNNNNNNNNNNNNNNNNNNNNNNNNNNNNNNNNNNNNNNNNNNNNNNNNNNNNNNNNNNNNNNNNNNNNNNNNNNNNNNNNNNNNNNNNNNNNNNNNNNNNNNNNNNNNNNNNNNNNNNNNNNNNNNNNNNNNNNNNNNNNNNNNNNNNNNNNNNNNNNNNNNNNNNNNNNNNNNNNNNNNNNNNNNNNNNNNNNNNNNNNNNNNNNNNNNNNNNNNNNNNNNNNNNNNNNNNNNNNNNNNNNNNNNNNNNNNNNNNNNNNNNNNNNNNNNNNNNNNNNNNNNNNNNNNNNNNNNNNNNNNNNNNNNNNNNNNNNNNNNNNNNNNNNNNNNNNNNNNNNNNNNNNNNNNNNNNNNNNNNNNNNNNNNNNNNNNNNNNNNNNNNNNNNNNNNNNNNNNNNNNNNNNNNNNNNNNNNNNNNNNNNNNNNNNNNNNNNNNNNNNNNNNNNNNNNNNNNNNNNNNNNNNNNNNNNNNNNNNNNNNNNNNNNNNNNNNNNNNNNNNNNNNNNNNNNNNNNNNNNNNNNNNNNNNNNNNNNNNNNNNNNNNNNNNNNNNNNNNNNNNNNNNNNNNNNNNNNNNNNNNNNNNNNNNNNNNNNNNNNNNNNNNNNNNNNNNNNNNNNNNNNNNNNNNNNNNNNNNNNNNNNNNNNNNNNNNNNNNNNNNNNNNNNNNNNNNNNNNNNNNNNNNNNNNNNNNNNNNNNNNNNNNNNNNNNNNNNNNNNNNNNNNNNNNNNNNNNNNNNNNNNNNNNNNNNNNNNNNNNNNNNNNNNNNNNNNNNNNNNNNNNNNNNNNNNNNNNNNNNNNNNNNNNNNNNNNNNNNNNNNNNNNNNNNNNNNNNNNNNNNNNNNNNNNNNNNNNNNNNNNNNNNNNNNNNNNNNNNNNNNNNNNNNNNNNNNNNNNNNNNNNNNNNNNNNNNNNNNNNNNNNNNNNNNNNNNNNNNNNNNNNNNNNNNNNNNNNNNNNNNNNNNNNNNNNNNNNNNNNNNNNNNNNNNNNNNNNNNNNNNNNNNNNNNNNNNNNNNNNNNNNNNNNNNNNNNNNNNNNNNNNNNNNNNNNNNNNNNNNNNNNNNNNNNNNNNNNNNNNNNNNNNNNNNNNNNNNNNNNNNNNNNNNNNNNNNNNNNNNNNNNNNNNNNNNNNNNNNNNNNNNNNNNNNNNNNNNNNNNNNNNNNNNNNNNNNNNNNNNNNNNNNNNNNNNNNNNNNNNNNNNNNNNNNNNNNNNNNNNNNNNNNNNNNNNNNNNNNNNNNNNNNNNNNNNNNNNNNNNNNNNNNNNNNNNNNNNNNNNNNNNNNNNNNNNNNNNNNNNNNNNNNNNNNNNNNNNNNNNNNNNNNNNNNNNNNNNNNNNNNNNNNNNNNNNNNNNNNNNNNNNNNNNNNNNNNNNNNNNNNNNNNNNNNNNNNNNNNNNNNNNNNNNNNNNNNNNNNNNNNNNNNNNNNUCUGUUAGUGCCAUUACUUUUUAAAUUUGAAAACACUUUUUUUGUUUUCUUUCUUGCUUUAUUUAUUUUAUUUUGUUUCUACUUACAAAAAAAAUACUUAUUGUUGUUUUUUUUGUUUUGUUUUCUGCAUUAUUUAUUUUCUUUUGUUUUUUGCUUUAUCUUUAAUUCUUUUUGCUUUUAGUUUUAGGAAAAUUAUAAACUUUCCACUUUUUUUGUUUUUUUGUUUUCUUUCUUGCUUUAUUUAUUUUAUUUUGUUUCUACUUACAACAAAAUACUUAUUGUUGCUAUUUUUAAUUAUUACGAGGGCCGAAGCAUAAGACAUUAAAGCAUUUCAAAUGAACUCUGAAAAAGUUGAAAGUUGGCAUGGUAUCAUAAAUUGACCCACACAUAGCAUGUGCAUGUACAAAACGGACAAUGGUAUCAUACUCGUGAGUUACAAAGUUGGCAUGGUAUCAUCAUAAUAGUUGCGGGAGAAAGUCUUCACUUUUUCUUCGCUUGUGUCAUUUGCUUAUUGCGCCGUAACCAUGGAUAAUCUUCAUCGUUUAUCAGGAUGCUGGGGUCAGCCUUGACUUUAAAGGAAGGAAUUUCAUGAAACUUUUCAUAAUCUUCAGACAUGUCUGUCUUGUCCUCCACUCCCACGAUGUCUCUUUUUCCUGAAAGAACUAUGUGGCGCUUUGGCUCAUCGUAUGAUGUAUUCGCUUCCUUAUCUUUUCUCUUUCUCGGUCUGGUAGACAUGUCCUUCACAUAGAUAACCUGUGCCACAUCAUUGGCUAGGACGAACGGUUCGUUAGUGUACCCAAGAUUUUUCAGAUCCACUGUUGUCAUUCCGUACUGUGGGUCUACCUGUACCCCGCCUCCUGACAGAUUGACCCAUUUGCACUUAAACAAAGGGACCUUAAAAUCAUGUCCGUAGUCAAGUUCCCAUAUGUCCACUAUGUAACCAUAAUAUGUGUCCUUUCCCCUCUCGGUUGUUGCAUCAAAGCGGACACCGCUGUUUUGGUUGGUGCUCUUUUGAUCUUGGUCAAUCGUGUAAAAUGUAUUCCCAUUUAUCUCGUAUCCUUUCCAAAUCAAUACAGUCAAAGAUGGUCCCCUGGAUAACAAGUACAGCUCAUCACAAAUGGUGUUGUCACCUCUGAUACGUGCUUCCAACCAACUGCUGAAAGUCCUGAUGUGUUCACAUGUAAUCCAGUCGUCGCACUGCUCCAGGUGUUUGGAGCGCAGACUGUUCUUGUGUUCAUCGACAUACGGGGUCACCAAGGUAGAGUUCUGUAGAACUGUGUAGUGUGCUUGAGACCAAGAAUAUCCGUCCCUGCAUAUUAUUGAGUCCCUUCCAAGCGUGCCUUUUCCAGUCAGUCUCCCCUCAUACCGCGAUUUAGGGAGACCUAUCUUCUUAAGGCCAGGAAUGAAGUCAACACAAAACCCGAUGACAUCCUCUGUUUGAUGGCCCAUGGAGAUGCUUCCUUCUGUCCUAGCGCGGUUACGGACAUAUUUCUUUAGGACUCCCAUGAACCUCUCAAAGGGGUACAUAUUGUGUAGAAAUACGGGGCCCAGAAUGACAAUCUCGUCAACUAGAUGAACUAGGACGUGCGUCAUGAUAUUGAAGAAGGAUGGUGGGAACACCAGCUCGAAAUUGACAAUCUGGAUCGAUCACCUUCUGAGAGAUUGCAUUGAGGAAUGCACAUAGCUUCACAAUGGCUAAUCGGAUGUUUUUCGGUAGAAGCCCCCUCAAUGCAACCGGAAGCAGUUGUGUCAUAAUCACGUGGCAGUCAUGAGACUUUAGGUUCUGAAACUUUUUCUCUGCCAUAUUUAUUAUUCCUUUUAUAUUCGACGAGAAGCCAGUCGGGACCUUCAUACUAAGCAGGCAUUCAAAGAAGAUUUCCUUCUCUUCUUUGGUAAGAGCAUAGCUGGCAGGACCUUCAUACUGCUUUGGAGGCAUGCCGUCUUUUUCGUGCAAACGUUGCAGGUCCUCCCGUGCCUCAGCUGUAUCUUUUGUCUUCCCAUACACGCCCAAGAAGCCUAGCAGGUUCACGCAAAGGUUCUUCGUCACGUGCAUCACGUCAAUCGAAGAGCGGACCUCUAGGUCUUUCCAGUAGGGUAGGUCCCAAAAUAUAGAUUUCUUCUUCCACAUGGGUGCGUGUCCCCCAGCGUCACUCGGAACAGCUAGUUCGCUGGGACCCUUUCCAAAGAUUACGUGUAAAUCAUUGACCAUAGCAAGUACGUGAUCACCGGUACGCAUGGCGGGCUUCUUCCGGUGAUCUGCCUCGCCUUUGAAAUGCUUGCCUUUCUUUCGACAUUGAUGGUUGGUCGGAAGAAAUCGACGAUGGCCCAGGUACACAUUCUUCCUGCAGCUUGCCAGGUAUAUACUAUCGGUGUCAAGUAAACAGUGCGCGCAUGCGUGGUAUCCCUUGUUUGUCUGUCCUGAAAGGUUACUGAGAGCGGGCCAAUCGUUGAUGGUCACGAAUAGCAACGCCUUUAGGUUAAAUUCCUCCUGUUUGUGCUCAUCCCACGUACGUACACCGUUUCCAUUCCACAGCUGUAAAAGUUCUUCAACUAAUGGCCUUAGGUACACAUCAAUGUCAUUGCCGGGUUGCUUAGGGCCUUGGAUGAGAACUGGCAUCAUAAUGAACUUCCACUUCAUGCACAUCCAAGGAGGAAGGUUAUACAUACAUAGAGUCACGGGCCAGGUGCUGUGAUUGCUGCUCUGCUCCCCGAAAGGAUUAAUGCCAUCCGCGCUUGAAGCAAACCAUACGUUCCUUGGCUCACUUGCAAACUCAUCCCAGUACUUUCUCUCGAUUUUUUUCCACUGCGACCCGUCAGCGGGUGCUCUCAACUUCCCGUCUUUCUUACGGUCCUCAAUGUGCCAUUGCAUCAACUUGGCAUGCUCUCCGUUUCUGAACAGACGUUUCAACCGUGGUAUUAUAGGAGCAUACCACAUCACCUUCGCAGGAACCCUCUUCCUGGGGGGCUCGCCAUCAACAUCACCAGGGUCAUCUCGUCUGAUCUUAUACCGUAAUGCACCGCAUACCGGGCAUGCGUUCAGAUCCUUGUACGCACCGCGGUAGAGGAUACAGUCAUUAGGGCCUGCAUGUAUCUUCUGCACCUCCAAUCCUAAAGGGCAUACGACCUUCUUUGAUGCGUAUGUACUGUCGGGCAAUUCGUUAUCCUUUGGAAGCUUCUUCUUCAAUAUUUUAAGUAGCUUCUCAAAUCCUUUGUCAGGCACAGCAUUCUUUGCCUUCCACUGCAGCAAUUCCAGUACGGUACCGAGCUUUGUGUUGCCAUCUUCGCAAUUGGGGUACAACCCUUUUUUGUGGUCCUCUAGCAUGCGAUCGAACUUCAGCUUCUCCUUUUGACUUUCGCAUUGCGUCCUUGCAUCGACAAUGACCCGGCAGAGAUCAUCAUCAUCGGGCACAUCGUAUGGUUCCUCUUGAUCUUCACCAGCUUCGCCCGUUGCAGCAUCAUCGUGCACAUCGUCUGGUUCCUCUUGAUCUUCAGGAGCAUCACUGUAUUCAGGGGGCACAUAGUUGUCAUCGUACUCUUCUUCUUCGCCGUCUUCCAUCAUAACCCCUAUUUCUCCGUGCCUCGUCCAAACAUUAUAGUGUGGCAUGAAACCCUUGUAAAGCAGGUGGGUGUGGAGGAUUUUCCGGUCAGAGUAAGACUUCGUAUUCCCACAUAUAGGGCAUGGACAACACAUAAAACCAUUCUGCUUGUUUGCCUCAGCCACUUCGAGAAAAUCAUGCACGCCCUUAAUGUACUCGGAGGUGUGUCUUGAACCGUACAUCCAUUGCCGGUUCAUCUGCGUGCAUUAUAUAAUGAAGUGACAAAAUUAAUAGAAGUUCAUCAUCACAUUAAAACCAAAGUACAUACAUAGUUCUCAUCUAACAACAUAAAGCUCUGUAGAGCAUCUAAAUUAAUUAAACCAUACACCUAAACUAUGUAAAACAUUUCAAUGCGAAAACAAAUGCGAUCAUAAUCGCAACCAAUGUAACAACUGAUCCAACGGCAUAAUGAUACCAAGCCUCGGAAUGAAUGGCAUAUUUUCUAAUCUUUCUAAUCUUCAAGCGCAUUGCAUCCAUCUUGAUCUUGUGAUCGACGACAUCCGCAACAUGCAACUCCAAUAUCAUCUUCUCCUCCUCAUUUUUUCUAAUUUUUUCCUUCAAGAAAUUGUUUUCUUCUUCAAUUAAAUUUAACCUCUCGACAAUAGGGUCGGUUGGAAUUUCCGAUUCAACAACCUCCUAGAUAAAUAAAAUCUAUGUCACGUUGGUCGGCAUAAUUGUCAUAAACAAUAAAUGAACCAAUAGUUAUGAAAAGAUAAUAUAUACCACAUCCGAAUCAUAGACAGGACGAGGGCCGACGGGGGCGGAUACCAAAACCAUCGCACUAUAUAAGAUGCAAUAAUAAAAGUAAGAAAAUAAUACAAGUAUCUAUCUAAACAUACAAGUAAGAAUAUUUUUCCUUUCAGAAAGAAGAUAAGAACAAGAGGCUCACCACGAUGGUGCCGGCGAUGAGAUCAACGCGGGUGAUCGACGACGGUGAAGACGGGGACGGGGCGUGACGGACCGCUAAAUCUAGACAAAUAUUGAGGAAAAUGGAGCUUGGCGGUCGAGCUUGGAGGGGAGAAAGCUUAAGUAGUGUGGCUCGGGCAUUCCAUCGAACACCUCGUGUGCAUAGGAGGUGAGCUAGAGCACCACAAAGCUCUCCCCUCGCCGGCCACGAAAAACAGAGCAUUGGGAGUGCUCUGCUCGCGAGCAGGGGUAUAUAUAGGCACCUCAUUGGUCCCGGUUGGUGGCAUGAACCGGGACUAAAGGGCAGCCUUUGGUCCCGGUUCAUGCCACCAACCGGGACCAAUGGUGGUGGGCCAGGAGCGAGGCCCAUUGGUCCCGGUUCGUUCCACCAACCGGGACCAAAAGGUCCAGACGAACCAGGACCAAUGGCACACGUGGCCCGGCCGGCCCCCGGGGCUCAAGAACCGGGUCCAAUGCCCCCAUUGGUCCCGGUUCUGGAUUGAAUGGGGACUAAUGGGCUGGACUGGCCUGGACCAUUGCCCCCUUUUCUACUAGUGAACUCAACUUCACCGUAUAUGAACUCGCCGGAACUCCUUGAUCACGAACAGAAACGCAAGGCACAAUUUACUUUUUCCAUCCACUCUUACUCUUAAUUCUCAUCCGCCAGUGACGCGUCUCAACUACAGCAGAUGACUCACACCCCCGAAUUCUUGGACGCACCAUACAAGAACUCAUGCACACCUCGACGACAGCCCGCAUGUUUGCCGUCACCACCUUGCUCUCAUUUGCGAUGAUAUCGAUGGUUUCCCUGGUGUCGCAACUUCGGCACCUCCAUAACCAUCACCGAUCACCAAUGCCUUGUCGACGACAGCAUGUCGCCCUCCUCCAGGUCGUUCCGCCGAACGACAAUCACGAGCCGCCUCGCUUACGACAGUGUCCUCGCCACCUUCUCACCGUCGCUACGCCGAGCAAAGAUCACUCGAUCCUCCUCGUACGUCGCUCCCCGAACGACUAUUGCCUGCUCCACCUCGUCGCUGCACCACCCAGCGACUAUAUCGCCCGCUCUUCCUCGUCGCUGUACCACCGAACGACUAUAUGGCCGCCCCAAGGCGCUAGUAGGUCGCCACCCCGGGGCAAGCGCGGCUGUAAUAGAACCUUGCUCUAGAGACCAAUUGUUGGAAUUUCGCCCUCAGGAUCGAUUACAUCAGAUACGAGGAACACACGCACACAAAAAAAUGAUAGCCAAGGGCCCUUGUCGUGCCCUCUUUUCUCUUUAUUUUUUUGUUUCUCAACUCACGGUGUUACAAAUCGGAUGGACCGGUGUGCAUAUAUAUAAAUGACCUCACGAGCUAUAGCUAGCUAACCUAAACCGACUCAAACAACUAAUCCUGGCCGGACACACGUUGAAACAUAACUACGACAUGGGCAGCAUGCAUGCUAAUUCCUAAUACUACACGGCUUGCAAACCGGCCACCCCGCGUACAUCUCAAUUUACCUAGUUUUUUUUAGGGUUAAUGCUGCCGCUUUAUUUAGGUCUCCGCAAAGCUCGGAAUGUCAUCCGAGAUUACAGCCAAAAUACAGUCAGGGGAACCCCCAUCCACACCUUACAUAAAUUAUCACCUACACCUACUCUAGCCAUCUUAUGCGCGGCGACAUUCGCUGAACGACGAACCCAUGACACCUUAGCACCUUGCAUGUCCUGCAACACCUGCUUGAUUUCCUGAAUCCAGGGUCCAACCGUCGAGUAGUUUAUACCCUCUUGCUGGGUCAUCUGAACCACCUUCAAGCUGUCCAACUCAAGAUGAACAUUCUGCACUCCCAACUCUCCCGCCACCUGCAAAGCUCUCCUACAUGCCAAUACUUCCGCAGCUUCAGGGUCCUGUAUAUGUGGAAAUACAUGACACAUGGCAGCUAUGAAAGCUCNNNNNNNNNNNNNNNNNNNNNNNNNNNNNNNNNNNNNNNNNNNNNNNNNNNNNNNNNNNNNNNNNNNNNNNNNNNNNNNNNNNNNNNNNNNNNNNNNNNNNNNNNNNNNNNNNNNNNNNNNNNNNNNNNNNNNNNNNNNNNNNNNNNNNNNNNNNNNNNNNNNNNNNNNNNNNNNNNNNNNNNNNNNNNNNNNNNNNNNNNNNNNNNNNNNNNNNNNNNNNNNNNNNNNNNNNNNNNNNNNNNNNCCCACCCUCGAAAUAGCACCAUCAGUGUUAAUCUUCACCCAGCCAUCAUCCGGUACAGCCUAUCGCUGGGUGAUCUUCGGGACUGGUACAGUUACCUUUGUUGGAUGUGAGUUGGUCCACUCCAGCAAAUGAGUAUACACUGAUUCCAUUAUCGCAUGUGGCACUUCCAACCGUUUCCCUUCCCUCGUAUUAUUUCUUGCUAGCCAAAGUCCGUAUGUGGCUUGGAUCAUAACUUCUUUCUCUUCCUCGGACGCUCCAGAGAACCAGCCAAGUAGCCAAGGCGCUAAUGCACCCUGGGUAUCAAUCUGACACGGCGGGGCUGCCACCGCGAUACCUUUUUCCAAGCGCAAAAGUUGCCAGAACUGUGCUGAAUGCUGACAUGCCCAAAAACGAUGGAUGAUUGUUUCUUCCCUCCCGCAUGCAACAAAAAAAACCCCCGGUUUGAUCCGUCUCCGAUGAAGUUCUGAUCCUACUGCUAGUCCAUUUCUGAUCAUGCGCCACAUGUGGAUUUUUGCCUUGGGUGGAGCACUCGUACCCCACAUCUCCAUAUACCCUUUGUGCUGCUGUACCGAGUCUGAAGACUCCUGCUGGCCCGUCCUCACCUUCCUCAUUGCCAUCCAAAGAUGAUAUGCUGACUUGACAUUAAAGACACCAUUCUUGGUAUAAUUCCAAGCCUGGUAGUCUUCGGUUUCGGGCCCUCCCACUGCUAUUUGCAUUAUAUCAUGAAUAUCUGAUUCCGAAAACAUAGCUGAUAGCUUUUCUGCAUCCCAAGCCGCACCACUCAAAUCGAGAAGAUCAGACACCUUCGUCACACCAUGAACAUAAACCUGACCCAGUGGUCUCAAACAGCCAUCCCUUGGAAUCCAAUUGUCAUGGUGGAUAUUAAUCCCCGCGCCGUCACCCACCCUCCACACGAGUCCCUCCCGAAGAAGGUCCCUCCCAUGCAAUAUGCUUCUGAACGUGUAAGAUGAGUUGGAUGGGCAGGUAGCACUCAAUAUCGAAUCAUCCUUGAAGUAUCUGGCCUUCAACACCCUAGCACACAGAGAAGACGACGUAGUAAGAAUCCUCCAUGCUUGCUUUACCAAAAGUGCUAGGUUGAAGCCCUCAGGAUUUCUGAACCCAAGGCCCCCUUCCCUCUUCGAAUUGCACAUCUUCUCCCAUGAGAUCCAAUGCACCUUUCUUUCACCGUUCAUUGCCCCCACCAGAAUUUUGAAGAGAUGGAUGUCAGGUUCCGGUAUAUCUUCUUUGUGAGGUGAAAGCAACUCAUCGUGAACGUUGGUGUUGAUUGUAAUCCCGAUUUAACAAGAACUUCUCUGGCAGCCUUGGGCAGACCCUGCCCUUUCCACCCUGUCACCUUACCCUUAGAGCUCUCAGUGACAUAAGGAAACGUACCCUCCUUUGAUCUUCCAACCAGUGUUGGCAGACCAAGGUAUCUUUCACUUAGCGCCUCACUAGCAAUGCCCACCGCCUCCUUAAGCUCAUUUUUGGUCUCAUUGUUGCAUCCCUUCCCGAAGAAAAUGGAGGACUUUUGCAUGUUCACCCGCUGGCCCGAGGCCUCCUCAUAUGUCAGUAAAAUUUCCUUCAGCGCAGUCAUGCUCUCUGAAGAGUCCUCAAGAAAAACAAUGCUGUCAUCGGCGAACAGCAAAUGAGUGACGUGGGGGCCAGUGCCCCCGAACGAAACUCCCUUGAUCCUCUGUUCCUCCUGUGCUCUUUUCAACAAGGCCGAGAACCCCUCAACACAAAAAAGGAAUAAAUAUGGUGAGAGCGGGUCACCUUGUCUUAGUCCACGCGAUGGUGUGAACCUCCUAGAGCCACCCCCAUUAAGCCUAACAGAAAACCGAGCUGAUGUAACACAUCUCAUAAUCAUACCAAUCCACCCAUGAUCAAAGCCAAACUUAGCCAUUGUCCUUUCCAGAAAACUCCACUCUACUCUGUCAUAGGCUUUCAUCAUAUCGAGCUUUACCGCACAUAAGCACUUCCUUCUCUUUCUAGUCCGGAUGGCAUGGACACAUUCGUAUGCUACUAACACAUUGUCCGUAAUAAGACGGCCUGGAACAAACGCACUUUGCUCUUCUGAUAUUAACACUGGUAGGAUGACUUUCAAUCUGUUCGUGAGCACCUUUGUUGCUAUCUUGUACAAAACGUAACACAAACUAAUAGGGCGAAACUGAGAAAGUAGCUCCGGUGCACUCACCUUAGGUAUCAUCACAAUAACAGUAUCAUUAAAUGAUUCCGGGGUUGUCUCACCGUUGAGAAACGUCCGAACAGCCGUACACACAUCUUGCCCCACCAACGACCAGUGUCGCUGAUAGAAAAGCGCUGGCAGUCCGUCCGGACCCGGCGACUUGGUCGGCCCCAUUUGGAACAAUGCUACCCUGAUUUCCUCAUCCGUGAUCGGCGUCGUUAGCUUUUCAUUCAUGUCAGCCGUCACCUGAGACUCAAUAUGCUACAGCAACGCCUCCGCACCAACCGAGCCUUCGGACGUAAACAGGUGCUCAUAGAAUGUCGCUGCCAUCUCUCUCAUUUCAUCAUCCACCAUACACUUGGUGCCAUCCUCCCUUAACAGCGCCUUUACCGUGUUCUUACGCUUCCUAUGUGAAGCACGGUUUUGGAAGUACUUGGUGUUUUGGUCUCCUACAACUAACCAAUCCACUCUCGAUCGCUGUCGGUAUAAAAUCUCUUCCCUCUCAAACAUCUCCUUCAACUGAUCCUCAAUGUCCCGUACCUCCUGCUGAUAUCCCGUCGACAAUGCCCUAGUCUUGGCAUCCACCAACUGUGUCUUGAGCGCAGCAAUCUAUCUUCUUAUCGAUCCGAACACCUCCCUGCUCCACCUUUGCAUGCUACCCGCUACCUGACCCAGCUUGCUCCACACAUCCUCAAGAUUCCUCCCGCCAGCGCCCGCCGCUUCCCACGCCUCUCGCACCAUUUGCUUGUAGUUCUCAUGCCUUGUCCAUGCUUCCUCAAACCGAAAGGGUCGGUCCCUACCUCGGGGAGCAGCUGGAGCGGUCUCCAUUGCCCUCACCAGUAGAGCCUGAUGGUCCGACUCCUCCGUCAUGAUGUGUUGCACGGACGUUUCUGGGUACAUCUGCAGGAAUCCAUCAUUGCAUGUUGCCCUAUCUAGCCUGACCUGAAUGUUUUCACUCCCAUCUCUUUUGUUAUCCCAUGUGUACGGGUAUCCAUUGAACCCCAGGUCCGCCAAGCCGCAGUCAGCUAGGCAGUCCCUAAAAUCCUCCAUACGUGAAAAAGGCCUUUGGUUACCCCCAAUCUGAUCAGCAUGGAAUAACACUUCAUUAUAAUCCCCUACACAAAUCCAAGGGAGAUCAUCUUGCCUUCUCAGAUACCUUAAAGCAUCCCACGAUUUCUUCCGUCUUUCCGUGUUCGGUUCCCCGUAGAAUCCAGUGAUCCUCGAGGUCUUGCCAUCACAAACAAACUCAGCAUCAAUGAAAUAUUGACUCCACGGUCUCACUGUAGCUUGUACGUGAUCUCUCCACCACAUGGCCAGUCCACCACUCCUUCCAUUGCAAUCCACCGCCACCCAUGUCUAAACCCCAAACUCCAUUUUAACCUAUCCAUCCCUCUCGCCUUUUUCUUCGUUUCACAUAAAAACACCACCGCUGGGUUGUAGGACCUAAUCAGGUCUCGUAAUUCACCAACCGUCGAGUCCAACCCCAAUCCUCGACAGUUCCAGGCUAGAAUGUUCAUUGCUCCUGGCGGCCCUGGUUAGCAGGGUCCGCCAUUGCUCCAUUUUGUUCCUCAAUGCGGUCAAACACAGACGACGUCUUCCGUCGUGUAUCACAAAUGAAACCGUCAUCGCCCCCACCUCUGAUGUUGUCAUCCUUCACCCUCCAAAUUUGUUUCGGGCCUCUUUUCCUGUUUUCCAACUCCCUUCUAGAAGAGGAAGUGUCACACUGCUGCACUUCAACAACCUGUCUUGGUUUCCUGACAUAAUAUCCCCUCCUUCUUCCACGUUCAUCAUGCAUGUUCGACCUUUCAUAAAGCCCCGGCUCACUGUAAUAAUCAUCCCUCCGAGAUUUGUAUUUUUGAUGUUCGGCUGCAUGCACUGAUCCCUUAUUGUACCCAUUUGCUUUGCCCUUGUAGUCAGCCCUAUUGGUACUCUCGUCUCCAUACCUUCUCUGCUGGUUUUUUAUAAUCAACUUCUCACGGAGAUCUUCCUCCCUCCGCUUCUCAAGGCUGUCCCGCAGGUCCUUUUCCUUUCGCACACCAUGCCCCGUCCCUGAUUUAGCCGGGCUAGUGAUCUCCACCCCACCCUACUCCGAACGACCGCCAGUGCGGCUUCCAGAGCCAGCAGCAAAAUCAGCUGCUAAGUUCCGUUUAGUGGGUAGAUUCCGGCCUCUGUUUUGAUCCUGUUGUCCUUUUCCAUCCUCCCCACUCCUUGAAUUUGCAAAACUGUUGCUACUGCUAGCCCCCUUAGCUCCAAACGAUCCUUCCUUGAAAGAACCAUUCCUUCCUGGGGAAGAACGUAGCCAGCUCCCCCAUUGAUCAGAGGAUUCCAGAGGGGGCACAAAUACCCCAUGUUCAUGAACCAGUCUGCCACAAUCGAAGCAAAAAUGUGGCACUUUUUCAUAAAAAAAAGUCAUACCACGUCCCAACCUUAUCCUCCUUCGAUUUCUUCAAGUUAAACCCACGGAUCAGAGGCUCAAAAACUGAGAUAGUAGUUCUAAUUCGUAGCUGCUGACCCCUCGCCAUGCCCUCUCCAUCUGUAUCCACCUUCACCACUUUACCAAUCCAAUUGCCUAGGGCAGUCCCAAAGGCUUCACACCUCUUGUCAGGUGGCAAAUCCACCACUCUUACCCAUAUGUCGAUCUCCUCAAACACCAUCUCAGAGGGUCUAAUCUUUCCUUCAUAUUCUUUCACAAUGAGUACACUAAAAUCAAAUUGCCAGGGUCCAUUAUUCAACACAUGUCUCCAAUCUCCUUCACUGCCCUAAACCUAGCGUAGUCGCACGAUCGCCAGGCAAUCGCCGCCUACAUCUCAACUUACCUAGUUAAUUAUCCGGCCAGCUUGAUCACGAUUACACCAAACUAACUCAGGCAUUGUUUGGAUUAUCCCAACACAAUCGUCCAUGGACAGAGGACCAGUCUGUGGACAUCUAUACAUGAAACCGCCAUCCAACCCAGUUCACAUACCUUUCAAAAACUUUUUAACAAACCAGAUGAAAUUCAUGCAAAGACAGUGAAAUUCACACAAAUCGCACGAAAACGUUUACAUUUUGGACAUAUCUUUUAACUAAAAAUGAUACUAGAGUAACAUGAAACUACUCAGCGCCGGCGAAUAGUCACUCCGGCAACAUGGAUAGCCUUGACUAGUCUACUGCCGGCCGCAAUGGAUCUGCAUUGCCGUCCCCAUGUCCCGUCAUGUCCCGUAGCUGUGAGCCCUGGAGGUAUAUGCUUUAGCAUAAAGAGCGGCUCGCUUCCCUACCGCUCAUCGGAGUGGAACAACCGGUUGAUGCUUUUGCCGGUGGGGAAGGGUCCCUACACUGCAUGGAUAGGAGUUGGUUUUGGGUAGGGGACGACGGUGGCCUGCCAGAGGGCAAGACAUCGGGUGUGUACUCCGGCGUCACCUUGGCGUGGCAUUCAUGGGACCCAAGCGGCAGCGGCUCCUCAAUGAUGGCGGCGAGCGUGGACGUGCUGGCCACCACCUAGUCGAUGUCCGCUCAGCCCGUUUCUUUCUCUGCAGGCAGGGAGUGGCUACGUGCACGUUGACAUCAUAUGACGCGGCCGCAGGCAUGGGAGGGGCGGUACGACAUGGCACCGUCGACGGCAGCCACGAUGCCCAUGCAGUCGUGCUCCCUGCCGGUGCCGACCUGUAACAACUCGCCACUCCUCAGUUCAUGACCGGCGGGCUCGAUGGGCCACCCAGCCGUUUUUAUGCGGGAAUACUCUUCUUCCUACUCAUCGGAUCCCAUGAAGAAAACUUCUCAAGGAGGAUAAUGGUGAGUGGAGGUAUGGUACGGUUCUUGCCCGACAUCUGACAGUGUUUAAAUAGCGGGCGAACACGAGAAGCCAACCAAUGUUCUGUUUAUUGCCGGCCGGCUCGCAAACGGACAUGUGGUUGGAGUAGGUAUCCUGGCACACACACGGGUUUAAUGAAGGAAGGCGGGCAGUUUGCAGCCGUUUGAAUGGGGGCGAGCAUGCAUGUUCAGCAUGGCGUGUAGCGCCCUCAGCCAGUGCGCCGCUUCCAUUGCGGAGGCAGUAAGGGAUGUGUACGCUCUGCAGUGGAGUGAAUGCGGGCAACUGGUGCAGGGCGGGAACACGAGCGGGCAUGGGAGGAGGCGGUUUGCAUGGGCACGUGUGAUAAGAAGCAGUCAUGGGUGCUGUCCGGACACCCGCAAAGCCCGCCUCCCCCACGUUUGUCUCCGGUUUGUGGGAGAAAGUAUGUCCGGACCGUCCUAUGGACCAAUACAGGCCCGCAUUGGAUGGCACAACACGUAUGGACCAUGUAGUCCGGAUGGUUGCAGAUGGUUUGAUGGUUGGCGUUGGAUAUGCCCUUAGCGCUUAUAAAUCCAUUGUGUUUUUCUAAUCAUAAAAAGCACUUAUGACAAGUUAUAAUGAAAGACACGUAUAUAUGUUAGGUUCAGACUCCAACUUUCCCGUUGCAUAUGAAUUUUUCUGAUCCGACCCAUACCAAUAGAGUGAGGCUAGCGUCGCUUUUCUAGAAACUCGCGGGAUAAGAAGACAUGCAUACAUAUUAUUUCAAGGAAAUCACAUCCACUCUUUUUAACUUAUUUUUUCUUAUUUUCAUAAUAUAAUAGAUCAUUUGUAUUUUUAUUUCAAACAAUUAACGUGUAACUUUUAUUGUAAUCUAAGGAUAUUGUUUGGAUUUUACUUUCAAAUAUUUGAAAUGGCCAUGAUGGAAUCACAUCCAUUUAUUUUAUUAUUAUUUGAAUUUGAUCCAAAAGAUAAAUAAUGAGUAGAGGUCAUGUCAACUUUUCCUAGAAUUUGCUAAUCAAAAUAUAAUUUCUAUCUUAAUACAAUCCAUUAUUUAACUACUCUAUUGAUUUGUAUUUAAAAACAUAUAUUUUUAGCACGCAUAAAAAACAUAACAUGUAUCUUUCCACACAAACUAUAGGUUGUCAUGAAAACUCAUGCCAUGCCAUAGCCUCCCUCCGACCCUGCCAACAUUGUUGCAGCUGCACUCGCAAGCCUUAGCGUGGAUGAUCAUUUAUAUGAUUUGCGUAAAACAAACUAAGAUCUACAAACGAAUAGAAGCUAGAACAUACCUUGGUAUGCACACACAUUGCAAGCCAUACUAAGCUGAUAAGUGUCAAUAACUUGUACAACAUAUACAACACCGAAGACAAGUAAAAGCAAUUUGAUGAGUCAUGGUCUAUCAAAGCAAGCUACAUUACUACUCUAAUCUAUCUUAACAGGUCACACAUGAUUACAAUCUUUUUUGUGUGCAAGUCAAGCUUAUCUAUUUUACACGUAACAACUUGUAGAACAUUACAAAAUUGAUGUUUGCUAAUAACUUCUAGAUCACUACAACACUUGACAUGUAAAAGGAAUUUGAUGAGUCAUGACCUACUAAAGCAAGUUACAUUACUAGUCUCAUCUAUCUUAACAGGCCACACAAGAUUACAAACUAAGUUCUGUGCAAGCAAUGCUUAUCUAGUUUACACGUAACAACUUGCAUAACAUUACAAACUUAGUUUCAGAAAAUUAGGCAAUCUAGAUUAGUGUUUAUUUGUAAAGUGAAUAAGAUGAGUCAUGUGUGUUAUCACACCUUUUUUGUGGUGGAAUGAUAGUGCCACAAAACACAACAUACCAAAAAUUGAUUUCGGGAAGCAUCCAAGCACUUUCCAGGCAAGCAAAUGCCAAUUGUGAAAGAGAUCAUGCCAUGGCAGCUAUAAAUAGGCCUGUAGCAUGAUGACAUCCUUCCUCAUUCAUCAUUCUCAUAAGUAGAGUGUAUCAUUCAAGCCAAGCAAGCAGUGGUCAAUACAAAUCCACCAUGAAGACCUUUCUCAUCCUUUCCCUCCUUGCUAUCGUGGCGACCACUGCCACAACUGCAGUUAGAUUUCCAGUGCCACAAUUGCAGCCGCAAAAUCCAUCUCAGCAACAACCACAAGAGCAAGUUCCGUUGGUGCAACAACUACAAUAUCCAGGGCAACAACAACCAUUUCCACCACAACAGCCAUAUCCGCAGCCGCAACCAUUUCCAUCACAACAACCAUUGCCGCAACCGCAACCAUUUCUGCCACAACUACCAUAUCCGCAGCCACAACCAUUUCCACCACAACAACCAUAUCCACAACCGCAACCACAGUAUCCGCAACCACAACAACCAAUUUCACAGCAACAAGCACAACAAGCACAACAACAACAACAACAACAACAACAACAACAACAACAACAACAACAACAACAAAUCCUUCAACAAAUUCUGCAACAACAACAACUGAUUCCAUGCAGGGAUGUCGUCUUGCAACAACACAACAUAGCGCAUGCAAGCUCACAAGUAUUGCAACAAAGUAGUUACCAACUGUUGCAACAAUUAUGUUGUCAACGUUUGUGGCAGAUCCCCGAGCAGUCGCGGUGCCAAGCCAUCNNNNNNNNNNNNNNNNNNNNNNNNNNNNNNNNNNNNNNNNNNNNNNNNNNNNNNNNNNNNNNNNNNNNNNNNNNNNNNNNNNNNNNNNNNNNNNNNNNNNNNNNNNNNNNNNNNNNNNNNNNNNNNNNNNNNNNNNNNNNNNNNNNNNNNNNNNNNNNNNNNNNNNNNNNNNNNNNNNNNNNNNNNNNNNNNNNNNNNNNNNNNNNNNNNNNNNNNNNNNNNNNNNNNNNNNNNNNNNNNNNNNNNNNNNNNNNNNNNNNNNNNNNNNNNNNNNNNNNNNNNNNNNNNNNNNNNNNNNNNNNNNNNNNNNNNNNNNNNNNNNNNNNNNNNNNNNNNNNNNNNNNNNNNNNNNNNNNNNNNNNNNNNNNNNNNNNNNNNNNNAACAACAACAACAACAACAACAACAACAACCGUCGAGCCAGGUCUCCUACCAGCAGCCUCAGCAACAAUAUCCAUCGGGCCAGGGAUCCUUCCAGCCAUCUCAGCAGAACCCACAGGCCCAGGCCUCUGUCCAGCCUCAACAACUUCCCCAGUUCGAGGAAAUAAGGAAUCUAGCACGGCAGACGCUACCGGCAAUGUGCAAUGUCUACAUCCCUCCAUAUUGCUCGACCACCAUUGCGCCAUCUGGCAUCUUUGGUACUAACUGAGAAGAGAAGAACUUGUACUAGAUAUAUGAAACACCGUUUCCUUAGUCCAUGGUUUGGUCGUUGUAGCGGUGGAAAAAUAAAGUGACAUGCACUAUCAUGUAAGAACCCGAACUAUACUAGUUCAAACUUGGGAAUAAAAGACAAACACAUGUCUUGUCUGCAUAUGAUUGUUUGUUUGAGUUCCAUUCAUGUGCCCGUUCACAAGUUCACCCAUAAUUAUAUAUAUUACAUAAUAAGUAUAUAUUUAUGUUUCAUUAAUCUAAAGAUAACAAAAUGAGUUUGAAACUUGAAUUAAAUUGAAGUAUUUUCUUGGACUUUCAAAUUAAGUAUUAUUAAAGUAGUAAGGACUAUCCACAUCCUUGGCUUGCCCUUGAUCAAUUAUUUCCAGAGAAGCAUUCAAUUCAUCAAUCAAUUACAUUGGUUUUUGUGACUCGUACUUCUCCUCAUCAUGAGUAUCAUUGCGGCUACUCCAAAUCGCCCACAUAACCGAAGCAUUAAUAGCACUCUUCUUGCAUCAAGUAAAUAUGGAUCGAAGAUAUCACUUGACCAUGUUUCCGGGUGCAACCUUGGGAGUUUUAUGUCAAAAUAUUCUCAAGCAGAAUCCAAGAAUAAACUUGCAUGCUCAUGUGUGAUAAGGGCAUAUGAAGUAACAUUUCCUCCCCAUGGCCACACAUAGGGCACACACAUAACCCCAUCACAUGCCUUUUUAGUUAUGCAUAUGAAGGUAGGAUGUUUUUAAUUACUCUCCACCAAAAUACUCUUAACUUGGCUUGUACCCUAAGCUUUCGUUGCCUUUUCAAUUUCUCUUCCCCACUAGACAAACUAGACAGUCCAUCUACCACACCAUACCUUGUGUCCAUCAUGGCUCUGUACAACAAUUGAACAGGACAAAUGUCAUUUCUUUAUGAUACCCACGACCAAGUGUCCUCUGCUCGAUUGUUUGGUCGUGGCAUAUUAAGGAUGACCACCUCAUCUGAUGGGACAAACACCUAACGUAUGAAAGGAGUGUUCCAGUUGCCCAUGUUUUUCAUCUCGAUAAGAUCAGCUACAAGUUGGACCGGAGUUUCUCAUGCACCAUAGUGGUUUCAUCAGCGGCAUGCCCUGCACACAUUUAUCAUGCCAUAUCUUUGUAGUGUGCAUUCCCAAUUUGUCACAACAUACCCUCCUUCAAACCUUUUUGCCUUUCAGAAUAGCACGCCAAGCUAGCGAUGCACUAUGCGGUAACCCACAUUUGAAAAAAAAUAAUCUCAUUUCAUGGUAUCUUCCACGAAGGACCCUCGCACAUGAGUUAUCUAGAUAGAAAUAGCCAUGUAUGUUUAGCAAACUUUGCAUAAGUGAAUAGAUCAAGGUCGUGGAAACCCAAGCCUCCAAUUACACCCAGCCUCUCUACCAACAAGAUGUCCAAAGACAUCAAGGAUACACAAAGCCAAAAAAGAAAAUAAAAAGAGCAGAAGAAAAAAAUACCCUGCCAUGGUGAUCAAUCACUAGAAUCAGAAGCACUCUAACCACCACCGAAGACAACGCCCGAAUUACAAAAAAGGUUCUCCAAAAGCAACGCCCCCAAGAAUGAAACAAUGCACAAGCAUUGUCGUUGCCCGAUCAAAGAUCAUGGGUUUUCACCCUGGAAAAAUUUCGAGUUCACUAUAAAAUAAUGCCUUCAACAAGGCCAUUGCCAAGUACAACCAAUAAGAGCCGGACCUUGGGUUUUCACCCUAGGAAUUGAGACUCGAUACUCGAGGAGUACCACCAAAAGUGUAGUCCGCAAGUGUUGCCGCCCCCGCUUGCCGAGGCCGUUGUUGCAAGUCACCAACCACCUGUCAUACAUUUGUCGUCGCAUCCAAUACACCCUUCCGCUGAAGCUUCAAGACCUCCAACCGCAUCCGCCAUGACUUUCUCCAAGUCUAUGAAUGCCUUGAGAAUCUUGAGUUAGACAUGUCCAAUGACAUAAAUAAGAAAUCGAAGCUUCGUGACACGUCCUCUUGAGGCCGUGUUGCCUGAUAAUAUUAGCGUGCACGACCGGAGCCUUUCCGAUCUAGAUAUCCAGGGGCGACAUACACCAAUCCAUAUAGAUCUCCGCUCGGUAAGACCGGAACUCAUCAACGGCCAGAUCCAAGAGGUCGACAUCCGGUAGAAAGAUGACUUGGCGGAAGAAGAGCAUCAGGGCCAAACCGCCAUUACUAGUCCGAAGCUAAUAGCCCCCACGCCACCCUCCUCUCGAUCCAGACCUGCAGAAAAUGACCAACAACGCCGCGUCGUGCCACUCGCAUCCAUGGAGGCUUGAACUUGGCAAGACGCCAACCAUGGCUGGAGACAGGGACCAGCCACUCCUGGUCGGAUCCGGUGACUCCUAGUCCCACCACUGCCACUACGGCGGCACCGCGUGUAGCCUACAAGCCCAUCCAUGAUGAUGUCUGAUUAGAAGGAUACAUGGAUAUACAGAUGAAAUGGCCCUCGUUAUCCCUCCAACAAUAUAUAUAAAGCUUAUUGGGACAUGAGAAAGCUCGCACAAUUUUAUAGCGGCUAUGGAAAUGUGUUGCCAAAUAGAGAUAUAAGAUUUUCGUUUGGCAUCUAGACCGCUUGUGUCAUCCUUAAUCGAUGACCACUCCAAUUUUUCCGGCGGGCCUUCCCUAUGGUACUGCAGCCUUACAUGUGUAUGGGUUUCAUACUGCUAUUCUGUCCAGUCGGAAAAGGAGACAACCAAAAUUACUUGGAGUUGAUAACUAAUAUGUUUCCUUUAACUACCACGUGCACGACGAGGAUUUACGGCACGCAAGUGCAGGGGCAGGUACUGGUGCCGCCUUUUAUUCUAGCCUCCAAUUUUCAAAUUUCUAUAUCUUUCAAACAAAAAAAUCAACUUAAGUUGUGUUUUCAUAUUCGUGUUUCUUGCCGCCAGCGCUUUGAAAUAAUAUUCAUUUUGAAUAUAUUUUGGCAAUUUUUAAACACAAUGUUAAUUUCCAUUGUUUGAAACUUAGUACGAGCGACCGAUAAUAUUCAAUUAUUUUGUGUCUCUGACCAACAGAAAAAAAUGCUUGAAAUUGCAUCUUUGAAACUUGUUGAAACUGGGCAUUUUCUAAUGCAAAAGCGGUAAGUUUUCAUCGUUGAAACUUAAAGGUUUUUGAUGGAUUUUCUUCUUUACUGUGCCCUACUUCAUGAAUCGUGAGACAAAUCGAGCAGGCGGCAGGGCUUGGCCAGUGAGUGCCCUUGCACUUAGGUGCCCCAGCGAAUUUCCACUUGCAUCGUAGCAUUCUUUUUCCGAGUCCUGCGAACGAACGAUGGUGCAUACAAAAAGUCUAUCCUAUAUGCGUACAUGUGCAUGAUCAAAACAUGUUUCUACGUGCAUCUGCUAUAAAUCUCGACCAUUUUGAACACAAAUCAUGACCAUUAGAAUACAUGAUUAGUGGAUCAUACUAUCGUAACCUAUGUGAGAUCAUGUGGAGUAAUAUAUUAUAGUAUAUAGAUAGAUCUAUGUUGUAUUUUUUUUGUUAGAAAAAUAUUUGUCAUUACAUAUUUAGAUUUAUGCAUCUGUUCUUGCCAAAAAAAUCACUAACAUUUCACAGUGGAAAGUUUGUAAUUAUAUCAUAUUGAACACCAAUGUUUUCCCGCAAAAGAAAAUAAUGCCUAUGCAUAUGCUUUUAUAUUAUUAUUAUUGUUUCAAAUAUAUCCAUAUAUUAUUUUUGGUUGUACAACCAUAAUUUUCUUAUCCCUCUCGUUCCACUAAAUGCUCCUAGUCACUGAAUUAUAUACACCAAAUAAACCCCUUUGCACGUCGUUAAUGACCAAAAAAAGUUGAUGCUGGCUAUGUUCUCUGAUGUCAGCAUGAUAUCAUAUAUAGUGAUUAGCAUGAACGAAUCCCUUUGACUCAUGCGUACUCCCUUCGGAAAGAAAUAUAAGAGCGUUUAGAUAACUAAAGUUGUGAUCUAAACACUCUUAUAUUUCUUUAAAGAGGGAGUAUAAAUUAAGAAGUCCAAGAUAAAGAAAUGCUGGUCCUUGAUUUGUUGUUGACUCUUAUAUUUCUUUAGAGAGGAAGUAUAAAUUAAGAAGUGCAAGAUAAAUAAUGCUGAUCCUUGAUUUGUUUUUGACGUCAGCAUGCCAUCAUUACCUUGUAGUUAUCAUACAAAUUGGAUCUUUCAUACAGAGUUGGAGGCCUGCUCCUUUGAUCCGCACACGCUUAAACACAAAAAGCAUGUAUAUGUUUUGUCUCCGGAUUUCAACUCGUGCUUGGCCAACAAAUAUGGUCUGAUCGGGACAUCGGGUAGAGGAAAAGGCAAGUUUGCUAAUACGCCUGGUGGAAAUGCCUUUGAUUAGGGCAUCUACAACAGCGACCAGUAAAUUUCCACCCGCAAUUUGUUGGAAUUCCGCCUUCAGAAUCGAUUACAUCAGAUACGAGGAACACACGCGCACAAAAAAAUGACAACCAAGGGCCCUUGUCGUGUCCUCUUUUCUCAUUAUUUUCUUGUUUCUCAAAUCACUGUAUUACAAAUCUGAUGCACCGGUGUGCAUAUAUAUGAAUGACCUCACGAGCUAUAGCUAUCUAACCUAAACCGACUCAAACAACUACUCCUGGCGGGACACACGUUGGAACAUAACUAGGACACGGACAGCAUGCAUGCUAAUUCCUAAUACUACACGGCUUGCAAACCGGCCACCCCAAGUACAUCUCAACUUACCUAGUUAAUUAUCCGACCAGCUUGAUCACGAUUACACCAAACUAACUCAGGCAUUGUUUGGAUUAUCCCAACAAUCACCCCUAAUCCAAACAUCCGUCUCUUUAUCCGACGACACACAAGACACGCAGACGACCACCUGUUCAUCUUGUUAGGCUGGCUGCGUCCGGUGACGCAACUUACAACAACAACAACAACAACAAAUCCUUCAACAAAUUCUUCAACAAAUUCUGCAACAACAACAACAACUGAUUCCAUGCAGGGAUGUCGUCUUGAAACAACACAACAUAGCGCAUGCAAGCUCACAAGUAUUGCAACAAAGUAGUUACCAACUAUUGCAACAAUUAUGUUGUCAACGGUUGUGGCAGAUCCCCGAGCAGUCGCGGUGCCAGGCCAUCCACAAUGUCGUCCAUGCUAUUAUUCUGCAACAACAACAACAACAACAACAACAACAACAACAACAACAACAACAACAACAACAACAACAACAACCGUCGAGCCAGAUCUCCCUCCAGCAGCCUCAACAACAGUAUCCAUCAGGCCAGGGCUCCUUCCAGCCAUCUCAGCAAAACCCACAGGCCCAGGGCUCUGUCCAGCCUCAACAACUGCCCCAGUUCGAGGAAAUAAAGAACCUAGCGCUGCAGACGCUACCGGCAAUGUGCAAUUUCUACAUCCCUCCAUAUUGCUCGACCACCAUUGCGCCAUUUGGCAUCUUCGGUACUAACUGAGAAGAUAAGAACUCUAGUACUAGAUAUAUAUGAAACACCGUUUCCUUAGUCCAUGGUUUGGUCGUUGUAGCGGUGAAAAAAUAAAGUGGCAUGCACUAUCAUGUAAGAACCCAAACUAUACUAGUUCAAACUUGGGAAUAAAAGACAAACACAUGUCUUGUCUGCAUAUGAUUGUUUGUUUGAGUUCCAUUCAUGUGCCCGUUCACAAGUUCACCCCUAAUUAUAUAUAUUACA